GGCAUAGCGCUUCGCUUUCGGUGAUUCUUCCGAAUCAACUGACUUCUCCCUUCUUCAUUGAUCUGGGGGAAAAGGAACCGUCUACCUGUUGGGAAGCUAGACAUUCAGUAAGUGGCUUGAUGAGGAUAACUAAGCUGACACGCCGGAGUUGGCUGCUGGCACAACUGGGUGGUGCCUUACCGCACCGCAGGUUCACGCGCGGUAGCGCGUUCGUGGUGGUGCUUCAGGAUUCCAGUGUACUGCAUCCAAGAUCAGAACGAGCUUGCCGGCGGACCAUUGCCGUCCCAUUCUUGAGUGAGCUGGAGCGCAGCCAUCUUAUCCACUGAACUAGCGUUAAGCUAUUGCUUCGGGUCGAAGCACUAAAAGAAAAGGACCAGGAAAGGCGGCGGUAUAGGAACCACGGGACCCCCCCACUAGUCUAGUAAAGGGAAAAGAGAAGUGCGCUCCUCUCCUGUAAGUAAAGCAGCUUCGCACCUCUCAAGAAAUAAGAAGAGCAGCUAAAAGGAAGGAAAGAUCGAAUUCAGAGAUCAUUCAACUCUCUUUCAUACUCUCUCUCUUGUUCCGCUACGUGGGCUUCCUCUUUCUUGGUCGAGCUGCUGUCAAUAUUCUUUUCACCUGCGCACCUGCUUCAAAAGCCCUUUACCCUUUGAAUAAUAAGGUCAGCUUCAUAGUUCCAACCUAGAUAAGGCUUUUUUAUGCCCUUUUUUUAGGUUGGGUUGCUGGAUACGGGAUCCUCGUAGUAGGCUGGACCAAGAUCCAGCCGAGAGAGGGCAGCCUUUAGAAGGAAGAGGUUGGGAAAGCAAGAGAAGGCUGAGCCUUUUCUUAUCUUUUUCCCUAGGCUCGCCCCUCUCCCUAUGGUCGAGUCUCUUCGCCCCUCUCCUUACAGUCUCAAUCAAAUUCUUUGACCCUCUCCUUACAGAAAAAAAAGAGUGAUUUGGAUUAUUGACCCAAUGAGAAAGCACUAACAUCUUCCUCGUUGGGGCUUCGCGCACUGGGAAGACGCUAAGGCGACGGGAAAUCGGCCGUCAGUCUGAGGAAGCCCACGGAGCGGUAUCGAGAGGGCUAUCACAGUCAGGUGGAAAUUACCCCCGUACCCCUCUUUCAUUAUUAUGUUAGGGGGUUGAGGCGAGAAAUGGCUUGAUUCACCCUUCCGUUCGCCACGCACCGGCCCCAUUCACUUGCUUAUCGUAGAGGGACUUGCUGUUGCUGUUGAAGUAUACAGUGCCCUGCUGUUGCUGCUAUUGACGGACUUGCUUUGGGUGGAGGGUUAGAGGUCGCUAUGGUAUGUCUUAGAACUUCUUGUAGACAAUUAAAUCUUUAAAAUCAUUGUUUAAAAAUAUUUUAUAUUAUUUUGGUUUGUAGGCAUGCCAUGCACGAUUAUCAACCAAAACUGCACAGUUAGGAUUACCUGAACUUCAGCUUGGUUUAAUUCCAGGUUUUGGAGGUAUGUCUAUGGCGCUGAUACUUGGUGGUAUUUUUCUUAUUUUUAUUUGUACCAGUUAAUCCUGUGAGCCGCUUUUAUGUCUCUUUCUGGCCGUUUUUAUGUCUCUUUCUGUUGACUUUAUUAUUCUCUCAUUUAUGAUUUAACAUCUCAUAUGAAUUAUUAUGUGUAUCUUGCAUGGGAUAUUUUGCCACUUUGUGCCCAUAAAAAUCAACACUUGUCUUUCGGUGUAUAGGUCAUAAGUGGUCACUUUGGGUGGUAAGGACCGUUGCAUUUGAUCCAAGUAACAUGUGGUUUUGUACUGAUUCAGCAGAUUGUACAAUCAAGGUACUUAUUUUUAAAAUUAUUCAAUAUGAAUGAAUUCCAUUUUGGUCUGUCGAAGCGGGCCAUAUAUAGGUUCCAUCGUUUUUGCCCUUUGAUAACAAUCGUUAUCUUUGAGUUUUCUGCUCCUGAAAAUUGAAGUAUCAUUUAUUUAUGAUAAUUGUAGGAGCAUGUUUCUUCUUCCUAGAAUAGCGUGACACGAAAUAAAUGAUAGUAUGGUUGAUACGAGAUUUUUCUUCUAGGGCUAGUACAAUCCAUGAACUCUCUGGGCAUGAUAACACCGUUUGCUCAUUUUAAUGGACCAACCGUAUCCUUUUCUCCCUCUGAUCUUUCCUUCCGAUAUCUUGGUCAUAUUAGUUUCUUUCAAUAAAUUUUUUACUCGUGUGGUGUAGUUCUUUUAGAUAAUUUCCCUUUGAUUCUACAUAAGAACCUAUUUUCGUGCUUUUGUAAUUAUCAACUUUGUAUCAUUUCCUUUAGACUGGAGCAGUACAUCAGAUAAUCAAAAUAAUUGAUAUUCCAAUAUUGUGUAUCUUUUGUGCUCAGUUCUCAGCAGAAGACUUAUCAAUACAAUGUCUGUCAAUGAAGAGGGUGUUAUGGUGAUUGGAGGUGCUUUUUUAUUGUUGUGAUCGUGACUAAACUUGGAUGGAAAUGGUUGUUGGAUAAACUAAGCUCAGCCUCCCCUCUACUUUCUUUUUUCUUGAAACAUAUAUAUCGAGCAUUACACGUGGCUUUAAAUGUGUUUUACGUAAAUUUUUAUAAAAUUUUAAACUGUGAAUUACUUUUAACGUAAAGUCUUGAUUCAACUUUCAUCCACUCUAAUUAGUAAAUAUUUGACAUGAAAUUAAGUAAUUUAAAUAGUGGCAAAGUUAAUUUUAAUGAAUAUGAGAUAUCGUUGAUACGAAUUAUGGUUCGAAAUUUUUGACACAAUUUUGGAGUUUUCUUUGAAUGAAUACCUAUUUUCUUUGAAUGAAUACCCAUAAAAAUUUUUGACACAAUUUUGGACUGCAAGGUGGAAAAGGUGGGUUUACAUUUCUCUGUGUCCCAUUGUCAUUGUCUCAUAAUUUAGUCUAGACACUUUUGUUGACAUCUUUUAAAUGAUCUUUUAGCUUAGGAACCACGGCCUGGCUACAUUUCCAUUGAUGUAAUCACUGAUAUUUUUGAAGGUACAUUUCAGCUCAAUUUCUUUAAUUCUUACUCUCAUCUUCCAACUCUCUUGAAAAGCGAGUGAAAAGGAUAGUUUUGGGAAAGUAAUUAAUUGUUAGUUAUGUCGUCCAGCUGCUAGAAAGCCUGCUGUUGCUGCUAUUGACGGACUUGCUUUGGGUGGAGGGUUAGAGGUCGCUAUGGUAUGUCUUAGAACUUCUUGUAGACAAUUAAAUCUUUAAAAUCAUUGUUUAAAAAUAUUUUAUAUUAUUUUGGUUUGUAGGCAUGCCAUGCACGAUUAUCAACCAAAACUGCACAGUUAGGAUUACCUGAACUUCAGCUUGGUUUAAUUCCAGGUUUUGGAGGUAUGUCUAUGGCGCUGAUACUUGGUGGUAUUUUUCUUAUUUUUAUUUGUACCAGUUAAUCCUGUGAGCCGCUGUAAUGAUAUGCACCCAACUGAACUUUACUUUAAGCUGUGGGCAGUUGUGAUCUCACCAAUCUACUUAAGCUCUUAACAUUGGAAAUAAUUGAUUAAGUUAUUAACAAAUAACAGUUUAUGUUAUCAGUUGGAUCCCUCGUGGAUUGAUAUUUGGAUCUUGGGCCUUUGAUAGGAUAGCAUACGAUGUAAUUCCUUAUUUUUAGAGGAUGGAUAAUAUAGAUUUUUUAGCAAUAACCUAGUAUUUGAAUUGGCUGAAAUGAAUUUGUCUAUUAUAUAAUGAAAACAACAGAAACCCACUGUUUUGAAAACUUCUAAGAUUUUUCUUUUGGUGUUCUAAUCUCAAGCUUCUUUUUUGUUCAGGAACACAGCGACUUCCUCGUCUGGUUGGUCUUCCAAAGGCUUUAGAAAUGAUGCUGGUGAGAUUAGUAGCUCUUGCUUUUGAUUUUUGACACCUUGCUGUAGAAUAGCUUCAAUGGUCAUUCAUAUCUUUUGCUUAUUUCUGUACCUGUCUCUCUCAACUUAUCCAAACUUGCUACACUUGAACAGACAUCCAAGCCAGUCAAAGGAGAAGAAGCCUUUUCACUGGGACUCGUGGACGCCAUAGUCCCUCGUGAAGAGUUGAUCAGUGCUGCUCGCAAAUGGGCUCUGGAUAUCUCAGAGAGGAGAAAACCAUGGAUUAUCAGUCUUCACAAGACCAACAAGUUAGAGUCUCUUGCUGAUGCUAGGGAAAUAUUUAAAUUUGCCAGGGCUCAAGUACGGAAACAGGCUCCAAAUCUCAAGCACCCACUGGUUUGCAUUGAUGUUGUUGAAACGGGUGUAGUCUCAGGUCCCCGUGCUGGACUUCAGAAGGUUGUAUUUCUAAGGCAGCUAUUUUUUCUCAAGUAAAAGAAAGAUCCAAGCAUGAAAUAACCUUCCUGAAUUUCUUUUUUAUGCUUAUGGCAGGAGAUUGAAGAUUUUCAAGUACUACUGCAUGCUGAUACCAGUAAAAGCUUGAUUCAUGUUUUUUUUGCUCAGCGUGGAACAACAAAGGUGUGCGAUGAAGAUUUACUGAAAAAUAAAUGAUCGCUUAAAAUAAUCUUUAUUUCAGAACCUGAAGUUCAGGAUAUAGAAAAAACAACAUCCACUGUUAAUACAUUACGAGGUUAGUCUUUUCUCUUAUGUUGAUAUUUCUUCUUUUUUUUUCAAAAUAUGACAGGUACCUGGAGUUUCUGAUCUUGGGUUGACACCGAGACGUAUUAAUAAAGUUGCUGUUAUUGGUGGGGGAUUAAUGGGAUCUGGGAUAGCUACAGCAUUGAUUCUUAGCAACUAUCCUGUGAUUCUUAAAGAAGUAAAUGAAAAAUUUUUGGAGGCCGGGCUUGGCAGAGUCAAAGGUAAGCCUGGAAUUUACUACUGUUGAUUGUAUUCUUGUUAUAUUCUAUCUGGCUUGUGUUUGACCUGUCAUUGUAAACAUGUUAGCCAAUCUACAAAGCCGAGUCCGCAAGGGGACAAUGACUCCAGAAAAAUUUGAAAGAACCAUUUCCCUACUCAAGGGUGUCCUUGAUUAUGAAAGUUUCAAAGAUGUGGAUAUGGUGAUUGAGGUAAGUCCCACAUCUUACUUCACCCACAAAAAGUAGCAAUCGUUGAUAUCAAUUUGGUAUGCUUGUAACAGGCUGUUAUUGAGAACAUCUCCCUGAAGCAACAGAUCAUCGUUAGCCACUUAGCCAUUGAGUUUAUGCUUCUAAUGCAGUCCAGCACACGUCAUGCCACCAUACCCAUAGGCCAUAACCCCAAAACUUAAAUAAUUUAAUUUCAAAUAUUGAAUGCGUGGUUUGAACUACUUUGUAAGUGUUUUUAAACAUGUUGAAACUCAUUUCUUUGACAUUUUAUACAUAUUCUUUAACUAUUGGUUAGUUGUUCUCAAAGACUACAAGAACCAAAUGGACAGUCGAUUAGCAACUUUAGAAAGAGCUCCUCUAUAACAUUCAAAAGUAUGAAUCAACCCACGAAAAGUCAACGGCUGUUGAGGCAGUCGACAAGAUGCAAAAGUCAAUUAUCAGAAAAUGAGCUGUCAGGUUAUUUUCUAUUGUUUUUCUCCAUCUUCUCCUCUGAAAUGUCACUAACGCAUUUCAUAGAUGUCAAACUCCUCUCUUGCUCACCAUUGAAUGGCCAUUACCAACACCUCACAAAUUUCUUGUGAGAUUUCAGUUUUCAGAACGAAUCAAGAUCCUCAUCUUGGAAGCCGCCAAUCUCCUUUUAUCAGGCACGCUCUCAUUUUCCCUCCUUUUUCAUCUAUCGUUUAUAUAUACAUUGUUAACAAUGAUGAUGAUGAUGAUGAUGAUGUUUACUCUGGCUUACGGUUGCGAAAUUUGAUUGUGGAAUUCUCUUUUUCAGACAGAGGGCCAAAUUGCUUCAGCCGUAGGAUUUUCCCUCCUGGUAAGGGCCUUGAUUCUGAUUAUUGGUCCUAGUCCACUCGGCUUACUUCUUUUCCGCGGUAUGGAUAUAGCUAUUGUUGACGCUGAGAGAGAGCAACUCUUUUCAGGGACCACCCCCCCCCGACCCUUAUCGCACCUCUCGUAUGACCUCCUUAUGUGGGUUCCUUACCCUCUUCUUUCAGCUCCCAGCGCUACGCACAUGUCGCCUACUCUCAGGAACCGGCUAGCCUUCAGACCAAGACCUUGCUUAUUCCACUUGGAGUAUCUUGGCCCACCGAUCCCAUGCCAUCGAAUGCGACCAUUCAACCGAACUAGGUCCGAUUGCGCCAUUAUAGCGGUGCUAAAAAGUUAUGAAAUCUUCGUCCAUUCUCUGGGUUAAUAUGGAUAGUCAUCUGGACCCCUUAUAAUUGGGCACCGCGGAGUGGGGACGCAUUCGAUAGCAUGCUCUCUGGCCGUAUGUAUUCGUUUUGCACGGUCGUGGGUAGUCGCUAGUUCGUCUUAGUAUGGGCCCAAACAUCCAUAUCUGAGUAUGCUAGCUGGUCACACAGGCAGUGCCUUCUUCUAUCUAACUGAACGGUAAACCGGAGGGCGCUGCCCCCUAACCCCUUUUUGGACACGAUGACAUAUACCUCCCUUUUAAGUAAGCGGCCUAAGGCCUACCACUUACCUGAAAGGGCCGAAAGUUUGCCCCAGGCCCGAAGGUUGGAAUUGACCCCCCAGUCGCUUCAAAACCUGUACCUCCCGCUUGAUCUUCCUUUCUCAUGCCAUCCCCGGAUCCAGCGAGUGGGCCCAAAAGUUCAGACCCCUAGACUCCACCUUUUCGAUUAUCUCUGAGAUGGUCAGAGCCUCGGUGACACCCAUCCCAGUGGGACUCAAACUCCCUGAGACCGGCCUUGGGUGGAUUCCUUAGAUGCCAUCCUCGGGUACUGCAAUGAGGAGUAUUGCUUCGGUACAAGUUUAGCGCGACAACUAAAUUGAGGGCAGUCGAAUGCUCAGUGCUUACUUACGAUAAUCGAGAAAUCGAGAAAAUCAAUGGGAUUUCUUUCUUUUGGGGAAAGCUCUUGAGUUCUGUAAGAGGAAACCGCCUCUAAGAAGCAGAAGAUUGUCUUUGUAUUGAGAGCCCAAAAAGAAUUCGCAAAAUGGGCGUGUUUCCGCUCCGCUUUCCUACGCCUUUAUAUAAGGGGUCGGGACUCCUAAUCCUAGGCCUUGAUUCCAUUCCCCUUGGAGGAGAGGGAAAUAGGGACUAGAUCCCAGGGACAGGAUAAUCAGGACCUCUUAUUCCUAAAAGGGCCGAAGCACGUAAUCGCCGGCCGAUUCGCCGACAAAGACAAAGAAAAGAAGAAUUUCAGUCCGAUUCUAAGACAAAGCAAGCGAUUCUUAGCCUUAAGAUCCUCCGGAUCGGUAUCGCCUUUGCCUUCUUUAUCUGGGAAAUUGCCCUUCUUAGUAUAGGGAUUAGUAUAGGGCCGGGGAAUGAGAAGACCCAGGGAAAGAGGAGAAUCUAGACCUCUAGAUACCUACAUCCGAGGGGCCGAGAGGGACUAAUAGUGGCUCGGUAUCGGCUUUGCCUUUUCCUUCUUUAUCCGGGAAAGGAGAAUAGGGUAUGCGGGUCCGAUACCCCUUAAGCCGAUAGGCACACUAAUCCGAUUCCUCUUCCUCUGACUCCCCCGAGGGUUGGGGGGAAAGCCUUAAUUCCAUAUUCUUCCUCUUAGUCUUCCUUCCGGCCGGCCAAGGAAGCGAUUGGCCGAGAAAGAAGAAGAAGGAAAGAACCGAUUCUUAGCCCUUGACCGAGUGAGUUGUCCUCUUUCCUACGCCUUUAUAUAAGGGGUUGGGACUCGUAAUCAGCCUUCUUCUAUAUAUUCUUUGCGCCUUUCAUUCUUCCUCUAAAAAUGACAUAAUAUCUAAAGAGGAUCAUAUUCUUUUUUUAUGCCUCCUUCUGCAGAACCUACUAGUAAGAGGCCGACGGAGCGGUUAAAGGAAAAGGUUCGCCUAUCCCCUUGUUCAUUGAGGGACUCCUAAUUUUUAAUAGAAUGAAUGACUUGCACUCCUUUCUUCUUUUCCGCAAUAUUCUUUGCUCCGAUCAUGAAAAGAGCCGUCCGGAGGACCAUCAAAGAAAGGUCCAAGGUUCGGAGUCCGCAGUCCGCAGGAUUUAUCCGUAGUCCGGAGGACUUUCCGUAAUUAACCGAACUUUGCGCCUUAGUUAGUCUUAUUCCUGAAAGUAUUAUUCCGAAAAAAAGCUGUUAAAUAGCUUAAAUAAGCGGUUCAAUUCCCACUCCUAAAAUCAAAGCUCCAGAUGAGUUGACAAAGGUUCAAAGAAUGAUCGGAGUCUGCCGCUUUCUUUCAUAACUGAGCCGAGAAUGAGGCUGGCAUAGUUGUCUCUCGCAUGCAAGGAGAUGCUGCUGCUGGAUGUCACGGUUCUGGGGCGCCAUGAUCCUUUUCUCUGGAACAAGAGAGGCGCAAAGAAUAUUGCGAGACAAAUGCCCAAAUAAAAUCAAAGAGGUAGGGACUUCAUCAAUCAUCGCUCAGUGAGCUAUUUAUUGCCGCCAAUAGCGCUUCGCUUGCACGCCAGCGCCACGCCUGGUAGAGCUAUCGCGCGCGGGCGAAGGAGAUGCAUUUUGAGUACUGGUAGUACUGGACAAGCUCAGAGGGAAUAAUCUCUUUCUUCUUUCUUCCUUUCUUUCCCAUGACGACUAGGAACAGGCAAAUAAAAAUUUCACUUCGAAUUCCGGACCUCAACAUCCUGCUGCUCAUGGUGUUUCACGAUCAGUAUUGGAAAUGAACGGAGAAGUGGUGGAACGUGCGGAACCCCAUAUUGGAUUACUCCAGUGCGGCACGAAGCCGCUGACGCCGAGUCGGCUCCUAUGCCGCUAGCUAUGCCCUGCUUGGUCCCUCGACACGGUGAAGGUUCCGUAGCGCGUCAUGAGCACCGGGCUAAGGGGCGGUUUUUCUACUCAAGCGAACCGCCCUACCUUACUACAACAUAGGACAGAAGGGAGAAGGUUGUGAAGGUGGCCUCGUUAUCCACACCUCUGGUCGGAUAAAUGGAGGACCUCCAAGAAAAAAGCCUAGGGUUUGAAUGAGCGUUGGCGGGUCCUGGAGUGCCUGUCAAGGGCUCCCGCGCAUACCCGGUGAUCAUCACCACCUGCACCUCACAUCUCGGCACAGUGGAACGUGUAACCCGCCUGCUGUCUCAUUCAACUACAUUUGUUCGUUCCUAUAAUCCAUAGCCUAAGAUCAGGCAGCAGCGAGGGGCAACCUGCCCAUACAGCCAGCGGGGAGGAUGGCACUACUGGCAAAGACCGUCUGGCGAAAACGCUGCAGGCGCGAAGCGUGGUAGGCCUGCGCCGGGGGGGAGCAUAGCAUAGGCGGGAAAGGGAGCCCGGACGGUGGAAGAGCCAGGGGAGGCCGGGUCAUUUGAUGGAAAUGGAAGGCUUUUCCCCUAUUUUCAAAGGCCUCAUUCAAGGUUAUGUCUGGUCGAAAGAUCUUUAUGGAAGUGCAUCAAUUCUUGGAAAAAGAGUGAAUGUCUAAUCUUUCUUUGGGUCCUCCGUUUUAGAGUCCUACGGAUAAAUCCUCCGGACCAGUUCUUCCCGCUAUUUAUGGAUGUUCAUUGAUCCUUAAUAGAAAGUCGAGCCUUUAAUUCUUUGCACCUGUCCUCCGUCCUUAGUCGUUCUUUAUAUCCAUAUUAGCUUAGCUUUCUGCGCCUGAGGACGUCCGAAGGACUCUAAAAAGGAGCGUUCUAAUGGAAUUCAUAUUCUGCAAUAUUCUUUGCGCCUAAUCUCAUUCAUUCAAUAUUCUUUUCACCUUCGUAAACUUUAGCGGAAUCCUUGAGUCCUCCGGACGGACCGGACCACUAUUUCUCAAAUUCUUUGAUCCUCUUGACUUGUCUUUCCUAUAAAAGAUAAGAAAGUCCAUUCAAUGAAUAGAUCUCUUUGAAAGGGUACGAGAGAGAGCGCUGCCUACACGCGAAUUAGCUUCUGAGGUCAAGCAGUCUCAAUAUUGAACUACAGGAUUGAUUUGCGAAUUCAUGCUGGGCUGGGCCACCUCGAAUGGCGUGAGCCGCAUGCGGGGAGACCCGCACGUACGGUUUUUAGGGGGAUCUGGUCGAAAGACCGGCGCCCACCCGACUAGAGGGACUGAGAAAUUAAUAGAGUACAAAACUUAUCUUCAAGCUUUACCUUAUUCUGAUUGUUCAGAGGCGAUCGCGGAGUCACUGAAUGAAGUCCUCCCUUUCUUUCGGAGGUGCUGACCCGCAGCGAGGCAGAGAUGACUAAGUUACAUAUUCCAUAUGGCGACGACAACAGCAUGUCGUAGAAGGAGAUAAGAGGUGGAGCCAACGACCCACUAAGAAUAACGUAUCUACAACUACAUCCCGAGCGGCAGUCAAACGGAGGCGUGAAUGCAAGAUGCCAGCGGAAUGAUCGGUCGGACAGAGGCUAGGGCUGCUUUCUUCCCACCGCGUCCUUCCUUGUGUGUCGGAGAUAUAAAGCGAGUGCACCGGAAAAGAAGGGGAACUGGUUGAUCUAUUCUAUGGCGAAGCAUCCGAAGCAUAACUGCACACUCACACGAUCUUUGCGAGAGAUAGGAGCAUUCGGUGGAACCGGUGAACUACACUUUGCUUCUGGAUAGAUGUGUGGGACAGAGGCUCGUGGUACCUGCAGCCCACCCUUCCUCCUCUGCUUUGAGAACCGUAUGAACGGAGAGUGGGCAGAAGGGAAAGAGGUCCUCAUACGGAGUCGCACACUGACUUUUUCUGUGCGGGAGACUGGAGAAUGGGUCGAGUAAACUCCCCCGGGGCCGGCCGGCAAAAUCACAGACUCAGUGCUAUUUCUUUUUUCUUUAUUGAAUUUCAAAGGAGGCGCGAAGAAUAUUGCGAGGCAGAGGUAGUACUUCGAAUGGCGAAGAGAGGCGGCUCGGCAAAGAAGGAAUGGGAAAGAUUCUGACUUCUUUGUUGGCGAAACGAAGGGCUAAAUAGCGCCAUUCUCUGAGCCGGUCUGGAUUUCCAAUGCCUCGGGAAAGAGGUCGAUCUCGAUGACAAGACCUUUUUCUUCUUUAUUGGGUGCCUUCUUUUAGAAGUAGUCGGAAAGAGAAAGCCUAAAGAAGGAAUUGCAUGAAUGAUCGAGGAUUCAAGUUCCAUAAAUCAGUCCAAGGCUCAAAGAGGUUAAUAUGGAAGGUGAAAAGUGGUUUUCAAAGUCAGAGCUAUCCCUUAUUAUUGAGGGCUUUGCCCUGCUGUUGCUGCUAUUGACGGACUUGCUUUGGGUGGAGGGUUAGAGGUCGCUAUGGUAUGUCUUAGAACUUCUUGUAGACAAUUAAAUCUUUAAAAUCAUUGUUUAAAAAUAUUUUAUAUUAUUUUGGUUUGUAGGCAUGCCAUGCACGAUUAUCAACCAAAACUGCACAGUUAGGAUUACCUGAACUUCAGCUUGGUUUAAUUCCAGGUUUUGGAGGUAUGUCUAUGGCGCUGAUACUUGGUGUAUUUUUCUUAUUUUUAUUUGUACCAGUUAAUCCUGUGAGCCGCUUUUAUGUCUCUUUCUGGCCGUUUUUAUGUCUCUUUCUGUUGACUUUAUUAUUCUCUCAUUUAUGAUUUAACAUCUCAUAUGAAUUAUUAUGUGUAUCUUGCAUGGGAUAUUUUGCCACUUCGUGCCCAUAAAAAUCAACACUUGUCUUUCGGUGUAUUUCGGUGUAUACGUCAUAAGUGGUCACUUUGGGUGGUAAGGACCCUUGCAUUUGAUCCAAGUAACAUGUGGUUUUGUACUGAUUCAGCAGAUUGUACAAUCAAGGUAUUUAUUUUUAAAAUUAUUCAAUAUGAAUGAAUUCCAUUUUGGUCUGUCGAAGCGGGCCAUAUAUAGGUUCCAUCGUUUUUGCCCUUUGAUAACAAUCGUUAUUAUUUUCUUAUCAAAAAAAGAUAACAAUCGUUAUCUUUGAGUUUUCUGCUCCUGAAAAUUGAAGUAUCAUUUAUUUAUGAUAAUUGUAGGAGCAUGUUUCUUCUUCCUAGAAUAGUGUGACACGAAAUAAAUGACAGUAUGGUUGAUACGAGAUUUUUCUUCUAGGGCUAGUACAAUCCAUGAACUCUCUGGGCAUGAUAACACCGUUUGCUCAUUUUAAUGGACCAACUGUAUCCUUUUCUCCCUCUGAUCUUUCCUUCCGAUAUCUUGGUCAUAUUAGUUUCUUUCAAUAAAUUUUUUACUCGUGUGUGUAGUUCUUUUAGAUAAUUUCCCUUUGAUUCUACAUAAGAACCUAUUUUCGUGCUUUUGUAAUUAUCAACUUUGUAUCAUUUCCUUUAGACUGGAGCAGUACAUCAGAUAAUCAAAAUAAUUGAUAUUCCAAUAUUGUGUAUCUUUUGUGCUCAGUUCUCAGCAGAAAACUUAUCAAUACAAUGUCUGUCAAUGAAGAGGGUGUUAUGGUGAUUGGAGGUGCUUUUUUAUUGUUGUGAUCGUGACUAAACUUGGAUGGAAAUGUUGUUGGAUAAACUAAGCUCAGCCUCCCCUCUACUUUCUUUUUUCUUGAAACAUAUAUAUCGAGCAUUACACGUGGCUUUAAAUGUGUUUUACGUAAAUUUUUAUAAAAUUUUAAACUGUGAAUUACUUUUAACGUAAAGUCUUGAUUCAACUUUCAUCCACUCUAAUUAGUAAAUAUUUGACAUGAAAUUAAGUAAUUUAAAUAGUGGCAAAGUUAAUUUUAAUGAAUAUGAGAUAUCGUUGAUACGAAUUAUGGUUCGAAAUUUUUGACACAAUUUUGGAGUUUUCUUUGAAUGAAUACCUAUUUUCUUUGAAUGAAUACCCAUAAAAAAUUUUGACACAAUUUUGGACUGCAAGGUAAAAAAGGUGGGUUUACAUUUCUCUGUGUCCCAUUGUCAUUGUCUCAUAAUUUAGUCUAGACACUUUUGUUGACAUCUUUUAAAUGAUCUUUUAGCUGAGGAACCACGGCCUGGCUACAUUUCCAUUGAUGUAAUCACUGAUAUUUUUGAAGGUACAUUUCAGCUCAAUUUCUUUAAUUCUUACUCUCAUCUUCCAACUCUCUUGAAAAGCGAGUGAAAAGGAUAGUUUUGGGAAAGUAAUUAAUUGUUAGUUAUGUCGUCCAGCUGCUAGAAAGCCUGCUGUUGCUGCUAUUGACGGACUUGCUUUGGGUGGAGGGUUAGAGGUCGCUAUGGUAUGUCUUAGAACUUCUUGUAGACAAUUAAAUCUUUAAAAUCAUUGUUUAAAAAUAUUUUAUAUUAUUUUGGUUUGUAGGCAUGCCAUGCACGAUUAUCAACCAAAACUGCACAGUUAGGAUUACCUGAACUUCAGCUUGGUUUAAUUCCAGGUUUUGGAGGUAUGUCUAUGGCGCUGAUACUUUGGUAUUUUUCUUAUUUUUAUUUGUACCAGUUAAUCCUGUGAGCUGCUGUAAUGAUAUGCACCCAACUGAACUUUACUUUAAGCUGUGGGCAGUUGUGAUCUCACCAAUCUACUUAAGCUCUUAACAUUGGAAAUAAUUGAUUAAGUUAUUAACAAAUAACAGUUUAUGUUAUCAGUUGGAUCCCUCGUGGAUUGAUAUUUGGAUCUUGGGCCUUUGAUAGGAUAGCAUACGAUGUAAUUCCUUAUUUUUAGAGGAUGGAUAAUAUAGAUUUUUUAGCAAUAACCUAGUAUUUGAAUUGGCUGAAAUGAAUUUGUCUAUUAUAUAAUGAAAACAACAGAAACCCACUGUUUUGAAAACUUCUAAGAUUUUUCUUUUGGUGUUCUAAUCUCAAGCUUCUUUUUUGUUCAGGAACACAGCGACUUCCUCGUCUGGUUGGUCUUCCAAAGGCUUUAGAAAUGAUGCUGGUGAGAUUAGUAGCUCUUGCUUUUGAUUUUUGACACCUUGCUGUAGAAUAGCUUCAAUGGUCAUUCAUAUCUUUUGCUUAUUUCUGUACCUGUCUCUCUCAACUUAUCCAAACUUGCUACACUUGAACAGACAUCCAAGCCAGUCAAGGAGAAGAAGCCUUCUCCUCUGAAAUGUCACUAACGCAUUUCAUAGAUGUCAAACUCCUCUCUUGCUCACCAGUGAAUGACCAUUACCAACACCUCACAAAUUUCUUGUGAGAUUUCAGUUUUCAGAACGAAUCAAGAUCCUCAUCUUGGAAGCCGCCAAUCUCCUUUUAUCAGGCACGGCUCUCAUUUUCCCUCCUUUUUCAUCUAUCGUUUAUAUAUACAUUGUUAACAAUGAUGAUGAUGAUGAUGAUGAUGUUUACUCUGGCUUACGGUUGCGAAAUUUGAUUGUGGAAUUCUCUUUUUCCUUAAUUUAGGUCUUCUCUAUCCUGAGUAUUUAUUCAGUCUAGUUGGAAUUGCAUCUGAAAUUGGGCUGAAGGUAAUGAAUUCAGGAAGUUUAGGUUUUUUUUUCUUUUUUUGAAAGGUUGUGUUGGUACGAUUUUGGAUAAGAAUAAGAAGGAAGUGUUAAGAAUCUGUGCAGUGAAGAUGGUUUGAAUAGUGAACGUAAUCACACUAUGGAACACGUUCAAUUGAUUAGGCAGAUAAAAACAACCAAGUGCUAUUACAAAAUUCUUGGGGUGAAGAAAAAUAGCUCUGCUCAAGAGAUUAAGAGGGCUUAUAAGAAACUGUGCCUGAAAGUUCACCCGGAUAAAAACAAGGCUUCUGGUUCUGCUGAAGCACUCGACAAAGUAAACAAAGCUUUCAGGUGUUCCAUUCCAAAAGCCACAUUCAUAGCAAUCAAGAGGUGCUUCCGCUUUUCACGACUCCUGCAUCAAUUGUAUUUUAUGCUUAAUAUAAGGAUGAAGAUACAUUAUACUGCAACUAACUUCUAACAAAUUAAAUUAAACAUAUGAAAAGUGAGAACAAUUGUUACUUUUCAUUCUUCAACAAAGCAUUUAUGAGCGAACCAUUAGCCAUAAAUUCUGUUACUUCUAAAAUCUUCUCACUGGUACAAUAAAAACAAUAAAAAGGACUUGAGUCAAGGAACAAAAAGAAAAAUACACAAAUAACAAGAAAAGAAUAGCCAAUUAAACAGCAAACAAAUGAGAACAAUUGUUACUUUUCAUUCUUCAACAAAGCACCUAUGAGCGAACCAUUGGCCAUAUGUUCUGUUAUUGUGGCCACAGAUCUCCCAAGCCCAUCAUGCACGACACCAUAAAAAGUACCACAUUUGGGUGGUGCAAAUCAGCAAACUUAAUUGCUUCAUUCUAAAAAUCUGCUCAUUGGUACAGUAUAAAACAAUAAAAAGGACCUGAGUCAAUGAACAAAAAAAAAAAAAAAUACAUGAAUAACAAAAGAAAAGAAAAGCCAAUUACUUAAAGUGAACAACCUUGCGAUCUUGUUUACAAGGCUUCCUAGCAAAACACCUAUCAUUGACUCAUUUUAUAGCAACAUUAGUUCCCCUCCAUUUUCCAUGAUAAAAAGUGCCAAAGACCCCAAUUCUCUUAAUUCUUCAAGGUCACUAUUGUUUAUUACCCGAAGGAAAGAAGAAAAAGAAAAAGAAAAGGAUGUUCGGAUGGACAAUUUAAACAUAAAGUGUAACCUUAAGGUUGAAAAUGGAAAACUAAGUAUUACCUGCAAGCGGCCAAGGCCUUUUGACAUUGGAAAACCAAGAUUUGCUUUACCUGAAAGUCUUGUCCUGCCAUCGUGGGCAAACAUGAAACAAGAAUAAUUAUGGCAAAGGACGUGACAUAUUCCCGUUGAAUAGCCAAAUGAAUGAUGUGUAUGUUGCAUCUUGUUUUGGAGAAUGUUCAACAUUGUAUUGGUGUCUUAUUUACACUUUGUAUAAAUUAGUCAGAUGUCUUGAAUGGUGCUUUUGCAUUGUUUUGUUUGCAUUCCACUCUCAGAUAAUGGAAGACAAUAAAAAUAAUCCUCUUGUUUUACUUGUGUUUUAGUAUGCUUCCUUUUAUCCAUUGUUUGGAACUUUCCUUCAAAUGGUUGAGCUUCCGGUGUCAAAGUACCAUCACAUUUGUUGUAAUUUAUUGAGCUCUUUAGUUAUUUUAUUACUCUAGUUGAAUGGCAUAACUUUCGGUUAAAUUUACAUUCAAAUCUAAUCUUACUUUAACCACCAAUAUAUGUAUGUAUAUGUGUAAACAAAAUCUUGUAAUAUUGUGUUAUCUUAUUAACUAUGUUGCGAAGUUUAUGUAACAUUUCACUUGAUUGUACUUUUUUUAAAAAUAGGACUUUUUUUCAUAAUUUUUCAAACACAACUAAUAUCUACUUGGACUCCUUGUAAAUAGAGUGUAUUCUUGAUUAACUUAAAUACUUAAAUUUGUUUACAACACAUAUCAAUUACUAAAAUUUCAAAUUAUCAAAAUUCAACAUAUCCAUAAGUUAAAAAACAUAUUUUGUAAUAAUACUCGAAAUUUGGGAUGGGUAGUCUGGGUUGUUAGUGUUGUUAGUGUUGUUAGUGUUAGAAUACCUCUAGUGGUUUGUGUCAAAAAUGUCUCAUUUUAAAAGUUGAAAGAUGCCCUUAAACUUUCGAAAACGGUUCAAAAAUACCAUUGUCUUUGGUUUUAAAUGAAAGUUGCUAAAGUUUUGUUUAAAAAAUAAUCAUCAACUAUUGAAAAGUUUUGUUUAAAAAAUAUUGAUGAAUUAUUGAAAGUUCCAUGAGUAUCCUUUUAAGCUUAAAAAAAAUUCAAAAAAUUGUUCAUCAAUCCAAUUCAUACACCUAUUUUUUUACACUUAUAAUAAAAAGCCCAUAAAAAGUAGAGAACUUGUGUAGAGAACUCUUCACUCUUGCCUGAAGCUACAAUAGCCCGUAGAAAGUAGGAGAGUUAAGCUUGUUAGGUUAGAAUGUGUUGGGUUCGCUUGGGAUCAAAACUUGCAUCAGAACUUUUCACUCACGGUCAAAGCCACAAUAGCGGGUAGAAAGUAGGAGAGUUAAGCCUAUUAAGUCAUAAUGCAUCGGGUUCCUUCAGGAUCAAACUUUCGUAGGAAACUCUUCACUCUCGACCGAAGCCACAAUAACACGUAAAAAGUAGGAAAGAUAAGGUGGUUAGGUCGAAAUGCAUCGGGUUCCUUCCAUAUUAGUAUUUGCAUAGGGAACUUUUCACUCUUGGCGAAAGCAACAAUUUUCUGAAGAAAGUAGGUGAGUUGAAGCGAUUAGAUCAGAAUGGGAUGGGUUCCUUCGGGAUCAAUACUUGCGUAGGGAACUUUUAACUCUUGGGGGAAGCAAAAAUAGUUCGUAGAAAGUCGAAGAGUUAAGCCAAUUAGGUUAGAAUGCGUCGAGUUCCUUCAGGAUUAAAAUUUUUGUAGGGAACUCUUCACUCUUGGCCGAAGCAACAAUAGCCCGUUGGAAGUAGAAAAGUUAAGCAAGUUGGGUCAAAAUGCGCUUGGUUCUUUAAUAUAUUACAUGUUUAUACCUUUUCAAUUCAAUACUUCUUUACUUUUCACUUAUCAAUGUGUUAUUAGUAGCUUAAUUUAGCGAUAAGUUAUUGAUAAGAAGUUUAGUUUAUAAUUCUCGUCGCAUUAGUUAGGCUAUGCUCAUCGCUUAGCCAACAUCAAUCGCCAACUACUCGAGAGGGCAAGUAGCAAGGAUAAGGCUAAUACGUGCAAGGGGGAGUUUCGCGACAAACUCCACCUUAGUGAGAUAACUUCCAUCAUUUGUAUACCGAGAGAUGAACAAGUGUGAACAUUAGGCACCGAGAGGUUGUUGUCCUUAAUUGCGAUGCUCUAUACGUUUUAUAAGUGAAAUCUUCUAGAUAUAUCUCUUCUAAGCACACUUAAUCAUAUGGAUUCUGAGAGGUGACUGUUGGAUCGGUAUGGCAACCCUAGAGGGGGGUGAAUAGGGUUUAAAUAAACUUUUUGACAAAUAAAAAGUAAAAUCAACUAAUUAGAUAUUUUCUAAAAUUUAAAUAAAGAACUUUGUAAACUUUGUUAAAUAACAAGAUUGAUAAAAAGAUAUGAAUGGAAGUAUGCAAUCAAACUCAACCAAUAAUAAUAUGUAACUAAAAUUAAAUUAAAAAAUAAUUAGAAAAGAGUUAGAGAAGAAGACACCGUAAUUUUAUAGUCGUUCGGUUAAACUCAACCUACAUCCACUUUCCCAAGCACCUUGGGAUUUUGAUUAAAAAUCUUCUUUGGACUCUUUCCACGGAUUUGAGAACCGAUUCUUGCUCCUUUUUCGGGUUCAAGAGCAAACCCGAUCCUUUCCACGGGUUAGGAUCCAACCGUUACAAUAUGAUGAAAUUUUUAAAUCACACAAAAGAAAACUCUCUAAAAGAGUGAGUAUACAAUUUGAAGCUCACAAAUUUAAUCCUCACAAUACAAUAAGAAGCUCUCAAGAAUAAGAUGAAAAGAAUAAAAAUUGGAAGCUUUAGAGAGAAUAACAAUGUUGGCUUUUUGCUUGAGGAUUGUAAAGAUGUUGUGAUCUUGUGUAAAUGUGAAGUAUUUAAAAAGAGAGGAUAAAUUCAAAAUCAUUUGGGUCAUUAGAUAUAAGUAAAAGAAAAAUGAAUGGUUGAGAUUUAAACUUAAUUAGCCGUUAGACACAAUACAAAUAAUAAUAUAAUAAUAUGUCUUUUCAAAAUAUUUUGUUUAAAAAGAAAUCAAUAAAGCAACUUCACCCUCUUUUAAAAAAACUAGCCGUUAGACACAAGAAAAAUAAUAAUAUUAAAAUCAUUUUCUUUUAAAUUCAUUUUCUUUAUAAAAGCCAAUAAAACAUAACAAAAAGCCACAUUUGUUACUCUUCAUUGCUUCAAGUGGCUUUCUCUAAUUGGUUCAAAUUGAAUGCUUGGUCGCCACGUCACCAUCUCGGGUAUUUUUUCGUUAACCUUCUUUAGCAAUAUUUUCUUCAUUUGAACUUCGAUUUGGGUGAUUCAAGAGGCGUUAGAAUCAUUUUUCCAAGCUCUACGAUAUGGUCUAUUCAAAUUAAUAAAAUUGUCAAUAAAAAAAAUCAGAUUUGUUAUCAUCAAAACAUAAAUUAAUUGAAUAAUAAUAAAUUAAUUGAAUAUAAAUUUAAUUUGAGAUUAAGGGCCAAAAAGCCAACAAUCUCCCCCUUUUUGAUGAUGACAAAUCAUUGAAGAAAAAUAACUUGAAACACACAUGAUCAACAAGUAAUUCUAUUAUCAAGAUGUAUAACCAUAAAGCUCAUGUAUAUAUUUCACCACAAAGAACAUACUUGAAAACAAUUGAUAAGAGAACCUUCUUUGUCCUUAAUUAAUUUUUUUCUCUAAAAAAAUAUGCAUUAUUCAAUAGAAACAAUUAUGCAACAAAUUGAUAAAAACAUAUUUUUCUUAUACUUCUCCCCCUUUGGAAUCAUCAAAAAAAUACCAAUGAAGUUAGCUCUCCAAAAAAAACAUGAACACAUACAAAAUGUCUAAUUCUCCCCCUAUCAAUAUGCAUUACGGUAACAAUAUCAAGUAAGAUAUAAAAUCAAGAUGCAUCCAACGAAUAAUUCCAAGCUCAAGCCUAUUUUUACAAAAGCUUUCUUCACUCAAAGGUUUGGUAAAUAUAUCCGCUAAUUGAUUAUUGGAACUUACAAACUCAAGAGUAAUAUGACCAUUUUGUACAUGCUCUCUAAUAAAGUGAUGCCUAAUAUCUAUAUGCUUAGUUCUAGAAUGAUGAAUAGGAUUCUUAGUCAAAUUUAUGGCACUAGUAUUAUCACAAAAUAUAGGCACAUUAUCAAAUUUUAAUCCAAAAUCACAAAGAGUUUGUUUCAUCCAAAGAAUUUGUGCACAACAACUAGCAACCGCAAUAUAUUCCGCUUCGGUAGUGGAUAAGGCAACCGAAUUUUGCUUUUUACUAAACCAAGAUACUAAGGAACUACCAAGAAAUUGACAAGUCCCACUAGUACUUUUACGGUCAAGUAAACUACCGGCAAAGUCCGCAUCGGAAUAUCCUACCAAAUUAAACUCAACAUUUCUAGGAUACCAUAAUCCAACAUCAAUAGUUCCAAGCAAAUAUUUAAGUAUCCUUUUAACAGCAUGGAAAUGUGAUUCUUUAGGACAAGAUUGAAAUCUAGCACAAAGACAUACACUAAACAUGAUAUCGGGUCUACUAGCGGUCAAAUAAAGUAAAGAUCCAAUCAUACCUCGAUAAGUCUUUAUAUCCACACACUUACCUUUUUCAUCUUUGUCAAGCUUAGUGGUAGUGCUCAUAGGAGUUUUUGCAACUUUACCUUCAUUUAAUUUGAAUUUCUUGAGCAAAUCCCUUGUGUAUUUUUCUUGACUUAUGAAGAUGCCAUCCUUGAGUUGUUUGAUUUGAAGACCAAGGAAGAAACUAAGUUCUCCAUCAUACUCAUCUCAAACUCAUUAUGCAUACACUUGGAAAAUUCUUCACACAAAGAUGAAUUAGUAGAACCAAAUAUAAUAUCAUCCACAUAAAUUUGUACUAUAAGCAUGUCAUUAUUUUUAACUUUAAUAAAUAGAGUAUUAUCAAUUUUUCCAUCUUAAAGUCAUUCUCAAGUAAAAACUUGCUAAGUCUAUCAUACCAAGCUCUUGGAGCUUGUUUUAAGCAUAAAGAGCCUUUUUCAACUUAUAAACAUGAUUAGGUAAAUCAAAACUUUCAAAGCCCGGAGGUUGUUCUACGUAAACUUCCUCCACAAUAUAACCGUUUAAAAAAGUACUUUUUACAUCCAUUUGAUACAAAUGAAAUUUUUAUAAGAAGCAAAAGCAAGCAACAUUCUAAUAGCUUCUAAUCUAGCAACCGGUGCAAAAGUUUCUUCAUAAUCUAUACCUUCUUCUUGACAAUAACCUUGAGCUACAAGUCUAGCUUUUUUCUAAUGAUAUUUCCAUUUUCAUCCAUCUUAUUUCUAAAAACCCAUUUAGUUCCGAUUAUAGAUGCAUUAGAAGGCCUAGGGACUAAUUUCCAAACUUUGUUUCUUUCAAAUUGAUUUAAUUCUUCUUGCAUAGCUAAAAUCCAAAACUCAUCACAUUCGGCAUCUUUAAAACUUCUAGGUUCAAUUUGAGACACAAAAGCAAGAUUACUAAAUAAAUUAAGAGAAGAACGAGUUUUGACACCUUGUUCGGGAUUGCAAGAAUUAGAUCCUUGGGAUGGGAUAGAGCAUAUCUCCACUCUUUAGGCAAGGAUGAAGAACCCUCUUCUUUCUUCUCUAUGAUGUUCACAUCUUGCAUACUUGGAACAAUUUCUUUGCCUUUCAUUAACAAGUAAAUCUCCAAAAUCUUUUUCUAAAUCAUCACUACAAAUAGACUCAUUAGAAACAUUAUUCCAAGAUUCAUCAAAUACAACAUGAAUAGAUUCCUCAAUAACUAAAGUUUUCUUAUUGAAAACUCUAUAAGCUUUACUAGUAGAGGAAUAUCCUAGAAAAAUACCAACAUCCGUCUUAGAAUCAAAUUUUCCAAGUUUUUCUUUGUUAUUCAAAAUAAAACACUUACAACCGAAAACUUUGAAAUACCCAAUAUUUGGAAUUUUUCCAUGCCAAAGUUCAUAAGGAGUUUUAUCUAAAGAUGGUCUAACUAAAACUCUAUUUGAAACAUAGCAAGCGGUGUUAACGGCUUCCGCCCAAAAAUAUUUAGGUAAACCAUACUCAUUCAACAUUGAUCUAGCAAAUUCUUGCAAAGUACGAUUUUUCCUUUCAACUACACCAUUUUGUUGAGGAGUUCUUGGAGAGGAAAAAUUAUGGGAAAACCAUUUUCUUCACAAAAGCUUUAAAAGCAUCAUUAUCAAAUUCUCCUCCGUGAUCACUCCUAAUUUUGGAAAUAAAAAAUCCUUUUCAUUUUGUACUCUUUUUGCAAAACUAAUAAAACUUUUCAAAGCAUCAUCCUUAUGUUUUAUCAUCAAAACCCAAGUAAAUCUAGAAAAAUCAUCAACUAUCACAAAAGCAUAAUAAUUUCCUCCAUAGCUAGCAAUUCUAGAAGGCCAAAUAAGUCCAUGUGUAAUAGUUGUAAGGGUCUAGUAGUAGAGAUCACAUUUUUAGAUUUGAAAGAGGACUUAGUUUGCUUACCCAUUUGACAAGCAUCACAACUUUGUCUUUUUCAAAUUUAAAACUAGGAAGACCUCUAACCAAACAAUUUUUAGAAAUAUUUGAAAUUAAGUGCAUGCUAGCAUGUCCUAGUCUUCUAUGCCAUAACAAGAAUCAUUAUGCAAACGAAAGACAUUUAUCAAUAAUAGGAUAAUCAUUCAAAUCAAGAGUGUACACAUUUCAUCUCCAUUUCCAACAAACAAAACUUUUCUAUCACUAACAUUUUCAAUUAUGCAAUUUCUUUUAUCAAAUAUUACUCUAAAUCCUUUAUCACACAAUUGACUAAUACUAAGCAAAUCAUGCUUUAAACCAUCAACCAAAUGAACAUUUUCAAUCAAAGUAGAUGAAUCAUUUCCUAUAUUACCCUUACCAAUUAUUUUACCUUUUUUGUUGUCACCAAAGGUUACCAUGCCUCCAUUCUUUUUGGAGAAAGAGAUAAGCUUGGAUCGGUCUCCCGUCAUGUGUCUUGAGCAACCACUAUCCAAGUACCAUUUGUUUUUCUUGGAGGCUUUCAAACAAACCUUAUCAUCAUGUUCAUCAUCUUUUGUCACUAUGAGCCAUGAGACCAAGAUUUGCCAUUUCUUCAACUUCACUUUCACUUUCACUACUAUCAUCCCAUGUAGCCUUCAUUGCCUUCUUCUUGGAUUUCUUAGAUGAUUUGAGGAGAGGACAAUCCGUUCUUAUAUGACCCGAUCUUUGCAUUCAUAACAAAUCACCUCAUCCUUUUUGCUUUUCUCACCUUUUGACUCUUUUUGGGUUGAUAGGUGUUUCUUGAAAUAUUUCUUUCUUUUUAUGAAAUUUUUGUACUUACGUGAGAAAUAAGCAAUGUCAUCUUCAUCAAGGCCAUCCUCAUCUUCGGGAUCAACUUCCAAGGAGAUAGUCUUUAAUGCAAUGUUCUUCUUCUUUUUGGACUCAUCCUCCAAGUGCUCCUUCAUGAUGAUCUCAUGAGUCAUGAGUGAGCCAAUAAGCUCCUCUAGUGGAAGUUUGGUGAGAUCCUUUGCUUCUUGAAUCGCCGUUACCUUAGCUUCCCAAGUCUUAGGUAAAGACCUUAGAAUUUUCUAACAUUUUCGGAAGUUGUAUAAACUUUACCAAGACCCUUCAAAGCAUUUAUGAUGUUAGUAAUCUAGUAAACAUAUCGGUGAUAGUCUCAUUAGCAUCCAUCUUAAACAAUUCAUAAUUAUGAACAAACAUGCUAAUUUUAGACUCUUUAACUUGAUUUGUUCCUUCAUGAGUAAUUUCAAGAGUAUUCCAAAUUUCUUGAGCGGAAGAACACAUGGAUAUUCUAUUAAAUUCAUCUUUACUCAAGGCACAAUACAAACAGUUAAUAGCCUUAGCAUUAAAUGAACACUUUUUCAUUUCAUUUUCAUCAUACUCUUCUUCUAAUUUAGGCGUAUCAACAUUAUCAACAUUUUUCAUGGGUACAUAAGGACCUUUAGCAACAAUUAACCACAAAUUAUAGUCAAUAGAUUGCAAAUAAAUUUUCAUUCUUGCUUUCCAAUAUGCAUAAUUUGAACCAUCAAAAUAAGGAGGUCUAGAAGUAGAUUGACCUUCAACAACCAUUUGCCAAUAGGUUUGCAUAAUGCUCUAACAAUAAAGUUUAUCAAGAAAUUAAAAUUUCAAGAUGAGCAACCUCGCUCUGAUACCAAUUGUUGGAUCGGUAUGGCAACCCUAGAGGGGGGUGAAUAGGGUUUAAAUAAACUUUUUGACAAAUAAAAAGUAAAAUCAACUAAUUAGAUAUUUUCUAAAAUUUAAAUAAAGAACUUUGUAAACUUUGUUAAAUAACAAGAUUGAUAAAAGAUAUGAAUGGAAGUAUGCAAUCAAACUCAACCAAUAAUAAUAUGUAACUAAAAUUAAAUUAAAAAAUAAUUAGAAAAGAGUUAGAGAAGAAGACACCGUAAUUUUAUAGUCGUUCGGUUAAACUCAACCUACAUCCACUUUCCCAAGCACCCCUUGGGAUUUUGAUUAAAAUCUUCUUUGGACUCUUUCCACGGAUUUGAGUCGAACCGAUUCUUGCUCCUUUUUCGGGUUCAAGAGCAAACCCGAUCCUUUCCACGGGUUAGGAUCCAACCGUUACAAUAUGAUGAAAUUUUUAAAUCACACAAAGAAAACUCUCUAAAAGAGUGAGUAUACAAUUUGAAGCUCACAAAUUUAAUCCUCACAAUACAAUAAGAAGCUCUCAAGAAUAAGAUGAAAAGAAUAAAAAUUGGAAGCUUUAGAGAGAAUAACAAUGUUGGCUUUUUGCUUGAGGAUUGUAAAAAGAUGUUGUGAUCUUGUGUAAAUAUGAAGUAUUUAAAAAGAGAUGAAAGAUAAAUUCAAAAUCAUUUGGGUCAUUAGAUAUAAGUAAAAGAAAAAUGAAUGGUUGAGAUUUAAACUUAAUUAGCCGUUAGACACAAUACAAAUAAUAAUAUAAUAAUAUGUCUUUUCAAAAUAUUUUGUUUAAAAAGAAAUCAAUAAAGCAACUUCACCCUCUUUUAAAAAAACUAGCCGUUAGACACAAUGAAAAAUAAUAAUAUUAAAAUCAUUUUUCUUUUAAAUUCAUUUUCUUUAUAAAAGCCAAUAAAACAUAACAAAAAGCCACAUUUGUUACUCCUUCAUUGCUUCAAGUGGCUUUCUCUAAUUGGUUCAAAUUGAAUGCUUGGUCGCCACGUCACCAUCUCGGGUAUUUUUCCGUUAACCUUCUUUUAGCAAUAUUUUCUUCAUUUGAACUUCGAUUUGGGUGAUUGAAGAGGCGUUAGAAUCAUUUUUCCAAGCUCUACGAUAUGGUCUAUUCAAAUUAAUAAAAUUAUCAAUAAAAAAAGUCAGAUUUGUUAUCAUCAAAACAUAAAUUAAUUGAAUAAUUAAAAUAAAUUAAUUGAAUAAUUAAAAUAAAUUAAUUUGAGAUUAAGGGCCAAAAAGCCAACAGUGACCAUAUGUGACGUUUAAUGACUCUGAGAGGAACACUUCUUAAUUAUAAGUUAGUUGAGCGAGAUAUAUCCUAUUAAAGUUGUCGUGUUACUUAAUCGCAUUAUAACGCAAAGACAUUCCUUUGCUCUUUCUUGCAUACAAGUUAGUUCCCAUUUCUAUUUUGUCAUCCAUAUUCCCUUUUAUAGAAUCUCUAAGCGUAGAUAUCUAGUGGUAGUUUGUUCUUGUAUUUCUUUUAUACCAUUCGUUAUUCUUUAAUUCUUUUAUACUGCCUAGAUAAUAAGUAAUACCUAAAAUUAAUAUCUUGAAUCAAUUCCUUAUGUUCGACCCGGGAUCACCCAAGUAAACCUACCAUUUCACUUGCACUUGGACAAGUAGUAAGAAAACUUGUACUCAAGAGGACUUAGUUGCCACACGAUAUGAAGGUCUAGUGAGCAAUUCACGUGCAGUUAACAUGCUUAGUGAUAUAUCGCCUAGAUUGAGUAUAAUUUUCAUUCACCAUUUACUAGCACUAAGUCCUGAUUGUUGAAGAGAAACAACACCUCAAUAACCGGAGCGAUCGACUUCUAUCUUUAGUUAUUCGAUCUUGAACCUUAAUUGCACCGAGAGAUGGCCUGGGAUGAAACAAAUUUACAUUUAUUUUAUUCAGUCUCGAGCAUACAUUGUCCUAAGAUGCUACAUUAUGAAAGACUUUUGCCUUUAGUUAUUCAAUCUCAGGCCUUAAUUGCACUGAAAUGGCUCGGGAUGAAAGAAUUCUGUCUUUAUUUUAUUUAAUCUUGGGCAUACAUUACAUUGAGAUGCUCCGAAAUGAAAUUUUUUUGCCUUUAGUUAUUCGAUCUCGACCUUAAUUGCAUCGAGAUGACCCGUUAUUAAUAAAUCACAAAGAAGAUAUAAAUCGCAAAGGACGUCUAUGGAAUUUGUGAAAAAAUAAUCUCGCAUCAUGGACUUUUCUUAUUUUGUUAUACGAACCAUAAAUAUUUUGGAUUUUUCUACAUUUAUGUAAAUUACUCUUAAAUUAAUCUAAUUAAUAUUUAAUUGGAAAUCACCGCCACUUGGAUAUAGGAAUACGGGAGCAUCCCACAUUCUCUAAAUAACACCCACAUAUGGAAGUUAUUAUCUUAAUUUAAAUUAUUGAUCACAAAUAGCAAAAAAGUUAAAACUAUUUACAAAAUAUAGCAAAAAAUUGAAACUAUUUACAAAAAGACUCAAAUGUGCUAUAGAGAAUUUAAUUAUUAUGCUAAUUAGUUUCAAUUUAAUUAGUAUAUUUGAAAAUUCCACUUAAAUUUGAUUAACACUAAAAUAAUUAGUUAAUAUAUAAUAAUUAUUUAAAUCACAUUUAAUUAAUAUUUCAUUUAAAUCACAUUUAAAUGAAUAUCUCUCACAUAACCAAUAGUUUUAAUUUAAUUAAAUAGAAUUAAACUAAAUUAUUAAUUCUUCAAUUAUUUAAUUUCUAAAUUAAAUAUUUUAUAUUUGAUUUAAUAUAGAUUUGAAUCAUACUCAUAUAUGAAUUUCUCUCAUAACCUAUUGUUUGAAUUUGUAUCAUAUACGUAUUAAAUUUUAAUCUAUAGUUUUAUUACAAAUUUAAUCCAUAUUAAAUUAACAUUUGAACUCAUUCAAAUAUUUAUUAUUUCAUAAAUUAAUUUUAAACCAUAUACAAAAUUAAAUUUAUAUAAUAAAGUUCAAUUAAAAGAUAAAUUUUAUAUUAUAAUAUAUCACCAUACAUUAUACUAAUUUUCAAAGUAAAUAUGAACAUUUCAAAUUAGAGUCAAUAUGUAAUAACCUUAAUACCCUUUACAUACUAGGAAGGGACCUAAUAAAUUUACAUUUCAAAGUGUUGGGAGCUAGUUACCAUAGUUGAAAUCAAUUUAUUUACUUUAGUUGUCGUAUUAUCCUUAAGAGCACCUCAUGCCUCCACAUCAAUAAUCAUUUUAUCUCAUUGCAACAAUCACCCAUAUAAAUAUUGAAUCAACAUAUGGUUCUGUACCUAAUGAUGAAAAACUUGGCACUGUGCCAAGUAUCUCCCCCAAUAAUCGUAAAGUGAUUCAUCCUUUCCUUGUGUGAUGCCAUAGAUUUUCUUCCUCACACUAGUAGCAUAAAAGGUUGAAAAGAACUUUUCCAAAUAUUGUCUCUACAUCUACUCCCAUGAAAUAAUGCUCCCUGGUGACAAGUAAUAGAGCUAAUCUUUCACUUCUUCGUGUUACGAGAAGGGAAAAGCUCUCAUGUUCGUCUGCUCAAGGGUUAUAAUGUGAGGACUCAUCCCAUUGCAAACAAUAUGAGGCUCGACUAUCGAGAAUAUAACGACUGAACCCUAAGUUUGUCCAUAAGUUCACUUUAGCAGUUAGCUAAAUGAAAAUCUACUUAUAAUAUGGAGCAAGCACUAGAAGAAAUUUGCUCUUUAUUGUCAGUUUAGAACCGACAUUAAUGGCCUUUGGUGUCAGUUCGGAAUUGACAUCUAUGCUAGCGUUAUUAAAGGCCUUUAAUGUCAUUUUUGCUUUGAUGUCAGUUUAAAAAUGACAUCAAAUGCAUCAUUGAUGGCCACUGAUGUCGGUUUUAAAUCAACAUUUUUUAUGGCGUAAUUGUUGACCUUACUGUUGGUUUUCCUUUAAUGUCGUUUUUAAACCGACAUCAAAGCCUUGUUUGUUUUUUUAAUUUAUUUAUUUUAAUUAUUUUUCAUGGUGUCGAAAUCGACAUUAUUUGUUACGAAUUACGACAUGAAAUGUUCGUCAUCGAAUAUUAAAAAAGUAUAAAAAAUAAUUGUUGCAUGAUUGCUAGUUCUACCACUCCAUGGCAAACCUUAUAUAUUACUUCCAUAUUUCACCUGCAAGGCAGAAGAUCAACACCUACAAAACAAGCAUACACUUCCACACAUCCAAUGGCAAACUAAUACUAUUUCUAGCUAUAUAGAAUUCAAACCUACAAAACCAGCACAUACACUUCCACACUUCGAUGCAAACUAAUAAUAUUUCUAGCUACAGAACUCAACACCUAAAAACCCAACAUAUAUACAUUUUUCCACACUUCCAUAGCAAACCAAUAUUUCCAUUUCACCUACAAGGAAGAAGAUCAACACCUACAAAACCAGCAUACACUUCCACACAUCCAAUGACAAACUAAUACAUUUCUAGCUAUAGAAUUCAACAUGUAAGAAACCUACAAAACCAACACAUACAUUUCCACACUUCCAUGGCAAACCAAUAUUUCCAUUUCACCUACAAGGAAGAUCAACCCCUACAAAACCAGCAUACACUUCCACACAUCCAAUGGCAAACUAAUACUAUUUCUAGCUAUAGAAUUCAACAUGGUAAGAGGCCACAAAACCAGCACAUACACUUCCACACUUCCAUGGAAAACUACAAAAAUACACUUUUCCACACUUUCAUAAUACUACAAAAAUACACAUAUCAAUCAAGUAAAUAAUAUGUAAAGUAUUAAAGUAUGUGUACAACAAAUUCCUCCACUAAUACACACUUUCCACAUAGUACUACAACAAAUACACUCUAAAGUCAACACCUAAAACACUACAAUACAACACUUAUUCAUAAACUACUACAAGCAGAAAACCUCAAAAUUAAAGUAUGUACAACAAGUAGUACUAGAAUCUCGUAGCUUAUAUAUUAAAACAAUUAGUAUUAGUACUAGUAACUUAUAUACUACAAAAAAAGUGUAAAAGCUUACACAAAUCGGCUAACAAAGCUUGCAUAUUUUGUUCGAAUCUCGUCAAUCUCCUCUUGCGUAUAUGCACUUUUUUGUAUUAAACUACGUAAAAAGAAAGGUAUGAAAAGAAUAAGUUUAGAUAAUUUAUGUAAUUUGUAACAUAUAAAAAGUGAAAGUAGAAACUUACAAGGCUAGUGAUGGGAGUACAAGAAAUAUGCACGAUUUCAUGUAUAUACUUUUGGACAUAAUACCCACACCCAACCGAAUCCAAUUGACGAGGACACUGCAUGUAUAUAAAUUACAUACAAAUUAUUCUUAUGUUUCAUUGAAAAUAAUUAUGUGUCAAUGCAAAUUACCUUUAUAGGUUUCCAUUUCGGAUUUGACCGAUAAUGUUGUAAAUCAUGCUUAGCUUGCCAUGUUUUUAAUCCUCUAUACAUUUGGAAACAUUAGAAUUAGAAGACAAUGAAGUCAAAUAAGAAGUAAAUCAUAAGUCACAUUUAUGACUCCAUGGCUUCGUUAACUUUACUUCGAAGAGAGUCCAAAACAUAAACACAGUUCUCUCGAAGAUCGAUGACAUGCAACAUCCAAUGAAAACUACAAUAAACAUCUUCAAUGUGAGUAUACAUUUAACCUCAAUGAAAAACAUAAUAAUGUGUUAAUCUUAUUUAUUUACCCAGUAUUAUACGGAAUUAGAACUAUUUGUUCCAAGGUAGCCACUUCUAACUGGUUGGCAAAAUUUCUGGAUCGGAGAUCACGAUCCUUGAUAUGUGAUGUUAUUUUUGCUUGGUCAUAACAAAAAACUUGCUUCCACAAUCACAUUCAUCCCAAAGAUAUCUAAGUAAAAGCAACCUUAGUUAAAAAGGAACAAAAUAACUAUAGUAUAGUAUUGGACAUAAAGAUGAGUAAAAGAUGUUUACUUACGUAAUGUAUGCUAGGAUGCACAUAUAGCCUAUUUCUACCAUGCCGCAAUAAUGGAGCAAGUCCUAACGAGCUAAAUAAAUGAAUUUGUUUUUACCGAAUAUUAGCUCGUUCAUUAGGAUGCGAACCAUAUCUACAUCCUUCAUAUUGUUCACGACAUGUCCAUAUAAGAGCUUAAUGGUUCCAUUAACAUUUAUGUAAUUUGAAGAAUACAGAACAUCCUUUGGGGUUGAAUGCUCCAAGCACAAACAAAAUAAUAUCAAAACCUAAAAUACAAUCACAAAUAAAUAUCAAAGCUUCAAUAGCACAUAAACAAGUCAACGAGGUCAUUCAACAAUAUUACCUAAUGCUUGAUUUAAAGUCUCUAUCUUGCCCUUCACUGGAAUAGGUAAACUACAAUCUCCUCCUGUGAGCAAGUCCACCAAGAUUUUAACAUUGGGACCACCAUUGCUAUCAUCAAGUACGGUUUCUAUUGCAACAAUAUUAUUAAUCAUUCCUAUAGCCAAUUUGCACGGUGUUUACUUUACAAGUAUUAAAAGCAUCAUUAAGAACAAUUUAUCCUAUAAACAUUAAAAUUUUAAAAGUGACAACAAAGUUAAUUACCUUCACUUCUUCGUUCAUAGGUGUGUUGCCCAAAUCCUCAUCGGCAUAGAGAUCUAUGUUAACACUUCUGAUGGACGAUCUCAAGUGAUUAUGACCCUUUUUGUAACUUUUGCUUUUUGAGUCAUCUUCUACAACUUGAGAACUUGCAAUUUUCUCUUUCCCUUUCACUGUCUUGAAAUAUAGUGAUUGAGAGACAAAACCACCCAUGCCACGUACACGUCCACCAUGCUCCUUAGAGCCCAAUGACUCAGUCAAUAUGUCCUCAUCUCUAUGUGUUUCAGCUAAUGCAUCCUAUAGAACAAUACAAGUAUUCAUCAUUAACUAAGUUAACAAAAGAUUAAAUAUUGUAUAUAAGUAAAUCGCAAGCAAACUUACGAUUCGAGAGACACAAUCUCGAGUAGCAUCAUCAAAAUAAUCAUUGUUUUUUCCUUUUCUUGCUUCUUUCCAAAGAGUUGAACGAUAGGAAAGAUCACAUGUUAUAUUAUGCAACCAAAGAUAUAUAUUUAAUUAGCAUAAACAUGUUAAGAUAAAUUAUUUCAUUCAAUUAGAAAUACUUACUAAUUCUUCGGCAGGAUUUUCAUAUCCCUUACUAGCAAUGUGAUGAUUGUAUAUGCAUUUUGAUCUUCUUUCCCUUUGAAUACGACUAUAAUCCUAUACAAAAAAUUAGUUUGUAGUUACAUGCCAAACCAACAUUAAAGUUAACAUGUAAUUAAAUUUAUUUACCUCACAUUCUUCAGUCAGUCUAGCGUCCACAAAGGAUUUCCAAUCUUCUUGAUUAAUAUGAGAAUAGAUCUUAGGAGGAAACUACAAACAUGAUGGUUGAUCCUUAAACGGAAGUAUAUACAGAAGAGUUAACGUAGUUUUGAAAGUUCGGUACUUUCUUGAUGCAGACAUUAGGAUAGAAUGUCUAACAUUGGGAUGUAACUCAAACGACAUCUACACAAGAAAAAAGAAAAAAAUAUUUAGACUUAGGGAAAUCAAACUACAUUGUAAGAAAAACGUAAUUAUCUUUCAACCGAUAUAUAUAUAAGAUUCAUUACCGAUAUACAAUCGUAGAUUUUAUCUUUCAACUCAUUCGAAACUUGUUUCCAAGAUUUGUAUGUGAUAGGAAUCUGCUGUCGAACACACACACCAAUGUAACUUUGAAUUUUCUUAGAUAUAGCUCUUACAAGUUGCCCAUGUUCAUUAAAUUGAACGGGCAACCGUUGCCCAGAAUUUCUUACAUGCUAACUCUGGCAUAGUCGUUGGGCCACAUGGCACGAAUGAUUUGUUUCUUGCUUUGGGAAUCAUUUUUCUUUCAUCCUCACUUAAGUAUGUGACUCCUCCAUCUAUGAAUCUGCAAAAAAAACAUAUAUGUAUUAGUAAGCACGUUAGUGAGCAAAGUAAGGACAUAAAAUAAGCUUAGUAAUUACAAUCUCUGAACAUAAAUUUAUUAUAAAGGAAAGUAAAUGGCAUACCUUAAUAAAACAUUUAUACAAUUAUUACUUAUCAACCCAUCUACCCUCACAAUCAUGUCUAAUAUAUGAUGAAGUUGUAUCAUCAAUCUCGUGAGGUGUAUCAACAUUGGGCAUCUUUUGAACAACUCCAUAACCACACUCUAGUAGCAUAUCUCCUAUUUCAUCUUCAAAGAAAUCUUCUUCAAUAGUUCUACGUGGAGAUGUUAAAACCACUGACCAUUUAGGAUUUGCAGAAUCUUUCACAUAGAAUAUGUGUUUUGCUUGGGAGGCUAGUCGAACAAUUACAAGUCUUACAUGUUUCAUAAAAUACCAUGAAUUGCCACAAGUAGCAACUGUUGCAUAAGAACGUGAUGGUUUGUACAAGAAUUUCUUCCCCACUCGAUGUCGUUAAAAAAAUAAUUGAUCUCUAAUUGUAUUCACAUCUAAAGUCUUUGCAUUUACGCAUUUUAAACAAGGACAAGUCAUGACGUUCGACAUCUUUGAAUGUUUGAACCCAUUUUUAAUAAACAUCUCAACCCCAAAAGCAUAAUCAGAGGGAGGCGGUGGCUGUCGUGGAUCUGAACGGUGGAAGAACCUCCGGUCAGCGGCUUCGUGAAUCGGAGAUGAAAAGAAAAAGAGAGGUGGGGCGGCUGGAAGAUGUGAGGAAGAGGAAGAGAAAAAGAAAGAAAAAGAAAAACGGGGAAGAGACGUGCGAGAGAGAGAGAGAGAGGAGAGAGAGAGGAGAGAGAAAGAAAAUCUUUGAUUUUCUUUUCUUUUUUUUUAUUUCCUUCUUCUUUAUUUAACUUAAUGAUUUAAAAAAAAAUUAUAACAAUAUUAUUAAAUGUAUAUUAUUAUUAUCUUAACCUUCCAAAUCUCUUUCUCCCUUAACUUUUUUUCUAAAAAAAAAAGAUAUAUAUACACACAUAUAUAUAAUAAGGUACCCUAGAGUUCGAGAUGUUACAAGUGUAGUCUCCAACAUUAAACCUUUGUCAAAUAAAUUUCCAAACUUGAAAUAAACAAAGAUUACUACUACAUAAACUAAAGUAUAAGAAUUAAUAAGAACAUUUUAAGAUUAGAGAAAUAGAAAUAAAACACAAAUAAUUAUUAUAUGUUUAAAAACAAAAGAUGAACUUACAGUCCCUAUAACACACUUAAUAUAAAUCAAGUCUUCACCCUAUUAACCCCAAUCUCCAUUAACACACUUCUCACUACAUCUCCAUAAGUUCCAAAUCAACACUCUCUAUUUACCAUUACAUUUUCUUACCAAACUAAUCCAGAUACCAAUAUGUUAAUAACACGAAGUCAGUGAAAAAUGUCUCAAAAGUUAAUCCUAAAUUAAAUUGAGGAAAGUAGAGAAGCGAAUAUUACGUUCCAAUUUCCAAACAAUGCUAAACUAAAUCUCUCCCUUUCUCUUAUUUGUAGUUACCUUUUAUAUUUAUCAUUCACUAUUUCAUUUCUUCACUCUCUUUGGUACUUUCCUUCUUUACCUUUAAACCCCAAUCUCCAUUAACCCACUGCCCACUUCCUCUUCAUAUCUUCCAAAUCAACUCUCUAUUUACCAUUACAUUUUCUUACCAAACUAAAUCCACAUACCAAUAUGUUAAUAACAAAAAGCAGACAACAAAAAUUAGAACCUACUAAAGAUUGAUUCAAUGAUCUAUUUUGAUGCCUAAAAAAAAAAGCGUAUGAAAAUUCUUUGAACCUCCAGAAGAAGGCUCGAAAGGGCCUCUGUAGUCCACUCCCUUUCGUCCAAUGUCUGAUGAAGUAAUACCAGAUUGGUAUUCACGGGUUGAGUUGCCCUCUGUCUUGGUCUGCCCUGUGCUAGCCGAAGAUGACGGCUGGGCACGCGAUGGUUGCAAUGGCUGGGCACGGUGGUGGCUAUGGUGGUGGAUUCGAAGAUGAUUGGACACGAGGGACUCUUGCGGCGGAAGCACGACGGCGACUGUGACUGGGAAAGACUUGAAGGAAGAGUUAUGGGCGACUGCGAAUGGUCGAAGAUGAUUGAGCACAACAGAGGCGUUUCUCGAUAGCCGAAGCACGAUGGCGAAUGGGAAAGACUUGAAGGAAGAGUUUUAGCCACGACAGCGAUUGGGAUGAAUUAUGGGCACAAAGACGACGAUGAGUUUUAGGUCAUAGAAUGAGAAGAGAAGGGAGAAGGAAAUUCGAAAUCGAGAGAGAAAAUUUUGAUAGGAAUGGGUAAAGUAAGAGAGAGAGGGAAAUUUAAUUUUUACAACUUAAAAAAAUUAAAAAAGAAAUUAAAAAGGGGAAGGGUCUUUAAUGUCAGUUUUCACAUAAUAAAAAAAAUUUAAAAAUUAAAAAUGGAAAUAUCAUUAAUGUCGAUUUAAAACCGACAUUAAUGAUCCGUCUUUUCAGAAAUGACAUUAAAGCCAGAUUUUCAUUUUUUUCACCUGACACUAAAGCCCAUAUUUCUUCUAGUGAAGGAAAGGUUUAGGUUUCAGUUUCAAACAUAUACCAAUUGUAGUCACGCAUCAAUAGUAAGAGCGAAAGUUAACCUAUGAGAUAAUUAAACACUAACUCAACAAACCAUUUAGAAAUUUAAAUCUGAAGGCAUUUCAAUCAAACUUUAGUAACGCUGGGAGAAAAACCUAAUUGUAGCCAUUUUCAUUUUUUAAAAAAAUUAAACAAACUUUUUUAGUCCAAGCAAAUAAGCUUAUCAAUCUUCAGAUCAAUUCCUCAACUAUAAAAUGUCAAAUUGUAUCGUUUUCUAAGAGUUGCUUAACAAUUUCAUCAUUUUUUUAUGCCUCCAAAAACAAAGAUUUGGCAUCAACUUUAGUGGACACCCCCUCCCAAACUACGUUCUAUAAGCCUAAAAGACGGGAUGAAGCCAACAAAUAUCGCCCUCCUCUUUCUACUACUACUAACUCAUACAAUGAUACACUGUUGGAAAGGAUUUUUGGAGGUUGGAGAAAAUUUGGAAGAGAGAAUUGAGAUAAGAGGCUACUUGUGUUAUUAGACACUUCUAUUUUUUUUGACUUAAUACAAGUGGUAGGACAUCCCUCUUAUUUAUCCUAGUUGUCACUCCUAAAUGAAUGGCUAGGAUUUUGCCAACACAUUCUUUAUUUAACGGUUACAAAUGACUCUCUAGAAUAUUCUUUACAAUUACACUCAUUUCUUAUAUUUUCUAAAUGUAUCUUCAAUCUUCUCUAAAUAUCUCCUACAAUUGAUUUAUCUAGAAUAUUGUAGUAAUUAAUACAUUAUAGAAAUUUGGCUUUUAUUUGGGCUAUGCCUAAAUAUUGUUAAACCCAAAAUCAAGUUUAUAUUUCAACAUCCUCUCUUAAACUUGAUUUUGUUACUCCAAGCAGGUCUCUCAAUUUUGUGAAUUCUUCCUUUUUAAGAGGCUUAGUGAAAAUGUUGGCUACCGGAUCACGAGUCUUCAUGCACUCUAACUAUACUUCCUUUCUUCUGAUGCACUCUCUAAUAUAAUAAUAAUGUGUAUCAAUGUGCUUUAUUCUGGUUGUGGAAAACUAGUUUUUGGCCAAAACAAUUGUUGAUUUAUUAUCUAUGAAAACUUCUGGUUGGCUCUUCUUUUGGCAAUAUCAUAACUCCUUUAAUAGAUUUCUCAACCAAGUUACAUGACAAACACAUGAGGUAGCAACCACAUAUUAUGCUUCACACGUAGAGAGAGUAACAAUGGAUUGCUUCUUUGACAUCCAUGUGAAGGCAGUGUGUACACACACAUGCACACAUGCACACAUGCACACGCAUACACAAACACACACACAUGUGCACACUCACACUCACACCCAUCCUCACGACCACACACGCACACGCACACGCACACACCCACACACGAACACACGCAUGAACGCAUGCACACAUCCACAUACACAUGCACGCAAACACGCACGUCCACCCAUACGGGCACAUGCGCACUCACACACACGCACACCUACCUACACGGGCACACGCGCACUCGCACAUGCGCGUACAAGCACACGCACACGCACAAAUGCGCAUGCACACACGCACACGUACAUGCACAUGCACACACACGAACACAUACGCACGCACACACACGUGCACACACAUGCACUCGCACACGCACACCCACCCACACGAGCACACACGCACCGACACACAUGCACGCACAAAUGCGCAUGCACACACGCACACGCACGCGCACACGCAUACGUACACACCCACAUACAUGCGCACAUGCGCAUGCACACACAUGAACACACGCAUGAACGCACGUCCACCCAUACGGGCACAUGCGCACUCACACACACCCACACCCACCUACACGGGCACAUGCGCAUGGACGCACACGAACACACGCAUGAACGCACGUGCACACCCACCCACACGGACACAUGCACAUUUGCACACAUCCACACACACAUGCACGCACGCGCACACGCACAUCCACCCACACGGGCACAUGUGCAGUCACAGACAUGCACACACCCACACCCACAUGGGCACACGCACACUCUCACACGCACACACAAGCAUACGCACACACCCACACACACAAGCACAUGCGCAUGCACACACACGAACACACGCAUGAACGCACGCACACAUUCACACAUGCAUACACACAUCUACACACACAUGCACACACGCACACACACAUACGCACACGCACAUCAAUCCACACGGGCAAACGCACACUCGCACAUAUGCACACACACACGCACACACGUACAUAUGCACAAAGAUGUGAAAAUGAAUUAAAUUUAAAAAACAAUUACAUUAAUUGUGUUGAGAAUGACUUUUAAACUAUAUUCAUUUAACUUAAUAACAUUAAUUAAAUUAUAAUUUCUAUUAAUAUUGAUUUAAGAGUGUCGUUAGUGUAAUUAUAUCAAUAUAAUGCGAUCUUAUCCAAUUUUACCAACAAAAAACAAGUCAAAUAUGGACUAGUAAAUCCACACUCUUUGUCAUAAGAGAUAUAAUAACGUUUUUAUGGGUCAUUUUAAAAAAUGACAAAACAACUUUUUCUUUUGAAUUUUAGCAAAUAGCAUGUUUUAUCUGAAAAAGAUACAUCAACCCAUAAUAACACUACAACAAAUCUUGGUUGUAGUGUCAGGUGAAAAAAAUGAAAAAUUGUCUUUAUUGUCGUUUUUGAAAAGGUGGAUCAAACCGACAUUAAUGAUAAGGGUUUAAUGUCGUUUUUAAAUCGACAUUAAUGAUCAGCCAGUUUUAUUUUUUUUUAAUUUUUUGUAUUUUGUAAAAACUGACAUUAAUGACCCUCCAUUUUUAAUUUCUUUUUAAAAAAUUGUUAGGUUUUAAAAACUAAAUUUUUCCUCUCUUUCUUACUCUACUCUUUCCCUAUCAAUUUUUCUUUUCUUUCUCUCCAAGUUGGUUUCUAAUUUUCUUCUCUUCUCAAUCUGUGACUCUAGAUCGCGAACAGCAACCAAUCUUCAUCGUGCUUCCACCGCAAAAAUCCUUGGGUUUCUUCAUUUGAUUGUUAACUUGUGACUGCUAGGUAGCAUUAUUGAUUAUUAAUUGUCUUUAUUUUUUUAAAUGUGCAGCCUUAUUCAUACUAUCUUUUGUUAGAAAAAUGAAAGAAGAGAAGGCAUAGAAAUGAGCUUGGUAACUAGCAUUCUUGUAGGUGGAUUUGCCAAAAUGGAAAAUGUAGAGUAAGUAAUUUUGGUAUAGCUAUUUGGAGUGUUAUAUGAAGCACAAUAUCUUCAUAAUGUGAUGCGUUUUGGUUUUCGAUUGAGAUCAAUCUUGGUAAUUAAUUGUUUUGAAUUGUGUGUUUAUUUUAUCUUUUAGUAGUAAAUGUUUUUGUUUUCUUUAGUUUAGUUUGAGUAUUAGUCUGUUUUGAUAUAUUUGUAGGUUGCAUCUAUUUAUCCAUAUAUUUAUCUUUGAUCAAUACCUAGCUAGGGGAGUCUCUUCUUUUUAUGGGCUUCCUUAUAUUCCAUGUUCUUUUACUAUAUAUUUGAGAUUUUCACCUUCCAUAAAUGAAAUAAAUUAACUAUUUUCAUUUGAAAAGAAAAACGAUCCAAUAGGAGUUUGUAAGAUUAUUUAUCAUCUCCAUUGUUUAACUUUCUCUAUAAAAACAAUGUUGCUAUUGAUGGGUAAAUUUAUACAAUUAAGAGUAAGAAGCCUAUAGACUAGCAUUGCUAAAUUGAACAUUCAAAAUUUGCUUUGAAGUAAGAGUCGAUGAUGGUAUAAUUAUUCUUUAGUUGUAUUCCUCUUUUUCUUAUAGAUCUUUGAAGAACCAAAUUAGAAUAUUUUCUUCUUCUUAAUGAGUUGUUUGAUCAAAGCUUAUUUUCUUCUUUAUUUUUGCAGCACUUUUGGGUUGCCAUUUCAAUUGUCUUCUUUGUUGCUGCUACAUUAUUUACUCUACUGAAACUUUGUGGUAAUUUUUAAUUUUCCACAUUUAGAUUGCAGUCUGUUUAGUUUGAUUUUAAAUAAUAUGUACUAAUUUUGCAAAUUCUAGAUUUAUAAUCUUCCCCAGGUUGUAAAGUAUAUUUUGGUCUUAGAUAGCCAGCCAAGCUAAGCUAAGUAGAUGGAAGCAAUUGUUGAAGUUGAAGAUUGUGAAAGCGUUUAAGAUUUCUUAUUUAAGUCUUGUAUUAGGAUCUAGUUUCAUGUAUUAUUAUAGAAUGUAUAUACAAACGCAAUAUUAAGAUUUCAUUUUCUAUAUACAAAUGUAAAAGAAAAAUAUUGUAGUUCCUAAAAUAAUAUUAAUUUUAUUGAUUUGUUGAUGUGAGAAAAAAUAUUUAUUUACACGUAUCUAAUGUCAGUUUAUAAAAAAUGAACAAUAAUGCAAUAAUUAUAUAUUUUUUUUGUAAAAAUAGAUCCAAAAACAAGACUUUAAUGUCGGUUUAAAAACGAUAUCAAAGGCAAACCGACACUAAAGGUCAACAAUAGCACCAUAAAAAAUGUCGGUUUUAAACCAACAUCAAUGACCAUACCAACAUUACUGAUGCAUUUGAUAUCGCUUUUUAAACCGACAUCAAAGCAAAAACGACAUUAAAGGCCUUUAAUAACGCUAGCAUAGAUGUCAGUUCCGAACUGACACCAAAGAUCAUUAAUGUCGUUCCGAACUGACACCAAAGAUCAUUAAUGUCGAUUUUAAACCGAUAUUGAAUGGCAAAUUUCUUCUAGUGUAACCAAAUUUAUAUAAUUUGAGAAUCAACAUUUUAAUAAUUUUAUUCAAUCUUACUAACUUCAAAAUAACCAAAUUGAAUUUGAAUUUCAAAAUAACAAAAUUAUAAUUUAAUAGUAUUUGAGAAUCUCAACGAUAGAUUUUGUAUCAACAUAACCUUAAAAAAUAUCAACUUGUUCGAUAUCUUUAUCUCAAAAUAAUAUUAAUGACUUGAAUAUCAAGAUAAUUAAAUUAUUAUUUUAAAAUUGAAAGAAACUCAACAUUAAGAAAUAUCAACUUGUUCGUAUACAAGCACACGCGCACACGAGCACACACAGACACACACACACGUGCACAUGCGCACACACGGACACACGCACAAACACACACACAAACACACGCGCAUACACAUGCACACGCUAGUGUACACGCACACUCACCCACACGCACACGCGCACGCACACAUAUGCACAAAGAUGUGUAAAUGAAUUAAGAUUAAAAAACAACUACAAUAAUUAUGUUUAUGAGUAAAAAUCAUGUACAUUUGACUUUAAAACAUUAAUUAAAUUAUAAUUUCUAUCAACAUUGGUUUAAGAGUGUCAUUAUUUCAAUAUAAUGCGGUUUUAUGCAAUUUUACCAACAAAAAAUAAGUCGAAUAUGGACCUGUAGAUCCACACUCUUUGUCCUAAGAAAUAUAACAACUUUUCUAUGGGUUAUUUAAAAAAAUGGAAAAACUAUUUUUUCUUUUGAAUUUUAGCAAAUAACAUUUUUUGCACGUGCAUGGUAUUUUACAAAAUAUCAACCUUCUCCAACUGUAAUUAUUUAGUUUCUAUGUUGUAAUUAAUUUAUGUCAUUUAUCAGCUUUUAAUUAAUUUUUACUUGAAAAAUAUACAUCAAUCCAUAUUGCAACUUUUUUUUUAAUAUCUUGGGACUCAACUAAUUGAUUCAAUAUUUUAAUAAAUUUAUUGAAUCUUACUAAUUUCAAAAUAACCCAAUUGAAUUUGAAUUUCAAAAUAACAAAAUUAUUAUUUUUCAGAAUUUGAGAAUCUCAACAUAGAUUUUGUAUCAAAAUAACCUUAAUUGAAUUCAAAAUUAAAAAAUAUCAACUUUUUCGCUAUUUUUAUCUCAAAAUAACAUUAAUGGCUUAAACAUCAAGAUAACGAAAUUAUUAUUUUAAAAUUGGAAGAAUCUCAUCACUAAAAAAUAUCAACAUGUUCGCACACGCACACACGCACGAACGCACACAUACACAUGCACGCAAGCACACACGCACACGCGCGCACGCACGCACUUUUGCACACACACACACACAUACAUAUGCACGCACACCCAUCCACACUUACCUACACACGCACGCGCACACGCACACACACACGAACACACGCGCACACACACACAUAUGUAUAAAGAUGUGUAAAUGAAUUAAAAUUAAAAAAUAAUUAAAUUAAUUGUGUAUAGAAAAACUUUUAAACCAUAUUCAUUUGACUUAAUAACAUUAAUUAAAUAACAAUUUUUAUCAAUAUUGGUUGAAAAGUGUCAUUAGUGUAAUUAUUUCAAUAUAAUGGAGUUUUAUCCAAUUUUACCAACAAAAAACAAGUCGAAUAUGGACCAGUAGAUCCACACUCUUUGUCAUAAGAGAUAUAGCAACGUUUUUAUGUGUCAUUUUAAAAAUGACAAAACUACUUUUUCUUUUGAAUUUUAGCAAAUAGCAUUCUAUCACGUGCAUGGUAUUUUCUAAAAUAGCAAAAUAUUCAUCUUCUCCAACUGUAAUUAUUUUGUUUCUACUUUGUAAUUAGUUUAUGUUAUGCAUUUAUCAACUUUUAAUUAUUUUUUUAUCUGAAAAAGAUACAUAAACCUAUAUCAUAAAUUUUUUCUUAAUAUCUCGAGACUCUAGUAAUUGAUUCAAGAUUUUCAUAAAUUUACUCAAUCUUACAAUUUUCAAAAUAACCUAAUGGAAUUGAAAUUUCAAAACAACCAAAUUGAAUUUCAAAAUAACAGAAUUAUUAUUUUUCAAAAUUUCAAAAUCUCAGAUAGAUUUUGUAUUAAAAUAACCUAAAUUGAAUUUCAAAAUUAAAAAAUAUCAACUUGUUCGCUAUCUUUUAUCUCAAAAUAACAUUAAUGACUUGAAUAUCAAGAUAAUAAAAUUAUUAUUUUAAAAUUGAGAGAAACUCAACAUUAAAUAUAUCAACUUGUUCACACACAAGCACACACGGACACGGGCAAACGCGCACACACGUACACACGCACGUAUGAGCGCACACACACCCACACACCCACGCGCACAAGCACAUACGCGUCCGCACACACACAGACACACAUAAGCACACACACACGUGUGCACAUCAGCACACAAACACGAAUGCACACACGCAUACACACACCCACCCACAUGCACAAAUGUGCACAAACGUACACCUGCACGCACACACACUCGCACGCAUACACACACGCACGAACGCACACUCACACCCACACGCAUACCCACACACCCACACACACGCACAAAUGCACAAAACUACGUAAAUGAAUUAAAGAUAAGAAACAAUUACACUACUUGUGUUUAAAAAGACUUUUAAACCAUGUUCAUUUGACUUAAUAACAUUAAUUAAAUUAUAAUUUUUAUCAAUAUUGGUUGAAAAGUGUCAUUAGUGUGAUUAUUUCAAUAUAAUGCGAUUUUAUCCAAUUUUACAAAAAAAAAAAAAACAAGUCGAAUAUGGACUAGUAGAUUCACACUAUUCAUAAGAGAUAUAACAACGUUUUUAUGGGUCAAUUUAAAAAAUGGCAAAACUAUUUUUUUUUUUAAAUUUUAACAUAUAGCCUUAUUGCACGUGCAUGGUAAUUUAUAAAAUAUCAAAAUAUCCACUUUCUCCAACUGUAAUUAUUCCGUUUCUACGUUGUAAUAUAUUUAUGUUAUGCAUUUAUCAGCUUUUAAUUAUUUUUUACCUGAAAAAGAUACAUCAACCCAUGUCAUAACUUUUUUCUUAAUAUCUGAGACUCAACUAAUUGGUUCAAGUUUUUAUAACUUUAUACAAUCUUACUAUUUUCAAAAUAACCUAAUUGAAUUUGAAUUUUAAAAUAACCAAAUUGAAUUUCAAAAUAACAAAAUUAUUAUUUUUCAGAAUUUUAAAAUCGCAAAGAUAGAUUUUGUAUUAUAAUAAUCUUAAUUGAAUUUCAAAACUAAAAAGUAUCAACUUGUUCACCAUCUUUAUCUCAAAAUAACAUUAAUAGUUUGAAUAUAAAGAUAACUAAAUUAUUAUUUUAAAACUAGGAGAAAGUCUACAUUAAAAAAUAUCAACUUGUUUGCACACAAGCACAUGUGCACACCCACCCACACAUGCACACGCACAAAAUGUGCAUACACGCAAACAUGUACGCACGUGUACACACACGUACACACGCGCGACAACCACACACGAACAUACGCACAAACGCACACACAUACACGCACAUGCGCAUGCGCACGCACCCACACAAACUCACACACGCACAAAGAUGUGUAAAUGAAUUAAAAUUAAAAACAAUUACACUAAUUGUGUUUAUAAAGACUUCUAAACCAUGUUUAUUUGACUUAAGAACAUUAAUUAAAUUAUAAUUUCUAUCACUAUUGGUUUUAAAAUGUCAUUAGUGUAUUUAUUUCAAUAUAAUGCGGUCUUAUCCAAUUUUACCAACAAAAAAACAAGUCGAAUAUGGACUAGUAGAUUCACACUCUUUGUCAUAAGAGAUAUAACAACAUUUUUAUGGAUCAUUUUGAAAAAUGACAAACUACUUUUUCUUUUGAAUUUUAGCAAAUAGUAUUUUUUGCACGUGCACGAUAUUUUAUAAAAUACCAAAAUAUCCACAUUCUUCAACUGUAAUUAUUUUGUUUCUACGUUGUAAUUAAUUUAUGUUGUGUAUUUAUCAGCUUUUAAUUAUUUUUUACUUGAAAAAGAUACAUCAAUCCAUAUUGCCACAUCAAUCCAUACCAAAACGUUCCUAAGAAAGGAUCAUCUCACCCAUAACUUUAAAUUCUUCAAACACAAUGCAAUUAACUUAAAGCAGAACAAAACAAAACAAGAAAUCUAACCAACAAUAACAAAAAAAUAAACCUUAAGCCUUGAUCCUUGCAGUCCAUUGGGAGGUUCAGAACGGGACAUGAUCGAGAACAAUCGAUUCCGAGCUGCAGGUUUCAACAUCGACAAAGAAUUUCCAAGUAAAUGAAAAUUUUGGAAAUGGGUAGUGAAGAAAAAUAAGGUUGAGAGGAUUUUGUUUGGUGAGUGGGAAAAACUCUAGCCAGGGAAAGAGAAUGGAAGAAAUGGGGUUUAGUUUACACAGAUUUUUCUUAAUGAUUGUUGGAAGAACAAAGAGAUUGUGAGAAGGUUUAACGGCAACGACAAUGGCAGAAUGUUAAAUCCCCGAAAAGACUAAAUGGCCAAUUGAGAGAAGAAGGAAGAAAGAAAUUCUCUUUCAAGCUAGGGAAAAGACAGAGGAAUGGGAAUUGAAUUGUACGUUUGGUAUGGCUAUAUGCAAUUUUCUUGCUUCUUUAUGGAUAUGUUGUACAAAGAGUAGAACGAUGACAUGGUUCACUUUGUUUCUCUCUUUACAAAGUAACCAAUGACUUAAAAGAAAGACAUUGAACAACAAAUGACCAAUAGAAAACAAUAUACUCAAGAAACAAUAAAAAAAAUGCAGAAAUUAAAAAUGAAAUUGGAAGUAGGAAAAAAAUGGAAGGAAGAAAAAUACCCCAAAAGUUCUAAAUGCAAUAUGAUCAUAACAAACAUGUCUCACUGUGAACAAAUCGAACAAGCUCUAUAACGAAUUUUGUAGUGGGAUUCCGACUCAUAGAAGCCGGCUCAGGCUUGCACAACGAAUGACCAAUACAAAAUAAGAUCCAGUAAAAAGAAAGGCCCAACUAAAGUGAAAUUAGAAGACACACACGUCCUAUAUUAAGGUAGAGUCAAGGUAAUUUAGAAAAAUUCAUUACCGGACAACUACCUCAAAAUUACCCGAACUUAUAAACUAUACAAUUAUUUUUUCCUGAUGUUCCAAAACACUUGCCAACUGAAAUUUUCUUUUGACAAAUAUGCAAUGGGUUUCUUGAAAUUGAAUGCUCAAUCCAGAAAUUGAAAAUGAAAUUGGAAGUAGAAAAAAAAUGGAAGGAAGAAAAAUACCCCAACAGUUAUAAAUGCAAUGUGAACAUAACAAGUUGUAUCAUCAUGAACAAAUUGAACAAUCCCCAAAACAGAUUUUGCAAUGGGAUUCUGACUCCAAUAAAUUGCAUCCAUGUUGACCAAAACUUUCCGAACAAAGGAUUCAGCUUCCCAUCAACAUGCAUCACAAACCUAUAACUUUAAAUUCUUCAAAAACAAUGGAAUUAAAUCAAGGCAAAAAAAACACAACAAGAAUUCUAACCAACGAUAACAAAAAAAUCCACCUUAACCCUUAAUCAUUGUCGUCCAAUGGGAGGUUCAACAUUGGACAUGAUUGAGAACUAUUGGUUCCAGCCGCAAGUUUCGGCAUCGACAAAGAUUCUCCGAGGGAAAUGAAGAUUUUGGAAAUUGGUAGUGAAGAAAAAUAAGGUUGAAAGAAUUUUGUUUGGGGAGUUGACAAAAUUGUAAACCGAACCCCAUGUGUUUCAUUUUUCUCCUCAUGGCCAGAAUUUUGUCAACUCCCCAAACAAAAUCCUGGCCGAUGAGGAGAAAAAUGAAACACAUGGGUUCGUUUACAAUGAUUUUUCUUAAUGAUUGUUGGAAGAACAAAGAGAUUUAAGGGUAACAAAAAGAAUGGAAGAAUGUUAAAUCCCAAAGACUAAAUGGCCAAUUGAAUGCUUAAGGAAGUUUGAUUUGCCUGUUUUAGCAGUUUUCUUGCUUUUUUAUGUAAAUGUUGUAGAAAGAGUAGAACAAGGACAUAAUUCACUUUUUUUUCUCUUUACAAAGUAACCAAUGACUUAAAAGAAAGACAUUGCACACUAAAUGCCCAUUAGAAAACAAUAUACAUCGAAAAGAAUAAAAAAUAUGCAAAAAUUCAAAAUGAAAGUGCAAGCAGAACAAAACGGACUUGAUUCACCAUGAACAGAUAGAACAAGCUCCAAAACGGAUUUUGAGUAGAAUUCGUCUCAGAUUUGCAGUCUCCAGGUUUUCCAAAACGUUCCUAAGAAAGAAUCAGCACAACCCACAACUUUAAAUUCUUCAAAAACAAUGAAAUUAACUCAAAGCAGAAAAAAAAAAAAAGACAAAAACUCUAACCAAUGAUAACAAAAAAAUAAACCUUAACCUUUGAUCCUUGCAAUCCAUUUGCGGGUUCAGCACUGGACUUGAUCGAGAACAAUCAGCUCCCACCGCAGGUUUCUGCAUGGACGAUGAUUUUUCGAGGAAGGAAAUCAAAUUUUUGGAAAUGGGUAGUAAAGAAAAAUAAGGUUGAAAAGAUUUUGUUUGGAGAGUGGGCAAAAUUCUAGCUGGUGAGGAGAAAAGAAAAGACAUGGGGUUCAGAUUCGAGGGAUUUUUCUUAAUGAUUGUUGGAAGAACAAAGAGAUUGUGAGGAGAUUUAAGGUAUCGCCACGAAUGGCAAAAUGUUAAAUCACAAAAGACUAUUGUUUUCUUGCUUCUUUAUGGAAAUGUUGUAGAAAGAGUAGAACGAUGACAUAGUUCAUUUUGUUUUUCUAUUUACAAAAUAACCAUUGACUUAAAAGGAAAGAAUUUGCACCACAAAUGACCAUUAGAAAACAAUAUACAUAAGAAAGAAUAAAAAAUACGCAGAAAUUGAAAAUGAAAUUGAAAGUUGAAAAUAAAUGGAAGGAAGAAAAAUACUCCAAAAGUUCCAAAUGCAUUACGAUCAAGAGAAAUUUGUAUCAACAUGAACUGAUCAAAUAAGCUCCAAAAUGAUUUUGCAGUGGGAUUCCGACUCAGAUAAGCAGUCUCCAGUCUUGCCAAAACGUUCCUAACAAAGGAUCAUCACACCCAUAACUUUAAAUUCUUAAAAAACAAUGGAAUUGACUCAAAGCAGAACAAAACGAAAGAAAAACUCUAACCAACGAUAAGAAGAAAAUAAACCUUCACCCUUGAUCCUUCCAAUCCAUUUGCGGGUUCAGCACUGGACAUGAUCGAGAACAAUCAGUUUCCAGCUGUAGGUUUAGGCAUGGACGAAUAUCUUCCAAGAAGAAACGAAUUUUAGCAAAGUUUGAUCUACCUGUUAGCAGUGUUCUUGUUUUUGUACGGAAAUGUUGUAGAAAGAGUAGAACGAUGAAAUAAAUCACUUUGUUUUUCUCUUUACAAAGUAACCAAUGACUUAAGAAGAAGACAUUGCACAACAAAUGACCAAUAGAAAAUGAUACGCAAUAGAAAAUAAUAAAAAAGAAAACAAUAUGCAUUUUUGUUUUCAAAUUCUUGGUCAAAUCGCAAUUCAGAAAUGAAAUUUGGUUCAUUAUCGACGAUAAUAUGGUGAACUAAAUAACAUAAGUUUCAGAGUCAUGGGAGAAUAAUAGCCUUGCUAAUUGCUCAAACUCUGAAUGUGAAGGCUUUUCCCAUGUGAAGGAACCCAAAGAACCAGCAAAAGCAGCAUGCUUCUUCCCAAUGCAAGAACAUUCAGUGUAUCUUCUGAUUAUGUCCUGAAUGCAGUAGGAAAAAUGAUAUAAAGUUGUAAUUCAAGCUAAGGUUUUGUUGCAUAAACCAAAAACUUAGAUGGAUAAAACACAAAAUGCAUCCUGUUCCUACCUUAUGCCUACUACAUUGCUAACAAUACACUUACUGCACUCUCAGAGAAGGAACCAGAAAUGGUUCUUGAUGAUCUGUUAAAAUCUUUUGAUGAAAAUGUAAUUAGUGCAAAGAGCGUUGAUGAUUCUAAAACAGAGGCACCUCAUGCUAACUCGGAUGUGCAAUGCUUCUCUAAAGAUGAAAAAGUAAAUGAAGUUUCGAAAGAUGAUGAUUUUGUGGAGAUUUCUGCUGAGGAAAUCAAUGAAUCUGACAAAUCUUCUCUGCCUACUGAAGACUUGGAUGUUACUGAAGUUCACAAAUCGAGCAUUGCAGAAGAAUUUGGUAUGGAAUUUGAAUCUCAACAAAAUGAGUCUACCUGUGAAUUAGAACAUAAAAUUGAAGAAGAUGUUGAAGAAGAAAACACACGUGAAUAACUCUGCUGAAGAACUGUCUCUUCCCACGAAAAUGUGGAAGAAGAAACUGAAGUUGAUGGAGAUGAUGCCUUGAGCAGUGAUGAAGAAUCUUUGGAAGUGAAAGACGAUCAAGAUGAAAAUGAUCAGAUCCCACAACCGGAAAUGUAGCAUCAGAUGCUGACAUUGAAGGAGACAAGAAGGAAACAAAAAUGGAGAAAAGUUCUGUUCAAGCUGAAGAAGAUGAUACAAUUAUCAAUAAGUCCACGGAGGAGUUCCCUGAGAAUGUUUCUGAUGAUUUGGUUGAUGUCAAGAUCCAAUGGAAAAUGGAAGAAGAAACUCUUCCUAAAGACAUAAUUGUCGAAGCUAUCGACUCACAACCAGAAAUCCCAAAUGCCAUUGUUCAAUGUGAGGAAGCUUUGGUGGAAAUCACUAUCACAUCCUCCAACAACAAUGCAGUUCAAACAUUGGCAAACCAAUUCCCUAGGCCAACAAUAGAAGCCAAAUCUCCCGUUGAAGAACAAACCAUUAGUUUGCUAAUGGACAACCCAGAUGCUGAGGAAGAAGAAGCUGAAAAAGAACAGAACAAAGCAAAGUUCAUUCAGUUAGUGGUGAAGAAUGAUAAUACUAGCCUAAGGCAGCUGAGGAAGUUGUUCAAGGAAAAACUCCAACUUAACCAUAAGAAGAUGGAAAAUAAUAACAUCAACACAAAAGUUGUUGGAGGUGGCGUGAAAGUGAGAACUGCUUUACAACCAGUGCCGGAAAACAGAAUGACCGUGCAUUAAAAGUCUAGAAAGAGAGAGCAUUGUGCAUGGUUCAAACUGUGGUUUGCCUCACGUUAUUGAUUUUGUGUUUGUUUUAUUCUUUCCAUGAUGUAUUUUGAGAGGAGGGAAAAAUGAGGUAAAUGAUUAAUUUGUCUGAAUUUUUGUUCAUCAGUUCAAUAAUAAAAAUGCUAGUAGUUUGUGUUUUAAAAAAAACAAUACACUUACUGCAGCACCAAGAUACAGGUUGUAGCCAAAUUUCAGGAAAAAAAUAUAUAUUCAGAUUUUUGCAUAUCGAGAAUUUGGUGAAACGCACCUUGAGUUUAUUUACUCAACUAAUCCACGAGAAUUUGUGAUAUGAACUUGGCAGAGGUCAUUGACUCCAUCACCAUCAUCAGCAGCAUUAGAAAUGGAGGGAGGUGAAAAAAAUGCUUUCAACUUUUUGGCUGGAAUGAUAAUUCUUCUUUUGACCUAAGCGGCUGGCUUGGCUCCCUCUUUUUUUUUUGCUCCUCUCUAAAGGCUGCCAUGCGGGUGAAGAACUUUAAGUACCUACUAGGCGGGGGUCGGGUUUUGCUUAGGCAAGAAAAGCAGAGAGGAUCCCCACGAAAAAUCUGAAACGGGGGGAUCUCGGCGCGCAUUUUACUUGAUCUAAGCGGCUGGCUUGACUCCCUCUUUUUUAUCUCUCCUCUCUACGGCUGCCAUGCUUGGUGAAGAAAAAUCUAAGGACCUACUAGGCGGGAUCGGGUUUUGCUCAGGCAAGAAAAGCGGAGAGGAUCCCCACGAAAACUCUGAAACCGGGGGAUCUCGACACGCAUUUUACUUGACCUAAGCGGCUGGCUUGGCUCCCUCUUUUUUUCUCUCUCCCUCUCUACAGGCUGCCAUGCUGGGUGAAGAACUCUAAGGACCUACUAGGCGGGGUCGGGUUUUGCUUAGGCAAGAAAAGCGGAGAGGAUCCCGAAAACUCUGAAACCGGGGAUCUCGGCGCGCAUUUUACUUGAUCUAAGCGGUUGGCUUGGCUCCCUCUUUUUUUUUUCUCUCCUCUCACGGCCAUGCUUGGUGAAGAAAUCUAAGGACUACUAGGCGGAUCGGGUUUUGCUUAGGCAAGAAAAGCGGAGAGGAUCCCACGAAAACUCUAAAACUGGGGGAUCUCGGCGCGCAUUUUACUUGACCUAAAGCGGCUGGCUUGGCUCCCUCUUUUUUUUCUCUCUCCCUCUCUACGGCUGCAUGCAGGGUGAAAAACUCUAAGGACCUACUAGGCAGGGUCGGGUUUUGCUUAGGCAAGAAAAGCGGAGAGGAUCCCCACGAAAACUCUGAAACUGGGGGAUCUCGGCGCGCAUUUUACUUGACCUAAGCGGCUGGCUUGGUUCCCUCUUUUUUUUUCUCUCUCCCUCUCUACCGGCUGCCAUGCUGGGGAACUCUAGUGACCCACUAGGCGGGGGUCGGGUUUUGCAACCCUUAGCAGCUUGGUUGUAUUGUUUUGUUUUUAUCGGCUGUUCUGUUGGGUGAAGAACUCUAAGAACUUGCCGACUUUGCUUUCUACCUGACCUAACAAUCAUAUUUUGCUUUCAAACAAUCUUAUACAAAUGUGUAUGGCCAAAAGAGGGAUUUAAAAUUAAUAUAAAAAAGGCAUUAGAAUAUGGCAAAAAAGGGGAUUAAAUUGAGAUAAAAAAGAGAACCGCACAUAUUAUUAAGUACAUAAUUCACAACAUUCAGAAAAUGAACCAAGUGUUCUACUCAUUUCUAAGCUAUCAACAUAUGCAUUUUCAACAUGUGUAACAUAUUCAAAUAACAAAUACAAUCACAAAUCCGAGCUCCGUUCUCAUGCGUUAGGCAUACAUGCUUUUUUAUGCUAAAAGCGAAGUAGACAUGGUACUUAUUCUAAGCAUAGAGCAUUACAAAAGUUUCUAAAUUUUGACAUUUUUAGCAAAAUUUGCAAAAUGAAAAUUUCCCAAAGGACAUGGAAUGUGCAAGGCUACAACCCCACCCCCACUUAAAAAUAUGCAUUGUCUCAAAGCAUUUUAAGCAAGAUUCUACGGAUGGAAAAAAAGAAAAGAAAAAGGAGAACAGAAGACCUCCCUUGUAACCUAGUUUCUUCAUGGAAGCUUGCUUGCAAAGAUCCCAAGUUUGGUUAUAUUUCAUUUUCCUUUAUUCCUACAAAAAGAAAACAAGAAUUUCCAUCGAAUUUUAUUAAAAAGGUUAAACUAAAAAUUUUAGAAAAAUGUGCAGAAUUGUUUAAGCUCGGUUGCAUUUUCUAAGCAUCACUUGAAUUAUUAAAACGACCUAACAAAUAUUCAAUACAAGUUCGUAAUUCAUAACCUACCAAAAAGUUCAAAAGAUUGUUGUAGGUGUUCCACCAAACUUUUGUAAAUUACAUACAUCAAUAAACUUACUUCUUAUAAGGGGGGGGGAAGAAACUAUGUUUUAGGGACAGAUGGCUCUAAAGCACACAAACACUCUCCAUCUCACUCUCUAUCUGCCCUGUAUCUAAUUUAAUCCAGCAUUCAUUUGGGCAUUGUAGGUUCAUAUUAAAAAUAGUCAUUCAUGUCGUGAUGCAAAGGCCCUUUUUAUGUAUCUAGAACUAAAAUCACGAAAAUCAUCGUGGACAUGCAGCACAACAAACUGAAUAUCCAUGGGAAGCCUUUGCUAACAAAAUGGUUGACAAUAAUUACUCAGACAAGAGAGAAUGACUAUAAUUAAUUAACAGAAGUACAAAUCAAUAUAGGUGCACAACCACCAAGCCCCAACAAAAGGAACAAUAAACUUCAAUAACAAAGAAAGGUAGUAUCAGGACUAUCCUUACCUUGUUAUCGAAGAAGAUACCUUGGCUCUGGAAAGCCCGAUGCUCUGCCUUACAACAUUCAAUUACCUCAGUACUGUAGUGUUUCUUCAAAGUUUGGGAAUCUACCUAAAACAUAAAAAUAUAUAUUACAACUUGAAAACCUCCAUGUCAGAAACUUUACUUUAAUUAUCAAACCAGAUGCUAUGCAAGAAUUAGUUAGCAUAAACACAACAUAAAUAGUAAUGAUAUUCUUUGGGGUGGGGAUAAAAGCAUCUUUCAUCUUAGAAAUAAGCUUAGCAGUUAGCACUAACCUUUAUAUAAGAAGUUAACACCGGUUUGAUUACUUCAUAAACUUCAGCUACGAAAUCUGGUAAAGAGAAAGACCUAAUUCAUAAUGUUAAAGAGGAAAAGACCAAGUCAGAUUCCUUUAUUCAAACAGGUUAGUAUCACAUCUCCAAAGGAAAAAACUUACGGACCUCUACGACGAAUUUCCUUGAAUGAUGUAGCGCCACCUUGUUCUUGAAACACAGUUUCAUUUAUGCUGUGAAAAAUAAGAUUGAUAAAUAAAACUUUCGGCUACAAUUAGCCACAUAAACAUAAAGUUGUGACAGGAAAACAAAAGCUAACAGAUAAUUAACUAUACAGUUUGUAGGCAAAAUACCAAAUAGCCCAUAAUCAAGAUCACAACUGAAGCAAACAAUAAUGUGCAGUUUAUCAUUUCCAACCAAAUAAUUCAAUAACAAAUAAGGUCAAAUGGCCAAAUAAUAUGUCCUUUCACAUAAAUAUUUACUCCUGAAUUUUUUGAAGGAUAAUGUUAUCGCUUCUCUCCCACGUUUCACAAAAAUUCUUUUACAUAUUAUAUUUUUGAUGAAAUUACAGCAGGAGACCACCGUGAGGGAUUACCGACAGCGAUUUGAACAAUUUUCGGUCGCCUUAAAGAUAUGAGUGAUGCAGCCCUAGAAAGUAAGUUUGUGUGUGGGCUGAAGGAAGAGAUUCAAAGUGAGAUCUGAAAAUUGAAUUCAGUGGGCCUAGAGGCUAAAAUGUUAAUGGCCCAAAUAAUUGAGAAGAUGAUCGAGUGGUUCAAUUGAAGAGAAUUCAUGGGGCAAGUGGAAACACUAAUUUAUCAAUUAAAAUGUCAAAUAGUGGGCCAAGCAGGUCGAGAAGUCAAACUGGGUCAAAGGCCUCAGAUCGGGUCGCUACAUCACGAACGAUUACGAUUAACCCUAGCCGAAAUUCGUCGUACUCGUCCACGACGAUUACUUCAUCGCAAGAAUCGGGCGCGAAGAGUACGUUGUCUCAACCAUACCGUCGAAUGACUGACAACGAAGUGCGAAUUAAGAAGGAAAAAGGUUUGUGUUUUAGAUGUGACGAGAAGUUUAGUCUAGGGCACCGCUGCAAAAGACGUGAAUUGAACAUCAUUGUUGUACAAGAAGGGGAAGACUUAAGUGACAAAACCGAUCAAGUGGGGGAAGAAAUCGAAACCAACGGGAAUAAGGAAGUCAAUACAAAAAUAGUGAAUCUGUCGAUAAAUUCAUUGGUAGGUUUCAAUUCGCCGAAAACCAUAAAAAUUAAAGGAGAAAUAAGGGGACGUGAGGUUGUGGUGCUGAUCGAUGGGGAGCACGCACAAUUUUAUUGCAAAAGAGGUAGUCAAAGAGCUAAAAAUUUCAGUAGAAACCAUGGAUGCAUAUGGGGUUGUUCUGGGAACCAGAGGCCUAGUCCAAGCAACCAGUGUGUGUAAGGAUGUAAACCUGACAAUCGCAAAUUUAUCAAUCACUCACGAUUUCUCCUCUCUACACUCGGAAGUGCUGACGUUAUAUUAGGAGUUACUUGGUUGGAAAUGUUAGGGAAAGUAAUUUUUUAUUACAAGUUGUCGGAGAUGGAAUUCUCAUUGGAUGAAUGGUGGUAAUUCUUCAAGGGGAUACAAGUUUAGUAAGAUCCCAAGUGUCACUGAAAUCGAUAAUGAAAACCUUUGAGAAGGAAGAUCAAGGCGUGUCAAUCGAAUUAAGUGCAGUUGUACAGUGGGAGUGGGCGAAGCAAGGGAACACAUAGCAGACUACUUGAGUAAACUACAACCAGAAAUUCAAAAAGUUCUUCAGUCCUUUAGCGUUGUGUUUGAACCAAGCAAUCAAUUACCCCCACCUCGCGAUCAUGAUCAUGCUAUUGAAUUAGAACCAGGGGCUCGUGCAGUGAACGUGCGCCCGUAUCGUUAUCCCCAAUUUUAGAAAGAUGAGAUAGAGAAACUAGUUAAGGAAAUGCUGCUAGCCGGAAUAAUUCAGCCAAGCAAAAGUGCCUUUUCAGUGCUCCUUGUUAAGAAAAAGGAUGGUAGCUGGCAAUUUUGCGUUGAUUACGAGCACUGAAUCUUGCCACUAUACCAGAUAAGUAUCUGAUUCUUGUUGUUGAUGAACUGUUGGACAAAUUAUUUGGGGCAACCAUAUUCUCCAAAAUUGAUUUAAAGUUAGGUUAUCAGCAAAUUCGGGUGCGGGUAGCCGAUGUUCACAAAACAGCGUUUCGAACCCACGAGGGGCCCUAUGAAUUCCUUGUGAUGCUGUUUGGGUUGAAAUGCUCCGGCAACAUUCCAAUCAAUCAUGAGUGAUGUUCUUCGCCUAUAUUUACGCAAGUUUGUUUUGGUUUUCUUUGAUGACAUCUUAAUUUACAGCAAGUCCUUGGACGAGCAUUUGCACCAAUUGGCAAUGGUUUUGGAAACUCUAGUAGCUCAUCAACUGGUAGCCAACUUUAAAAAAUGCCAAUUUGCGGUUGACAAAAUUGAAUACUUGGGCCAUGUUAUUUCUUCAGAGGGGGUGGCAGCGGAUCCAACAAAAAUAGAAGCGAUGGUUAAAUGGCCAGCACCCAAGAACGUGAAGGAGCUAGGUGGGUUUUUUGGGGCUAACGGGGUAUUAUCGGAAAUUCGUUGCAAACUACGGUUCUAUUGGGCUGCCCCCUUGACACAACUGUUAAAAAAAGGUAACUUUAAGUGGAAUGAGACGACCGAGAACGCAUUUCAGCAGUUAAAAGUCAGCAAUGAUGUCUGUCCCGAUGCUAGGUAUUCCUGAUUUUUCACAAAGUUUUGUGCUGGAAACUGAUGCUUCGGGUGUGGGUAUUGGGGCUGUCCUAAUGCAAAAUCAACGACCAGUGGCCUUUUUCAGUCAAACUUUACCUAUUACCCAUAGGUUUAAGGAUGUUUAUGAACAGGAGCUUAUGGCAAUAGUGCUGGCUGUUCAAAAAUGGCGACCAUAUCUAUUGGGUAAACCUUUUGUGGUGCGUACAGAUCAGAAAAGUUUGAAGUUUCUUCUUGAACAACGGGCUAUCGGGGGAGAAUAUCAGAGAUGGAUCGCUAAACUAUUGGGGUAUGAUUUUGUGAUUGAGUACAAGAAAGGAUUGGAAAACAAAGCGGCCGAUGCCUUAUAGAGAUUACCACCGGUAUUUGAAUUGGGCCUCGUAAGUAUUGUGGGCGGGCUAAACCCUUCGGUUUUCAUCGAUCAAGUGGCUGGAAAUGAAUCUCUUAACAAUAUUCGAUUGUCUUUGAUAAAUGGACAGCCAGCUCCAGAUGGAUAUUUGCUACAAGGAGGAGGAUUCACCUGAUAUUACUUUAUUAUUAGCUAAGUUCCAUAACAGCCCGAUAGGGGGACAUCAUGGUGCAUUGAAAACAUAUCAAAGGCUAGCAAGGGAGGUCUAUUGGCGAGGUAUGAAAGCCAACCAGGUGCAUCUCCUGAUAAAUAUGCCAAUUUCUCUGAAAAGGAUGACCAUUUUUUAUUCUCGUGGCACUUUUUAAUAAAACUCCAGAGUACUGGAACUAACUCCAUUCUGUAUGCUAGAAUAGUCAUAAUUUUUUAUGUCCCACACCAAGUUGUACUUAAAAGAUCUUUUCAAAAAAAAUCUAUAGAGUUUUUUUUUUCUUUUUUAAAUGAAGUACAUGCAUGUUAUGUUUCUCGUUAUUGAGAAAACAUGACCUUUAAACCAUUACUAACGCCAUUAUAUCCAAACAGCAAGGUACACGAACCUAGUAAAGGAUGACACAUGCCACUUUGUCCAUUGGGUAGAGAGAGGUGUGAAAUGUGAAUGUCCGCCACAUUAAAGGAAGAGUAAGAAUUUGAGAGGAGAAACUCCAAUUGGGAUCAACACGUGGGCAACAACAUGGCUUCUUACCAACAUGAGAACUCAAAAGAGACAGCAGAUGUUCUAGAGAAGCCAAUGAACUCUUGGAAUGUGAAUCUGCACUUUCCUGCAAUAGUUUGAGUGUGAAUUAGUUCUCUGAAAACACAUGCAGAGGAUAAUCCACGGCAAAACAGAAUAUCUAUAAAAAAAUUCACUUGCAAGUAGAAGAAAAAGGAAGUACAUUUAUACCUUCCCUGUCAAAGUGAUAUCCCUAAUCAACGCAUAUGCAUUUCUUUCCAGGAAGUAACCAACAAUUUUACAAACCCAUGGGAGUUCAUGUUGUAAUAAGAAAAUAAUUGUGUCUAACAAUAGAGUUGCAGGUGUGUUAGAGUUCACAGGUGGAGCCAAAAGUUGAUUCCUCAAUUGGUUUCUAUCAAGAACAACAUCAAGUAAGAAUAAUUCAGAGGAAAAAUAAAGACAACUUAUCAUAUAUAUAAAUAAGAUUAGUUGAAUUCGUUAGCUGAAGGUAAAAAAACCUUUAUGUCAAUUAUAUAUAUCUGAACAAAAUCUAAGAAAUAUAUCACUUUUCAACAAAAGAAAUAUAUAUAUACAAUUAAAGGAUCACAGCAUAGAAAGCCAACAAAAUCAACAAUGAUAGAUAAACAUCUGUUCUUCCAUUCAAAACGUUAAAAAGGAUAAGUUUUUAAUAAGGAAUGUUGAAAUGGAAAAAACUAAUUACCUAUUAUGGUGUACAGUCUGGAUGCAAGCAUAUGCAAAUUUCUUAACUCUCUAAUCCACUAAGGCCUUGUUAAGUACAUAAUCCUUGCUAGCGAAAAUGCUCAACAUAUCCCCUAUAUAUGUAAGAGAGAGAAAGGUAAGAAAGUACUAACACUAAGAGAUAUGUGCUAUCAAUUAGAACACUUUAAGAUGAUAUUAUCAAUUAGAAAACCAAGCAUAAAGCAACAUAAGGGAAAAUAACAAACAAGGGCACCACAGUGGUUCAGAAACCAAUCAAUAUUUUCAUUUGUCACUUUUGUAAUAAUUUCCCAAGGGAAAAUCCUCAUAACAAGCCUCGUUUUCCCCCUACUAUGGAACGGGGAGGAUUCCUCCUCUUUUCAAAGCCCUCGUCAAACUCAAUGCUAAGUUUAGAACACUAAGAGUAGGUGGUUUGGUUUUGGUUAGGCCAAAAGUAAAGUUUUCUCCUAAAAGCUCUGAUAGUUAGGGAACUCAACACAUUCUACCUGACCGAACCAAGUUGGCUCUUUGUUUUUUUAUGGGAUUUUUCUAAUGUAUAUUGCAUGUGUUGUUUGUUUUUUUAUAGCUCUUCAUUGUCUAACCUUUUUACGUUUUGCAUUUGCAAGUCUCUCUUUUGUUUCUUUGGUAUGCAAUGUGGUAACAAGGUCUUGCUAGAACCGGUGGGCUAACCUUUCUAUGGUUCUAAACUUAGUUUCUAAGUUUGACUGCUCCCUUCGGAGUGACAACAAGCCUCGUUUUCCCCCUACUAUGGAACGAGGAGGAUUCCUCCUCUUUUCAAAGCCCUCGUCAAACUCAAUGCUAAGUUUGACUGCUCCCUUCGGAGUGACAACAAGCCUUGUUUUCCCCCUAAUGUGGAUCGGGGAGGAUUCCUCCUCUUUUCAAAGCCCUCAUCAAACUCGAUGCUAAGUUUAGAACGCUAAGAGUAGGUGGUUUGGUUUUGGUUAGGCCAAAAUUAAAGUUUUCUGCUAAAAGCUCUGAUAGUUAGGGAACUCAACACAUUCUACUUGACCGAACCAAGUUGGCUCUUUGCUUUUUUAUGGGAUUUUUCUAAUGUAUAUUGCAUGUGUUGUUUGUUUUUUUAUAGCUCUUCAUUGUCUAACCUUUUUACGUUUUGCAUUUGCAAGUCUCUCUUUUGUUUCUUUGGUAUGCAAUGUGGUAACAAGGUCUUGCUAGAACCGAUGGGCUAACCUUUCUAUGGUUCCACAUUUAAUUACUAAUUAAGUUUGAUUGCUCCCUUCGAAGUGACAAUAAGUUUUGUUAAUGUCGACCCUUUUCUAAAGGGAUUUAGUUCACUGUGGCUAGACAAGAGGCUUCUAACUCAUGUUUGACAAGAUAAACUUGUUAAAACCAUCCCAGUUUCUAAAGAGUGCCUCCUAUCCUUUGUUACUCUAUCUAGGCUAGGUUUGGACUAAGUGCGUCAUAGGUAAGUCACGACAAAGCAACAAAGGAAGACAAAGCUAGAAAAGUAUCCAUGCACUUAUUUAUUAUACAUGCAAUCAAGCAUUCACAACACACAUACCAUUUUCUCAAUCAUGCAUUCACAUCUCAAUAAGAAAUAGCUAAAAGGAGCUUAAAACAAAAAAGACAGCAGCUUAUGCUCAAAUUUCAACACAUAUACUCAUCAAAAUUCAGAAUUUCACAUCAUAAACCCGAGCUCAGUGCUCAAGGGUUGCCAAUCAUGCUUUUUAUGCAAGAUCUAAUUAAGCUAAGAAGGUAUAAUGCUCAUUAUUGUAUGGAAAGAAUUCUGAAAAAUUUUGAAACUUGGGCAAAAUUUGAACCCCUAAGUUUACACUAAACAUGCAAGCUAAGCAAGCUAUUACCCACACCCACUCAAAAAAUUGCUUUUUCUGUCCUAAAAGCUUUUGAAAAUCAAAGUAAAUGGAGAAAAAUAAGGGGGGAACUUUGGACUCGCCUGGAAGGAUCGACAUCCUUGACUUUGGUUUGAAGCUUGCAUGGAUAAACCUUUUCAUUCAUUUUUCAUUGAUUAUUCAUCCUUGUUCCUGAAAUCAAAGGAAAUUCUCUCAAUUUUAUAUAUUACUAAAAUUAGGAUACAUAUAAGUCUUAACUAGUCUCAUAGCACCCUCCAUUCAUCUUCCCCUACACUGGCUAUGGUAUCAAAAUGCUCAAUUAAGUAAUACGUCUACUAACGAACUUGAAAACAAAACAUCACACUAAAAAACACAAACAUCCCUUUAACCCAACAGAAGCAGCUCUUUUUACCCUUGCACUCACUAUCACAUUACUACAUGUUUGUCAACUGUCAAACUAACUCUUUUAAGUUAUUUAGUGUGACACUACAAAGUUAUGAACACCAUAAUCUUAAUUAAAACCUUUUAAUAAACAAAUGCCAAGUUACUACUCAACAAUGGCAAGGAAUUCAAAAAACAUGACAGCUAUCCUAAUUGGUUGAAAAUGAGAAAAAGAAAGUUAGAUAGACAACCUGUUUGGACUACAAAGCCAGCAUAUACGAUUCCUCAAAUUUGACCAUUCACUCUCCAUACUCCACAAGUCUUCAAGCACAUGAUGCUGCCUUCUUUCAGAUGAGCAACAUCAUUCCGAUCUUAACAGUCAGAAGAGCAAAUCAAAUCAAUCCUAGCAUAUUCACAAAUCACAACUAAAAAGUACAAACAUUACAAAAUAAAACAUGCAGCGAUAUCAACAAGCAUUCUGAUAAAUAAUUAGCAAUAAUUGACAUUACAAAAUAAAUAAAGAAAAAAAUCAUUGGAAAGAUCACUGCUUAAAUGAAAUUUGAAAUAUCCAAUAGUUUUGAUCGGUUACCGAGUUGUGAGAGUGGUCGGUUGAUAUUGCGUGCUUCCUUCAAGCGCUCCCCAGCUGCACCUGUUAGCUUCUGCCUCCGGAACCAGCUACUUAAACCAUCUGCCAGUCUCUGCAUAAUAAAAUGAUUAUGAGCCUAAAUUUUACAAGUACCAGUCCGUUGAAUAUAGAAACGUGAUACUCAUGCUUUUCCAUCCUAAACAACAGAACUAUCUGCACUUCGACUUACAAAUUCAUUGCCUUUUUCCGACAGUGCCCACAACUGUUAGUUGUUACAGGUAUACUUCUUUUAUUUAUUUAUUUAUUUAUACUAAAUUCAAUAAUACCAUAUUCCAGAUAUUAGCAACAUUAUUUUAGCAUUACCUUGGAUCGGGAUUCAACAACACAGGUAAAAAAAGCAGUAUGUGAUAGCGAACUCUUAGGAACGGUCGGUUAGAAGAGGGAGGCCUAGGUGGAAGCGGGCUCUUCAGGAUUUGGAAUCGAAAACCGAUCUGACGGUGGAGAAUUUUCUUUGGAAGACUUGGGUUUCCGAGGGGGUCUGCGACCCUUGAUUUCGGCACCGUUAAGGCUAGAAGAAGAAGAAAGUGGUGGAUCGACGAGAUGGGUAUCUCGCAAGAUAGAGUUUCUUAGCUGCUUCACGUUAGAGAGGAAGAGCGAAAUUUUGGAGGUAUAGGAAGAGCGAAACGGAAUUUGAGAGAUAGGAAAUCGCAGGGUUUGAGGAAGACGAAGAAGAGAAUGGGAGAUGAGAGGCAGAGUAAACCGAUCGAGAAGAAAAAGGGGAAAGAAAUUUGAAAUAAAAGAGACCGUUGAGGUUGAAGAAGAGGGAAAAAAAAUUGACCGUGGAGGAGAGUUAUUUAAUUUUUGGAUUAAAUAUUUUCUAUGAAAAUUAAAAAAGAAAAAGUUAAAAGGCAAAUAUUUUCUACUUUUUUUUAUUAUUUAUUCUAUGAAAAUUCAAUAAUAAAAAAGCAUCUAUAUUUGCUUUUGGUAUGGUUCACAUUUUUAUUUAUUUGACAAAAAUCUAACUAAAUUAUCAUUCAUUUUGACCUAAUAUUGCAAAUAUAAAUUUAUUUUUUGCAUCUUAACUACUCUUUGGCAUUUAUAAUAUCAUUGUUCCACACCUCAAUUUUUUUAUUGUUGUCAAAAAUAAACCUAAUCCAAAAUGAAUUAGCAAAUUAGGGAAUAAAUGUAAUCAUUGUUUUUGGGAGUUUGAGUUCGACCGUGAUUAUUGUUGAAUAAUUUUAUUUGGGAUGCAAGUUUUCACUUAGACAUGGACAUUUUGCUAUUUUAGCAAUUUAAAUUUAAAAUUUUCUUUUAUCAAAAGUAAAACUCUUGUUUUAAUGUUUUUCUGGCCAUCCCUUUUAAAUACAACUAAUGACAAAUGAAUAUAACAAUUAAGAAAUUCGUAGAUAUAUAACAACAUUUUAAACUAAUUGCUGCAGUUAUUUUAAAUCACAUAUGUCAUUCGCUUAUAAGACAUAAGAGUCUAUUAACGAUAUAAAUCUAUCACAAAUAUAUUUUGCUACAUUUACAAUUUUUAAAAGAUAUUGUUAUAUACUUAAUUAUUAUUCAUAAAAUUGCUAAUCCAUUAUACUUACCCUAAGUUAAAUGAAUAAUGUCAAAAUUAAGUUUACUACGAAGGUAAUUUGUGUGACCCUUUUAUCCUAAUGUAGGAAGUUUGUUCCACUCCAUACCAUUAUUGAACUAAGAAGAUUAAGUGUGUAUUAGUAUGUUUAAACAAGUAUAAUUAUAGCAAAUUCUAUGAGUGAUAUAUUUAUAUUAGCAAUACAAUAUGUGUUACAUAUGCAAAUAUUUUGUAUCUAAUCGUUGUAUUUGCAAUUAACUCCAUUAAAAUAUACAAAUAUAAACAGAACUCUUUAACCUGAGUUUAGCUAGGAUCACAAACUACAAAAAGAAAGUAUGGAAUAUGAUCACACGGUUUUUGUUGAUCAGUACAGCACCAACAGCAUAAUGCAAGGCAUCGGAUAAGUGAAACGAAUCAUGAUUCGUCUGAAAAUAAAAUUGAUCCCAACGGAGGUAGGGAAAGCCAACAGAAGACUGAAUCUGAUGGGAGAGGUCCCAAAUUUUUUAUCAUUCUUCUAAUGUUACCAUUGUUAAUUUACUUGUUGGUUUAUAUGCCAUUUCCAGAGCCUGAAUAUUCUUUGCAUAAAAAUCAAUCCUAUAGUAUUCCUAUGGUUACAGAGAAACAUGGCAUGAAAUUUUUUGUCAAAUCAUCAAAUUUUGAUGUAAGAUAUCCUCUUGGAAGCCCAGCUCGAGCUGAAAUAGAGAACAGUGUGAUAAGGGAUUAUCGAAACCUUCGCGUUAUUGUGACGUAGAACUCGCGUUAUUGUGACGUAGAACUCCAGAGACUCUAGUGGAAUAAAAAUCUCCCAACUCCUCACUGUGCAAAGCUGAAUAAUCUCGAGGUAGCAUAAGGUGAUAAAGGUAAAUGUGGUUCUCUUUCUUUUCUUAGAAAUGAUAUCCAGUUAUCUUUUUGGAGAUUAGUAUCCAUCUUCUGUUGCUUGUAACUUCACUUGUUAAUUUUAUAAACAAUGCAAGUUUGUUAUUUCUUGGUGGUCACAAAGUAAUUAAUUGCAUAAUUAUUAAUAUAUUACCCCCCAGCGUUAUGUUGGAUUAAAGUUUGAAAAGUAUAGUAAAUAUUAUAUUGUGAAAACUCCCACAUGCAUUAAGAAAGGAGCCGUUGACAGUUUAUGGAGAUGGCAAGCAAACCCGGAGUUUUCAAUACGUUUCUGAUCUGGUAAAAUAUAUACACAUUUAUUUAUUACCACUACAAAAUUAACGGACUGUUUCAUCUUAAUUUCGAAUUUAGCAAAUGUGAUUUUUAAAGAUAGGAUAUUAUAUAACUUUGUAAUUAAUUUAUUAUUGUGAUAUUGUUUAGAGUUUUACAUAAUAGUAAUAAUAAUAAACUGUCACAGGUGGAGGGGCUAAUGAAACUGAUGGAAGGCGAGCACGUGGGGCCUUUUAAUCUGGGCAACCCCGGCGAAUUCACUAUGCUCGAACUUGCUCAGGUCAGCUCUCUACUCCCCCAUUCUCACAUUUAUACUCCUAAACUAAUCUACUCUCUUUUAACAUUUAAAAUAUUUAGGUUUAAUCCUUUUUUUGGAACAUUUACUCAUCAACCCUAAUUGCUUUGCCCUCUAAGUUUCUUUCACGUAAAUAAUUAACUUCAUUCAUGAAACAUUUAAGUUGAGAUAAUUGGAUGGUUAAUUUGAAUCUUAUGAAAAAAUAAACUCUAACAAAAUCAUAAAAUUAAAAUGAAUAUAGGUAUGUAUAUUAUUUUUUUGUAAGUAAAAAAAAUAUGAUUUUAAAAUUAAUAAUAAGUUUGUAUUGGUGGGAGCUAUUUUAGCAUUUUAAGUAAAUUGACCAACCAAUUCAAACUAUUGAUAUUGGUUUUAGUUAUGUUACAAACACUUAUUUUCAAAUAGAGGAUAAUGAAUUAAAAUAUUUAUAAAAUAUAACAAAAUUUUACAUCAAUAGAUAAACACUAAUAGGUUUUCUUUCCAUAACAAUGUUUUAAACUUUUCUUGUCUCGUAGGUUUUUUCAAUAAAAUAUUUUGUUUUGUACAACCAAAACUGAAUUCAUGGAGAAGCAAAACUAAUUUUAAGAAUAGUCGACUUAGUUAUUAUCUAUAGAUCAAAACACUUUAUAAGGUUGCGUUUCUUUAUUUUCUAACAAGUUAAACUAUAGACUUAAAUUGUGAUAAAAAAGGACAUCCUAAUAAUUUAUAUGAUACAGUCUAUUUUAAAUAUAGAUCCUUAAUUCUAUUUUAUGAAGCUACCCAAAUGGUUCCAUAUCAACAAAAUAAUUGUUAUAUAUGUGUUCGCUUUUGUGCAGGUAGUGCAAGAGACAAUAGAUCCAAAUGCAAAGAUAGAGUUCAGACCGAACACGGAAGAUGACCCGCAUAAAAGAAAACCUGACAUUUCUAAAGCUAAGGACCUUCUUGGUUGGGAGCCCACCGUGUCCCUUCGAAAGGGCCUUCCCUUAUGGUUUCGGACUUUCGUCAACGCAUCUUCGGUGACUCGAAAGAUGACAUUUCCACUGCUGCCGUCCUCUCCACCACCACCACGGUCUAGUCCCUCCUUCUUAUCUCUUCUCAUACCUUUUAGAAUAAGAGAUCUCUCAAAUCACUUCCUCCCAAAGAAUAACAUUUGGUAGUUUGAAGAGAUGAGAGAAAAAAGAGGAGGGGAUCUUCCCAUCCAUCAAAACCUCUUUCUUUUCUCCCAAUUUUCACAUUUUUUAUUCCGUGGGCCUAAUUUACCUCUCUCUUCCUCUCCUGUUUUGUAUAUCUUUGCUCUAUUAUUUAUGAAACUCUCCUCUCUCUUUUUUAUUUCACUUAUUCCCAUAUACAUUAUAUUUAUACCUUUCUUUUUGUUAAAUUAUAAAUAUGAACUUUUGUAGUUAUAUAUAUAUAUGUUUGAUCAAUCUACCAUUCUUCUCGUUUCAUGAAUAUAUAAAAUUAUAAAAUUUUGAACAUGUAUAUCUCCAAGAUUUUAACUUCGUGUCUAUGUGAAAAGUUAUUUGUAACUAUUUGUGUACCAAAGAAAGAAAUGCAAUAACUAGUCUUGCUCGUUUGUUAAUUAGUUAUUGUCACCAAUAUGUGAUCAAUAUAUGUUAGUUAUAUAUAGUUUAUCAACAAUAAUUGACACGCCUUUCUUUUUUUAUGAUCAGUAGUUUAAAUCCACAUGUUUCUAGCUAUUUAUUACCUUAAACAAACUAUCAAACUGUUAUUGAAUGUUAGAAAUAAAUUUUGGUCUCCUUCGAUCUUCUUCCAUUUGCUCUUGAGAUCAUUAAUUAACAAUGAGUAAAGUUUCAUUUAGUUUAUUUUAAUAACUUUAAAGCAUGUAUGUCCUUAAGUUCAUUCAACUGUGUGAUUUUUGUUGAGUGUCAUGCUAAACAUAACUCAACUAUUUAAUAAUAUAUUCUUGAUCAUGAAUAGAACGAUUUAUGUUAUGAAUAUUUCAAUCUUGCGUUAUUGCAAUGUAAAGAACAUUCAACAACCAUAUAUCGUUUGCUUUAUCUUUCCAACGACAAUACAAUGCCAACGAAAGUCAUAAAUAAUUCAAUUUUAUUAUAGAUUAAAAUAAAAUUACGUAACAAAUGGAAACCAAUUAUGAAUGAACCAAAAGUUUAGCCCAUAAAAGUCUCAUUUUCUUUUGCACACACCAAUUUAUUGUGGAAAUUUUGUAGCAAAGUUUGUUAUGAAUUUGGUAUCCCAAACUAAAUUUCAAUUUAUAUUCAAGGAGUACUCUUCCCAAAGUUCAAUUAUCUUUCCAAAGUUUGCUUCCAUUACCAUACAACAAUAAUUGAUGUCUUUAACCUCUCUUUUCAUUUUCUUGUUAAUCUGGACGAUGACAUCGACAAGUUCAUGUCAGCUUGAUUUGAUUCGAAUACUUCUUGGUCCUGCUCACAUCUAUGGAAUGCUCUAUUGCACUAUUGAUGGGAGUGUGAUCUAUGGAGAGAUAACUCCAACAUUCCCGAGUGAGUUAAAAAAAAUUCUUACAGUUUAGUUUUCAUGUUACGCACGCUACUGUUUGUUUGAUCUCUUACUAAAAAAUGUUCUUUUUUUCUAAAUUAAAAAAAGAAAGAACGGUAAACGGUAAAAUUUUUAAUUAAUAUGGAAUGAACCAAUCUUAUAAAAUUAAUAAAAAUUUGAUGUUACAUAGCUUUAUCGCUUUAGUGUGUCCCUCCAUUGGUUUGUUUUUCAAUCAAAUGUUUUCUUUUCUCAUCGCUCAUUAUGACUAGAAAAGAAAAUCGUGUUAGGACUCAAACCAUUUUACAAUAGAUUAGUUUUACUUUUCAAAUUUUUCGUUGAUUUUUUUUGAAUUAAACCAUUCAACAUUAACACGGCAAUUAUAAUUAAGUCAACUAUUUUGAAUUCAUGCCAACUAAAGACAAAUAUGAAAUAAUUUUAAAAUUAUUAAAAUCACUACGUCGGAUAAAUUUUUUAAUAUCAAAUGUUGGUGUUAUUGUGUGUGUAUAUAAUAUAUGACAUGCAUGUUGAAGAUGCGGCGGUGCAAAUGCAAUGCAGAGCCGAAACGGUAGUUACGUCGGUUAAGACCGACGCCACUGGCAAUUUCUCCAUUUUUCUCGAUGCUCCUCGAUUGAUGCUCCUUUAUGUACUCACCAAUUGCACUCUCGUUGUCACUACGCCGCUUGUCGACUGCAACGCCGCCCUGCCAUCGUUCAGCACCCUCGUCUCGCCGCUGCAGCUCAUUGGAAAUACCUUCCAUGGACUCUUCAAUGUCACCAAUUUCAUUCCGGUAGGGUUCCGAUUCGUUCAUAGCAUUUGAGGAAAUUUCUUCUCUUGUUGCUGCUCUUACUUUUUAACUCACACUUGAAUAAACGAAGCACUUGAUCUCUAGAAUAAUGGUUUUUUGUGUUUGAUUUGAAAUAAUUUGAGGAUUUUUUUUGUUGUGAUGAUGAACAAUGAUGUUGCCAAUGUGUUUUUGAGCCAAUAGUUUGGUUGAAUUAAUAAUAUUUGAAGGCAGCUCAAAUCGCACAUAAAUGGUAACGAACAUAAUCAAAUGAGAUCGAGAUUUAUUAUACUUUUUCCUAUCUAAAUUUGGCCUAAAUAAUUUCGAAUACUCGAAAAUUAAAUGUAAAUACGAUUAGAUUAUUGUAAUAAAAUAUCCACAAACUUUGUUCUUAUUAGUUUAUAGAAAAUCAAUACAUCUUUUACUAUUUGGACGUUUUAUAAAUAUUGUUAGAAUAAAAAGUGAUAAAUUAUAGAGAUGUUUUAAAAAUAGUAAAAUAAAUUAAAAUAUUUACAUUUUCUUUCAUUAAAUUUGUUAUUUUUCACCAUUUCCGUGUAUUAUAAACAAACAUUUUUUAAAAACUUUUCUUAAUAUAAGAAAUACUAUUAUAUAUAUCACUACCUAAUAAAAAAAAAACUUAAUUUUAAAUUUUCAACAAAUCGUUAAAAAAUAGGAUAGUUGCAAAUUUAGCUAUUAUAUUCAAAUAAUUAAAUAUAUAGUAACUUUUUAAAAAAUUUACAAAUAUAACAAAAUUUGUCAAAUUCUAUCAAUGAUACAAGUCUAUCACUAAUAGACUAUAUUGUAAAUAUUGGUCUAUCACGGAUAGAUCAUACAAGUCUAUUAACGAUACAAGUUUAUUAACGAUACAAGUCUAUCAACGAUAGUUUUGCUAUAUUUGCAAUUUUUAAAAAAUAUUUUUAUAUCCUUAAUUUUUAUUCCUCAAAUGACUAUCUACUACAAUUACCCAAAAAAAACUCUUAAAAUUGUUCAAAGCUCAUUCCAAUAUACGGUGAGUUGGGUUUGAUUUUAAAAUGUUUAAUUUUAAAACAUAAAAAAAAUCAAUAAAAUUAAUGAAGUGAUUGGUAAAUUAAUUUUUUAAAUAUACUGAAAAAUGCUUUAGAAACACUCUCAACCUUUGUUUUUAACAUUUUCUAUCAAAUUUGUGGUAGUGUCAUUUGUUAAAGAGUUCGAUCACUUUGUUUCACAACUCUCGAAUUUAAAAAAAAAUUGUAACUAAAUAUGUCAUUGUCAAUUACCACAUAUUCACAAUUCACAUAAAAACGAUCUACUGUAUUGAGUUAUAAUAUCAUAUAUAUGGUUGAAGUAUUGAGUUAGACUAUCAUUUAGUUCAAAACGUUGUUGAAUAACUCAACUGAAGUAAAUGUGUGCAAGUCAUCAACGUCGUUUUAAUAACUCAAUUGGUUAAAUGUAUAAGCCAUUAACAUCAUUGUAUAUAUAGCUCGGUUGAUUAAAUAUAUAGACAAUAUACCGUAGAAACUUAAAGUAACAAACAAAUAUCAACAUAAAGUUUAAUCAAACGAAACAUCAACUAGCAAAAGCAUUACUACUACAACUAAAAUUAGCUUAUAGUUUGCACUCAUUAUAUCUUAGCUCAUUAAUUUACUUUUAAACAUUGGAACUUAGUUACUAUACAGUAUACAUACGUUGUUAGUUUAAAGAUAUAUAUAUAUUUUAUAAACUUUACAAAAUAUUAGUAAUAUGGUUGUAAAGAAGAUGAAUAUGUUUUCAACAUUUGAAAUGAAAAACUGAUUUAAAAAAACCAAUUAAGAAGAGUUAAACUACAAAUAUGACUAAUUUUAAAAUUUAAUAAAGACAACUAAUUUAAAUAUUUGAAAGCAAUAAAAAAUUAGUUAUUAUAUUGACAAAAAUUUGUAAUCUAUAUUUAAUUUUAUCUAUCGCUUGACCUUUUAGAUAAAUGGAUGAUUUAAAAUAUUUUAAUUAUAUAAUCAAUUGAAGUACGAAGUUAUUUAUGUCGAGAUGGUAAACAAAAUUGUGUUCGAUGAUGCAAACAAAUCUAUACACAGCCAUACCAUACAUAAAAUUACAUUUCAAUAAGUAACAUAUAAAUAAAAAAACAACUAACAAAAAUACUUCAUUUGUUAUAAUUUAUCAAGAAUUUAAUGGUGAAAAGAAAAUAUUUUAAAGAAAAUAACAUUUGAAAACAUUUAAUUUGUCGGUUAACAUUGACAUAAACGACUAUACUCUUAUGAUAAAGAUAGACACAAAGUACAACACAUCGUAAAUAUUUUAAUUUAUUUUAUUAUUUGUCAUCCAUAAAAUCUAAAAAAAAUUACAUUUUCAGUUAUUAGGUUUGGAUGAAUAUAUGUAUUUAGUCUAUGAAUUUUAAAAGCAAACCUUUUUAGUGAUUGAAUUUAUAAGAAUAUACUCAUUUGGUUGCUGAUUUUUUAAAAAGUAUAUUUUAAUAUUGAGUUGAUUUUUUAAAAAGUAUAUUUUAAUAUUGAGUUUUUUAAGAACGAACAUCAAAUAAAUAAAUAUAUUUUUAGUAUUGAGUUUUCUAAGAACUAACAUCAAAUAAAUUUAUAGUUUUAUUUUAAAUAAUUAUAUGACAUGUUAAAUUAGAGAUCAUACUUUUUAAAUUUUAAAUAUCAUGUAAUUAUUUAUAAAAAAUCAAACAUAAAAUACGAUUAGAUAAAAACUUUAUAUUUUAAACACAAAUGCUAAUUGAAAAUAUAUAUUUUAAAAAUUCAUUAAUAAAGUCGGUCGACUCUUACAAAUGUGAGGAUUAAAAAAUAUAAAAAAGAGAAUAUACGUGGCAUCAUAUGAGAGGCUGGUGGGAGAAAGGGUCUAAGCGGGAAAUAAAAAUUUAAAACUCAAUAAAUUUAUAUAAAACACGGCGGCGGCUUCACGAGGGCUUCACACUUCACUCCCAUGGAGGAAGCCAUUUCUCGAAUUCUCACAGAGCUCGAAGAAUUUCGCCAUUUCGACCACUCUACAACUCUCCAUUCCCAUCCUCCGCUCUCCCAAUCCGCUCUUUUCGACCUUCAAACUUUGUUAGACAACUCAAUUAGUACCGAUGAACAACAACCACUCGAUCGUCUCUACGAGGACCUCUCGGCUAAAUCCCUCUCUCCUUCCUCUCUUACUCGCGCCAUUGCUUCCGCCAUGGAUGAAUCUUCCACCUGUGUUUCGGUUUUAGCCUCUACAGUCUAUCUCUCUCUUCUUUUGGCCUCUAAUGCACCGGUCUUCACGCUUUUCAAUCCCAUGGAUUUCCUCUCGUUUCUCAGGUGUGUGAGGAGAUUCUUGAAGCAGCGACCACAGGGUCAACAGGACCAGGAUGAUUCUAAUAAGGAGUCUAGUGCUCCCAAAAGGAAGAGGACAGCCGGUUUUAAGGGUAAGGGUUUGCGGAAACGUCCGAGGCAGAGUUCUAGUGGCAGAUACGAUGAUGGUGAAUUGGAUGCAAGAGUUUUGUAUCCCGUACUUGAGAGGUUAGAGAUUUUAAUGAGUGUAAUUCAUUUGGAUCGAUUUCCGGAUAGUUUGAAAUCUUUGAUUGAAACUGUAAUUGAUAUUCCUGUUUUAGCACUUGAAAUAUGUACCAAUUUAAGUAUCUAUAGUAAGUUCACUGAUUUUUGUUCGCGGAUUUUGAGUGCUAUGUUGCGUCCUGAGGAUGGGGAUCUAUCGAAUACUGCUGUUGAGGUGAUUAAGUCUCUAUCACCAUUGAUUCUUAAUCAUAAAGAUCAGGCGCGAGCGUUUGCGCUAGAGUUUGUGACUAUUCAAAUAGGGAAGGUGGCAAAGGAAUCAGAUGGUGUUAAGAGUGCUCUAGUGAAUCUUCCAAGGUAUUUGGUUCAGAAGGCGCCUGAGAAAUCUGAGCCUCGUAGUUUAUUUCCAGGUUUUGGAGGUAUGUCUAUGGCGCUGAUACUUGGUGGUAUUUUUCUUAUUUUUAUUUGUACCAGUUAAUCCUGUGAGCCGCUGUAAUGAUAUGCACCCAACUGAACUUUACUUUAAGCUGUGGGCAGUUGUGAUCUCACCAAUCUACUUAAGCUCUUAACAUUGGAAAUAAUUGAUUAAGUUAUUAACAAAUAACAGUUUAUGUUAUCAUUGGAUCCCUCGUGGAUUGAUAUUUGGAUCUUGGGCCUUUGAUAGGAUAGCAUACGAUGUAAUUCCUUAUUUUUAGAGGAUGGAUAAUAUAGAUUUUUUAGCAAUAACCUAGUAUUUGAAUGGCUGAAAUGAAUUUGUCUAUUAUAUAAUGAAAACAACAGAAACCCACUGUUUUGAAAACUUCUAAGAUUUUUCUUUUGGUGUUCUAAUCUCAAGCUUCUUUUUUGUUCAGGAACACAGACUUCCUCGUCUGGUUGGUCUUCCAAAGGCUUUAGAAAUGAUGCUGGUGAGAUUAGUAGCUCUUGCUUUUGAUUUUUGACACCUUGCUGUAGAAUAGCUUCAAUGGUCAUUCAUAUCUUUUGCUUAUUUCUGUACCUGUCUCUCUCAACUUAUCCAAACUUGCUACACUUGAACAGACAUCCAAGCCAGUCAAAGGAGAAGAAGCCUUUUCACUGGGACUCGUGGACGCCAUAGAGAGGAGAAAACCAUGGAUUAUCAGUCUUCACAAGACCAACAAGUUAGAGUCUCUUGCUGAUGCUAGGGAAAUAUUUAAAUUUGCCAGGGCUCAAGUACGGAAACAGGCUCCAAAUCUCAAGCACCCACUGGUUUGCAUUGAUGUUGUUGAAACGGGUGUAGUCUCAGGUCCCCGUGCUGGACUUCAGAAGGUUGUAUUUCUAAGGCAGCUAUUUUUUCUCAAGUAAAAGAAAGAUCCAAGCAUGAAAUAACCUUCCUGAAUUUCUUUUUUAUGCUUAUGGCAGGAGAUUGAAGAUUUUCAAGUACUACUGCAUGCUGAUACCAGUAAAAGCUUGAUUCAUUUUUUUUUGCUCAGCGUGGAACAACAAAGGUGUGCGAUGAAGAUUUACUGAAAAAUAAAUGAUCGCUUAAAAUAAUCUUUAUUUCAGAACCUGAAGUUCAGGAUAUAGAAAAAACAACAUCCACUGUUAAUACAUUACGAGGUUAGUCUUUUCUCUUAUGUUGAUAUUUCUUCUUUUUUUUUCAAAAUAUGACAGGUACCUGGAGUUUCUGAUCUUGGGUUGACACCGAGACGUAUUAAUAAAGUUGCUGUUAUUGGUGGGGGAUUAAUGGGAUCUGGGAUAGCUACAGCAUUGAUUCUUAGCAACUAUCCUGUGAUUCUUAAAGAAGUAAAUGAAAAAUUUUUGGAGGCCGGGCUUGGCAGAGUCAAAGGUAAGCCUGGAAUUUACUACUGUUGAUUGUAUUCUUGUUAUAUUCUAUCUGGCUUGUGUUUGACCUGUCAUUGUAAACAUGUUAGCCAAUCUACAAAGCCGAGUCCGCAAGGGGACAAUGACUCCAGAAAAAUUUGAAAGAACCAUUUCCCUACUCAAGGGUGUCCUUGAUUAUGAAAGUUUCAAAGAUGUGGAUAUGGUGAUUGAGGUAAGUCCCACAUCUUACUUCACCCACAAAAAGUAGCAAUCGUUCAUGUCAAUUUGGUAUGCUUGUAACAGGCUGUUAUUGAGAACAUCUCCCUGAAGCAACAGAUCAUCGUUAGCCACUUAGCCAUUGAGUUUAUGCUUCUAAUGCAGUCCAGCACACGUCAUGCCACCAUACCCAUAGGCCAUAACCCCAAAACUUAAAUAAUUUAAUUUCAAAUAUUGAAUGCGUGGUUUGAACUACUUUGUAAGUGUUUUUAAACAUGUUGAAACUCAUUUCUUUGACAUUUUAUACAUAUUCUUUAACUAUUGGUUAGUUCUUCUCAAAGACUACAAGAACCAAAUGGACAGUCGAUUAGCAACUUUAGAAAGAGCUCCUCUAUAACAUUCAAAAGUAUGAAUCAACCCACGAAAAGUCAACGGCUGUUGAGGCAGUCGACAAGAUGCAAAAGUCAAUUAUCAGAAAAUGAGCUGUCAGGUUAUUUUCUAUUGUUUUUCUCCAUCUUCUCCUCUGAAAUGUCACUAACGCAUUUCAUAGAUGUCAAACUCCUCUCUUGCUCACCAUUGAAUGGCCAUUACCAACACCUCACAAAUUUCUUGUGAGAUUUCAGUUUUCAGAACGAAUCAAGAUCCUCAUCUUGGAAGCCGCCAAUCUCCUUUUAUCAGGCACGACUCUCAUUUUCCCUCCUUUUUCAUCUAUCGUUUAUAUAUACAUUGUUAACAUGAUGAUGAUGAUGAUGAUGAUGAUGAUGUUUACUCUGGCUUACGGUUGCGAAAUUUGAUUGUGGAAUUCUCUUUUUCAGACAGAGGCCAAAUUGCUUCAGCCGUAGGAUUUUCCCUCCUGGUAAGGGCCUUGAUUCUGAUUAUUGGUCCUAGUCCACUCGGCUUACUUCUUUUCCGCGGUAUGGAUAUAGCUAUUGUUGACGCUGAGAGAGAGCAACUCUUUUCAGGGACCACCCCCCCGACCCUUAUCGCACCUCUCGUAUGACCUCCUUAUGUGGGUUCCUUACCCUCUUCUUUCAGCUCCCAGCGCUACACACAUGUCGCCUACUCUCAGGAACCGGCUAGCCUUCAGACCAAGACCUUGCUUAUUCCACUUGGAGUAUCUUGGCCCACCGAUCCCAUGCCAUCGAAUGCGACCAUUCAACCGAACUAGGUCCGAUUGCGCCAUUAUAGCGGUGCUAAAAAGUUAUGAAAUCUUCGUCCAUUCUCUGGGUUAAUAUGGAUAGUCAUCUGGACCCCUUAUAAUUGGGCACCGCGGAGUGGGGACGCAUUCGAUAGCAUGCUCUCUGGCCGUAUGUAUUCGUUUUGCACGGUCGUGGGUAGUCGCUAGUUCGUCUUAGUAUGGGCCCAAACAUCCAUAUCUGAGUAUGCUAGCUGGUCACACAGGCAGUGCCUUCUUCUAUCUAACUGAACGGUAAACCGGGAGGGCGCUGCCCCUCCCUAACCCCUUUUUGGACACGAUGACAUAACCUCCCUUUUAAGUAAGCGGCCUAAGGCCUACCACUUACCUGAAAGGGCCGAAAGUUUGCCCCAGGCCCGAAGGUUGGAAUUGACCCCCCAGUCGCUUCAAAACCUGUACCUCCCGCUUGAUCUUCCUUUCUCAUGCCAUCCCCGGAUCCAGCGAGUGGGCCCAAAAGUUCAGACCCCUAGACUCCACCUUUUCGAUUAUCUCUGAGAUGGUCAGAGCCUCGGUGACACCCAUCCCAGUGGGACUCAAACUCCCUGAGACCGGCCUUCUUGGGUGGAUUCCUUAGAUGCCAUCCUCGGGUACUGCAAUGAGGAGUAUUGCUUCGGUACAAGUUUAGCGCGACAACUAAAUUGAGGGCAGUCGAAUGCUCAGUGCUUACUUACGAUAAUCGAGAAAUCGAGAAAAUCAAUGGGAUUUCUUUCUUUUGGGGAAAGCUCUUGAGUUCUGUAAGAGGAAACCGCCUCUAAGAAGCAGAAGAUUGUCUUUGUAUUGAGAGCAGCCCAAAAAGAAUUCGCAAAAUGGGCGUGUUUCCGCUCCGCUUUCCUACGCCUUUAUAUAAGGGGUCGGGACUCCUAAUCCUAGGCCUUGAUUCCAUUCCCCUUGGAGGAGAGGGAAAUAGGGACUAGAUCCCAGGGACAGGAUAAUCAGGACUCCUUAUUCCUAAAAGGGCCGAAGCACGUAAUCGCCGGCCGAUUCGCCGACAAAGACAAAGAAAAGAAGAAUUUCAGUCCGAUUCUAAGACAAAGCAAGCGAUUCUUAGCCUUAAGAUCCUUCGGAUCGGUAUCGCCUUUGCCUUCUUUAUCUGGGAAAUUGCCCUUCUUAGUAUAGGGAUUAGUAUAGGGCCGGGGAAUGAGAAGACCCAGGGAAAGAGGAGAAUCUAGACCUCUAGAUACCUACAUCCGAGGGGCCGAGAGGGACUAAUAGUGGCUCGGUAUCGGCUUUGCCUUUUCCUUCUUUAUCCGGGAAAGGAGAAUAGGGUAUGCGGGUCCGAUACCCCUUAAGCCGAUAGGCACACUAAUCCGAUUCCUCUUCCUCUGACUCCCGACGGGGUUGGGGGGAAAGCCUUAAUUCCAUAUUCUUCCUCUUAGUCUUCCUUCCGGCCGGCCAAGGAAGCGAUUGGCCGAGAAAGAAGAAGAAGGAAAGAACCGAUUCUUAGCCCUUGACCGAGUGAGUUGUCCUCUUUCCUACGCCUUUAUAUAAGGGGUUGGGACUCGUAAUCAGCCUUCUUCUAUAUAUUCUUUGCGCCUUUCAUUCUUCCUCUAAAAAUGACAUAAUAUCUAAAGAGGAUCAUAUUCUUUUUUUAUGCCUCCUUCUGCAGAACCUACUAGUAAGAGGCCGACGGAGCGGUUAAAGGAAAAGGUUCGCCUAUCCCCUUGUUCAUUGAGGGACUCCUAAUUUUUAAUAGAAUGAAUGACUUGCACUCCUUUCUUCUUUUCCGCAAUAUUCUUUGCUCCGAUCAUGAAAAGAGCCGUCCGGAGGACCAUCAAAGAAAGGUCCAAGGUCCGGAGUCCGCAGUCCGCAGGAUUUAUCCGUAGUCCGGAGGACUUUCCGUAAUUAACCGAACUUUGCGCCUUAGUUAGUCUUAUUCUGAAAGUAUUAUUCCGAAAAAAAGCUGUUAAAUAGCUUAAAUAAGCGGUUCAAUUCCCACUCCUAAAAUCAAAGCUCCAGAUGAGUUGACAAAGGUUCAAAGAAUGAUCGGAGUCUGCGCUUUCUUUCAUAACUGAGCCGAGAAUGAGGCUGGCAUAGUUGUCUCUCGCAUGCAAGGAGAUGCUGCUGCUGGAUGUCACGGUUCUGGGGCGCCAUGAUCCUUUUCUCUGGAACAAGAGAGGCGCAAAGAAUAUUGCGAGACAAAUGCCCAAAUAAAAUCAAAGAGGUAGGGACUUCAUCAAUCAUCGCUCAGUGAGCUAUUUAUUGCCGCCAAUAGCGCUUCGCUUGCACGCCAGCGCCACGCCUGGUAGAGCUAUCGCGCGCGGGCGAAGGAGAUGCAUUUUGAGUACUGGUAGUACUGGACAAGCUCAGAGGGAAUAAUCUCUUUCUUCUUUCUUCCUUUCUUUCCCAUGACGACUAGGAACAGGCAAAUUAAAAAAUUUCACUUCGAAUUCCGGACCUCAACAUCCUGCUGCUCAUGGUGUUUCACGAUCAGUAUUGGAAAUGAACGGAGAAGUGGUGGAACGUGCGGAACCCCAUAUUGGAUUACUCCAGUGCGGCACGAAGCCGCUGACGCCGAGUCGGCUCCUAUGCCGCUAGCUAUGCCCUGCUUGGUCCCUCGACACGGUGGAGGUUCCGUAGCGCGUCAUGAGCACCGGGCUAAGGGGCGGUUUUUCUACUCAAGCGAACCGCCCUACCUUACUACAACAUAGGGACAGAAGGGAGAAGGUUGUGAAGGUGGCCUCGUUAUCCACACCUCUGGUCGGAUGAAUGGAGGACCUCCAAGAAAAAAGCCUAGGGUUUGAAUGAGCGUUGGCGGGUCCUGGAGUGCCUGUCAAGGGCUCCCGCGCAUACCCCGGGGUGAUCAUCACCACCUGCACCUCACAUCUCGGCACAGUGGAACGUGUAACCCGCCUGCUGUCUCAUUCAACUACAUUUGUUCGUUCCUAUAAUCCAUAGCCUAAGAUCAGGCAGCAGCGAGGGGCAACCUGCCCAUACAGCCAGCGGGGAGGAUGGCACUACUGGCAAAGACCGUCUGGCGAAAACGCCGCAGGCGCGAAGCGUGGUAGGCCUGCGCCGGGGGGAGCAUAGCAUAGGCGGGAAAGGGAGCCCGGACGGUGGAAGAGCCAGGGGAGGCCGGGUCAUUUGACGGAAAUGGAAGGCUUUUCCCCUAUUUUCAAAGGCCUCAUUCAAGGUUAUGUCUGGUCGAAAGAUCUUUAUGGAAGUGCAUCAAUUCUUGGAAAAAGAGUGAAUGUCUAAUCUUUCUUUGGGUCCUCCGUUUUAGAGUCCUACGGAUAAAUCCUCGGACCAGUUCUUCCCGCUAUUUAUGGAUGUUCAUUGAUCCUUAAUAGAAAGCCGAGCCUUUAAUUCUUUGCACCCGUCCUCCGUCCUUAGUCGUUCUUUAUAUCCAUAUUAGCUUAGCUUUCUGCGCCUGAGGACGUCCGAAGGACUCUAAAAAGGAGCGUUCUAAUGGAAUUCAUAUUCCAAUAUUCUUUGCGCCUAAUCUCAUUCAUUCAAUAUUCUUUUCACCUUCGGUAAACUUUAGCGGAAUCCUUGAGUCCUCCGGACGGACCGGACCACUAUUUCUCAAAUUCUUUGAUCCUCUUGACUUGUCUUUCCUAUAAAAGAUAAGAAAGUCCAUUCAAUGAAUAGAUCUCUUUGAAAGGGUACGAGAGAGAGCGCUGCCUACACGCGAAUUAGCUUCCGAGGUCAAGCAGUCUCAAUAUUGAACUACAGGAUUGAUUUGCGAAUUCAUGCUGGGCUGGGCCACCUCGAAUGGCGUGAGCCGCAUGCGGGGAGACCCGCACGUACGGUUUUUAGGGGGAUCUGGUCGAAAGACCGGCGCCCACCCGACUAGAGGGACUGAGAAAUUAAUAGAGUACAAAACUUAUCUUCAAGCUUUACCUUAUUCUGAUCGUUCAGAGGGCGAUCGCGGAGUCACUGAAUGAAGUCCUCCCUUUCUUUCGGAGGUGCUGACCCGCAGCGAGGCAGAGAUGACUAAGUUACAUAUUCCAUAUGGCGACGACAACAGCAUGUCGUAGAAGGAGAUAAGAGGUGGAGCCAACGACCCACUAAGACUAACGUAUCUACAACUACAUCCCCGAGCGGCAGUCAAACGGAGGCGUGAAUGCAAGAUGCCAGCGGAAUGAUCGGUCGGACAGAGGCUAGGGCUGCUUUCUUCCCACCGCGUCCUUCCUUGUGUGUCGGAGAUAUAAAGCGAGUGCACCGGAAAAGAAGGGGAACUGGGUUGAUCUAUUCUAUGGCGAAGCAUCCGAAGCAUAACUGCACACUCACACGAUCUUUGCCGAGAGAUAGGAGCAUUCGGUGGAACCGGUGAACUACACUUGCUUCUGGAUAGAUGUGUGGGACAGAGGGCUCGUGGUACCUGCAGCCCACCCUUCCUCCUCUGCUUUGAGAACCGUAUGAACGGAGAGUGGGCAGAAGGGAAAGAGGUCCUCAUACGGAGUCGCACACUGACUUUUUCUGUGCGGGAGACUGGAGAAUGGGUCGAGUAAACUCCCCCGGGGCCGGCCGGCAAAAUCACAGACUCAGUGCUAUUUCUUUUUUCUUUAUUGAAUUUCAAAGGAGGCGCAAAGAAUAUUGCGAGGCAGAGGUAGUACUUCGAAUGGCGAAGAGAGGCGGCUCGGCAAAGAAGGAAUGGGAAAGAUUCUGACUUCUUUGUUGGCGAAACGAAGGGCUAAAUUGCGCCAUUCUCUGAGCCGGUCUGGAUUUCCAAUGCCUCGGGAAAGAGGUCGAUCUCGAUGACAAGACCUUUUUCUUCUUUAUUGGGUGCCUUCUUUUAGAAGUAGUCGGAAAGAGAAAGCCUAAAGAAGGAAUUGCAUGAAUGAUCGAGGAUUCAAGUUCCAUAAAUCAGUCCAAGGCUCAAAGAGGUUAAUAUGGAAGGUGAAAAGUGGUUUUCAAAGUCAGAGCUAUCCCUUAUUAUUGAGGGCUUUGACCACCUGGACACUCGCCUACUCAGUCGCAAGGAUCAAAGAAUUUGAUUGACAAAGAAUAUUGCGAUUUUACAGACUCAAGAGGAUCAUAGAAUUUGAGAAAUAGGCAGUCAUAAAGGCUCAGUUAAGCUUGAUAAAGGACUCCUUCGCCCAUCCAUAAACAUAAAUAAAUAGAGAGAGGCUCAAAGAAUUUGAGAAAGCCUACCAUAAAUCAGUUCGACUAUCCUGGGAAGUCGCGCUUUGCUUACCGGCUCAGGCUUCCAAAGGCGACCAGCUUGAAAUACCUUUUCUUACGUUACGCUGCCAUUGAUUUUUCCAAUCUCAUUGAAUAGCAUGGCCUGGGGUAACUUAAGUGGGAGAGCCGUGUUAUGGGUGACCUUAUUGCACGGUUCAGAGAGCACUUGUGUAUGUGAUGCAAGUGAACGUGUACGAAAAAGCUGUAGGAAAGUGAGUUCUUCGUUCCGUCGUCGACCCUAUCUAUGUUUCUACGAUGGCCCAAGAACACGCUCAUUCUUCAGCUGUAGAGAGACUUUUGAAUUGCGAGGUACCAUUACGAGCUCAAUAUAUACGAGUCUUAUUCCGUGAAAUCACUCGAAUUCAAAUUCAUUCACUUGCUUUAACUACUCAUGCUAUGAUGUGGGAGCAUCAACUCCGUUCCUGUGGGCUUUUGAGGAGCGGGAGAAAUUAUUUGAAUUCUAUGAAAGAGUCUCGGGAGCCAGGAUGCAUGCCAGUUUCAUACGACCAGGUGGAGUGGCACAAGAUCUGCCUCUUGGCUUAUGUCGAGAUAUUGAUUCCUUCACACAACAAUUUGCUUCUCGUAUCGACGAAUUAGAAGAGAUGUCAAUCGGCAACCGUAUCUGGAAACAACGAUUAGUGGAUAUUGGUACUGUCACUGCACAGCAAGCAAAGGAUUGGGGAUUCAGUGGUGUAAUGUUAAGAGGUCGUGCGACAUGAAGACAUUGAUAGCAAUAUGGGGGAAGUUCCCAUCAGGCAACAAGGGUUCUGCCUGACCCUACUUAAGCAUGCAUAUUAUGUCAGUGAAGACUUGGUGUGAAGCCUUGGAGCUUACGUUAGAAGAGCAAAAGGCCCGGGGCUAGGGUAAGCUGAGGGGGGACAGCGUAAGUGAGCGAAUGUGUGUAAGCCCAGUCAAAGAUGACUGUUCUAGGCGGGGCGGGCCACCCACCUGAGAAUGGUCUUGGUCCUACGGACCGUGAACGGAUUCGCCUCUGGCCUCUGGGUACGUCUCCACCGCAUAAGUUCACCGGGGUGGAGCACGGUCCGCCAAAAUCGGCAUAGGUUAGGUGCUAUUGAUGGAACAUGGUAAGCCUAUCUUUCUCCAUAUGGAAGUGCUGCGGGCACAUAGAGAUGUGGGUAGAGGAAGCCUCAAAAAGCGAAGGCCGAGCUGUAGGUCACGUGACCUGCACCGAGUUGGUGGCUGACUGGGCUUUUUCCUAGAUCAAAGCGGAGAAGCGAGCCUAUCCAAAAGUCGAUCCCAAAAACUUUAGGGUUCUUCUCGUGUAAUGGGCUUGCUUUGCGCAACUGCGCCCCACUUUAGGAAUUUGGUGUCCAUUUAAAGUCUAAUCUUUCACUCAAAUUUCAUUCAGCCUCAUCCAUUCAAUAUUCUUUUCACCUUCGGACUGUCCGAAGGACAGACGGGUCCUCCGGACCUGUGACGCCUUCGCACCUGGAAGUCGCUUCGCUUCGCGCCUCCUACAAUAUCCCUGUCUUAUGGAGCCGGAGGACGGACCAAAAAAUAGGCGAAGCGAGACAGAAAGAAAGCAUAGGAGGAAGAGCCAUAGGCGCAGCAGCUAGAAGAAAGCAUAGGAGGAAGAGCCAUAGGCGCAGCGCUUGUGAUUAGAAUCCCAGUCAAAAGAGAAAUCAGCCUUUUGCCUUGGGAAAGAGAGAACUAAUGAGAAUGAAACUGGAAGUCUGACUCACACUUGAGAAAUUCAUGUGUCUCGCAAAUGAGAGAGGAUGUAGUAGGUCCAUGAAUGAAUUGCCUUUUCUCCUAGGCUUUCCUUUCCAAUCCCUAUUUUUUUCUUUAUGAAUGAAAAAAGAAAGGCUGAAUGAAAUUUGAGUUUGCGCCUUCUGACUUUAUCAAGCUUAACACAUCUACAUUGAAUUAUAAGGCGCAAAGAAUAUUGCGAAGCGAAGAACAAAAAUCAGGCUCAAUGCAAGAAAGCAAAGAACUAAAAAGAAAGGUCCAGAUGCGUCACAGGUCCUCCGGACUGCGACUGAGGCGCAAUGAAAUAUGCGUUCAGGAUCAAUUCAAAGUUCAGCGGGAAGAACUGGUCCGAAGGACUAUCCAGAUUAACCCAAAGAAAGAUUGACCUAGAAAGAGAGGACCGUAGGAGGCUCAAAGAAUGAUCGGAGUAGGUGCAAAGGAUACUGCGAAGGCGCAAAGAGCUCAGAAUUUUCUCUUUUUAUCCACCCCAUAAAUCAAGUCCAAAAAAUAGGCGUCCUUCGGACUAGUUUUUUAGCAUCAAAAUUCAAUUCUCCCAACAUCGUUCGUCUUCAUGUCUUUCUGGGAGUCGAGGGCUCUUCACUUUCAUUCAGGUCUUUCCUUAUUCCCUUUUUGAAUGCAUGAGACAUGAAAAGAAAGAAAGCCUCAAGCAGAACCACAUUCCUUUUGCGUGCGGAUGUAGCUAAGUGUCUGACCCUUGUUUGUGAUUCCCUGCUGUUGCGGCCUAUCCUAGAAUGCGCGUGAACCAACCCAAGAAAGAAGGAAAGGAUGCCUCUCGGGGCAUCUGAGAAUGAUUAGAGCUGUAUGAAGGGAAACUCUCACGUACAGUUUCUUUUUUUUGGGGGGGGAAGGAGCCCGACAGGGUCCCCCCACUGACUUGGCCCGGGCCUAAGUGAAAGUGAAGUGGUGGGCCUACCCAUCCCAACCAGGGGUAUGCUGGGAUUUGCGAAGAGCAGCACCUUACGAUGUUCAUGACCAAUUGGAACUGACGUACCAGUAGGUACCGGAGGAGAUCGCUAUGAUCGUUUACUGUAUCCGUAUCGAGGAGAUGCGACAAAGUGUUCGGAUCAUUGUGCAAUGUCCUAAUCAAAUGCCUAGUGGGAUGAUCAAAGCCGAUGAUCGUAAGCUAUGUCCUCCAUCACGAUCUCGAAUGAAACUAUCCAUGGAAUCGUGUGCCGUGUGAAACGUAGAUCAUCGCCGUUCUUAACCGAGACUCAGGUUAAGCUCCGUCUCGGAACCUUGUGGGGUUAGAAGUAAAGCAUCCGGAGGUUGACGCAUCUCGUUGGGCGUGGAGAAACAUUGGGAACCAAAAUAGCUUUCUUCGGAGCCGUUUCUUCUCCUCCCCCCCCCGGCAUAGCGCUUCGCUUUCGGUGAUUCUUCCGAAUCAACUGACUUCUCCCUUCUUCAUUGAUCUGGGGGAAAAGGAACCGUCUACCUGUUGGGAAGCUAGACAUUCAGUAAGUGGCUUGAUGAGGAUAACUAAGCUGACACGCCGGAGUUGGCUGCUGGCACAACUGGGUGGUGCCUUACCGCACCGCAGGUUCACGCGCGGUAGCGUUCGUGGUGGUGCUUCAGGAUUCCAAUGUACUGCAUCCAAGAUCAGAACGAGCUUGCCGGCGGACCAUUGCCGUCCCAUUCUUGAGUGAGCUGGAGCGCAACCAUCUUAUCCACUGAACUAGCGUUAAGCUAUUGCUUCGGGUCGAAGCACUAAAAGAAAAGGACCAGGAAAGGCGGCGGUAUAGGAACCACGGGACCCCCCCCCACUAGUCUAUUAAAGGGAAAAGAGAAGUGCGCUCCUCUCCUGUAAGUAAAGCAGCUUCGCACCUCUCAAGAAAUAAGAAGAGCAGCUAAAAGGAAGGAAAGAUCGAAUUCAGAGAUCAUUCAACUCUCUUUCAUACUCUCUCUCUGUUCCGCUACGUGGGCUUCCUCUUUCUUGGUCGAGCUGCUGUCAAUAUUCUUUUCACCUGCGCACCUGCUUCAAAAGCCCUUUACCCUUUGAAUAAUAAGGUCAGCUUCAUAGUUCCAACCUAGAUAAGGCUUUUUUAUGCCCUUUUUUAGGUUGGGUUGCUGGAUACGGGAUCCUCGUAGUAGGCUUGACCAAGAUCCAGCCGAGAGAGGGCAGCCUUUAGAAGGAAGAGGUUGGGAAAGCAAGAGAAGGCUGAGCCUUUUCUUAUCUUUUUCCCUAGGCUCGCCCCUCUCCCUAUGAUCGAGUCUCUUCGCCCUCUCCUUACAGUCUCAAUCAAAUCCUUUGACCCUCUCCUUACAGAAAAAAAAGAGUGAUUUGGAUUAUUGACCCAAUGAGAAAGCACUAACAUCUUCCUCGUUGGGGCUUCGCGCACUGGGAAGAGGCUAAGGCGACGGGAAAUCGGCCGUCAGUCUGAGGAAGCCCACGGAGCGGUAUCGAGAGGGCUAUCACAGUCAGGUGGAAAUUACCCCGUACCCCUCUUUCAUUAUUAUGUUAGGGGGUUGAGGCGAGAAAUGGCUUGAUUCACCCUUCCGUUCGCCACGCACCGGCCCCAUUCACUUGCUUAUCGUAGAGGGACUUGCUGUUGCUGUUGAAGUAUACAGUGCCCUGCUGUUGCUGCUAUUGACGGACUUGCUUUGGGUGGAGGGUUAGAGGUCGCUAUUGUAUGUCUUAGAACUUCUUGUAGACAAUUAAAUCUUUAAAAUCAUUGUUUAAAAAUAUUUUAUAUUAUUUUGGUUUGUAGGCAUGCCAUGCACGAUUAUCAACCAAAACUGCACAGUUAGGAUUACCUGAACUUCAGCUUGGUUUAAUUCCAGGUUUUGGAGGUAUGUCUAUGGCGCUGAUACUUGGUGGUAUUUUUCUUAUUUUUAUUUGUACCAGUUAAUCCUGUGAGCCGCUUUUAUGUCUCUUUCUGGCCGUUUUUAUGUCUCUUUCUGUUGACUUUAUUAUUCUCUCAUUUAUGAUUUAACAUCUCAUAUGAAUUAUUAUGUGUAUCUUGCAUGGGAUAUUUUGCCACUUUGUGCCCAUAAAAAUCAACACUUGUCUUUCGGUGUAUAGGUCAUAAGUGGUCACUUUGGGUGGUAAGGACCGUUGCAUUUGAUCCAAGUAACAUGUGGUUUUGUACUGAUUCAGCAGAUUGUACAAUCAAGGUACUUAUUUUUAAAAUUAUUCAAUAUGAAUGAAUUCCAUUUUGGUCUGUCGAAGCGGGCCAUAUAUAGGUUCCAUCGUUUUUGCCCUUUGAUAACAAUCGUUAUCUUUGAGUUUUCUGCUCCUGAAAAUUGAAGUAUCAUUUAUUUAUGAUAAUUGUAGGAGCAUGUUUCUUCUUCCUAGAAUAGCGUGACACGAAAUAAAUGAUAGUAUGGUUGAUACGAGAUUUUUCUUCUAGGGCUAGUACAAUCCAUGAACUCUCUGGGCAUGAAACACCGUUUGCUCAUUUUAAUGGACCAAUUGUAUCCUUUUCUCCCUCUGAUCUUUCCUUCCGAUAUCUUGGUCAUAUUAGUUUCUUUCAAUAAAUUUUUUACUCGUGUGGUGUAGUUCUUUUAGAUAAUUUCCCUUUGAUUCUACAUAAGAACCUAUUUUCGUGCUUUUGUAAUUAUCAACUUUGUAUCAUUUCCUUUAGACUGGAGCAGUACAUCAGACAAUCAAAAUAAUUGAUAUUCCAAUAUUGUGUAUCUUUUGUGCUCAGUUCUCAGCAGAAGACUUAUCAAUAUAAUGUCUGUCAAUGAAGAGGGUGUUAUGGUGAUUGGAGGUGCUUUUUUUUGUUUGGGGAGUUGACAAAAUUGUAAACUGAACCCCAUGUGUUUCAUUUUUCUCCUCAUUGGCCAGAAUUUUGUCAACUCCCCAAACAAAAUCCUGGCCGAUGAGGAGAAAAAUGAAACACAUUGGGUUCGAUUUACAAUGAUUUUUCUUAAUGAUUGUUGGAAGAACAAAGAGAUUUAAGGGUAACAAAAAGAAUGGAAGAAUGUUAAAUCCCCAAAGACUAAAUGGCCAAUUGAAUGCUUAAGGAAGUUUGAUUUGCCUGUUUUAGCAGCUUUUUUAUGUAAAUGUUGUAGAAAGAGUAGAACAAGGACAUAAUUCUCUUUUUUUUCUCUUUACAAAGUAACCAAUGACUUAAAAGAAAGACAUUGCACACUAAAUGCCCAUUAGAAAACAAUAUACAUCGAAAAGAAUAAAAAAUAUGCAAAAAUUCAAAAUGAAAGUGCAAGCAGAACAAAACGGACUUGGUUCACCAUGAACAGAUAGAACAAGCUCCAAAACGGAUUUUGAGUAGAAUUCCGUCUCAGAUUUGCAGUCUCCAGGUUUUCCAAAACGUUCCUAAGAAAGAAUCAGCACAACCCACAACUUUAAAUUCUUCAAAAACAAUGAAAUUAACUCAAAGCAGAAAAAAAAAAAGACAAAAACUCUAACCAAUGAUAACAAAAAAAUAAACCUUAACCUUUGAUCCUUGCAAUCCAUUUGGGGGUUCAGCACUGGACUUGAUCGAGAACAAUCAGCUCCCACCGCAGGUUUCUGCAUGGACGAUGAUUUUUCGAGGAGGGAAAUCAAAUUUUUGGAAAUGGGUAGUAAAGAAAAAUAAGGUUGAAAAGAUUUUGUUUGGAGAGUGGGCAAAAUUCUAGCUGGUGAGGAGAAAAGAAAAGACAUGGGGUUCAGAUUCGAGGGAUUUUUCUUAAUGAUUGUUGGAAGAACAAAGAGAUUGUGAGGAGAUUUAAGGGUAUCGCCACGAAUGGCAAAAUGUUAAAUCACAAAAGACUAUUGUUUUCUUGCUUCUUUAUGGAAAUGUUGUAGAAAGAGUAGAACGAUGACAUGGUUCAUUUGUUUUUCUAUUUACAAAAUAACCAUUGACUUAAAAGGAAAGAAUUUGCACCACAAAUGACCAUUAGAAAACAAUAUACAUAAGAAAGAAUAAAAAAUACGCAGAAAUUGAAAAUGAAAUUGAAAGUUGAAAAUAAAUGGAAGGAAGAAAAAUACUCCAAAAGUUCCAAAUGCAUUACGAUCAAGAGAAAUUUGUAUCAACAUGAACUGAUCAAAUAAGCUCCAAAAUGAUUUUGCAGUGGGAUUCCGACUCAGAUAAGCAGUCUCCAGUCUUGCCAAAACGUUCCUAACAAAGGAUCAUCACACCCAUAACUUUAAAUUCUUAAAAAACAAUGGAAUUGACUCAAAGCAGAACAAAACGAAAGAAAAACUCUAACCAACGAUAAGAAGAAAAUAAACCUUCACCCUUGAUCCUUCCAAUCCAUUUGCGGGUUCAGCACUGGACAUGAUCGAGAACAAUCAGUUUCCAGCUGUAGGUUUAGGCAUGGACGAAUAUCUUCCAAGAAGGGAAACGAAUUUUAGCGAAGUUUGAUCUACCUGUUAGCAGUGUUCUUGUUUUUGUACGGAAAUGUUGUAGAAAGAGUAGAACGAUGAAAUAAAUCACUUUGUUUUUCUCUUUACAAAGUAACCAAUGACUUAAGACGAAGACAUUGCACAACAAAUGACCAAUAGAAAAUGAUACGCAAUAGAAAAGAAUAAAAAAGAAAACAAUAUGCAUUUUUGUUUUCAAAUUCUUGGUCAAAUCGCAAUUCAGAAAUGAAAUUUGGUUCAUUAUCGACGAUAAUAUGGUGAACUAAAUAACAUAAGUUUCAGAGUCAUGGGAGAAUAAUAACCUUGCUAAUUGCUCAAGCUCUGAAUGUGAAGGCUUUUCCCAUGUGAAGGAACCCAAAGAACCAGCAAAAGCAGCAUGCUUCUUCCCAAUGCAAGAACAUUCAGUGUAUCUUCUGAUUAUGUCCUGAAUGCAGUAGGAAAAAUGAUAUGAAGUUGUAAUUCAAGCUAAGGUUUUGUUGCAUAAACCAAAAACUUAGAUGGAUAAAACACAAAAUGCAUCAUGUUCCUACCUUAUGCCUACUACAUUGCUAACAAUACACUUACUGCACUCUCAGAGAAGGAACCAGAAAUGGUUCUUGAUGAUCUGUUAAAAUCUUUUGAUGAAAAUGUAAUUAGUGCAAAGAGCGUUGAUGAUUCUAAAACAGAGGCACCUCAUGCUAACUCGGAUGUGCAAUGCUUCUCUGAAGAUGAAAAAGUAAAUGAAGUUUCGAAAGAUGAUGAUUCUGUGGAGAUUUCUGCUGAGGAAAUCAAUGAAUCUGACAAAUCUUCUCUGCCUACUGAAGACUUGGAUGUUACUGAAGUUCACAAAUCGAGCAUUGCAGAAGAAUUUGGUAUGGAAUUUGAAUCUCAACAAAAUGAGUCUACCUGUGAAUUAGAACAUAAAAUUGAAGAAGAUGUUGAAGAAGAAAACACACGUGAAUAACUCUGCUGAAGAACUGUCUCUUCCCCACGAAAAUGUGGAAGAAGAAACUGAAGUUGAUGGAGAUGAUGCCUUGAGCAGUGAUGAAGAAUCUUUGGAAGUGAAAGACGAUCAAGAUGAAAAUGAUCAGAUCCCACAACCGGAAAUGUAGCAUCAGAUGCUGACAUUGAAGGAGACAAGAAGGAAACAAAAAUGGAGAAAAGUUCUGUUCAAGCUAAAGAAGAUGAUACAAUUAUCAAUAAGUCCACGGAGGAGUUCCCUGAGAAUGUUUCUGAUGAUUUGGUUGAUGUCAAGAUCCAAUGGAAAAUGGAAGAAGAAACUGUUCCUAAAGACAUAAUUGUCGAAGCUAUCGACUCACAACCAGAAAUCCCAAAUGCCAUUGUUCAAUGUGAGGAAGCUUUGGUGGAAAUCACUAUCACAUCCUCCAACAACAAUGCAGUUCAAUCAUUGGCAAACCAAUUCCCUAGGCCAACAAUAGAAGCCAAAUCUCCCGUUGAAGAACAAACCAUUAGUUUGCUAAUGGACAACCCAGAUGCUGAGGAAGAAGAAGCUGAAAAAGAACAGAACAAAGCAAAGUUCAUUCAGUUAGUGGUGAAGAAUGAUAAUACUAGCCUAAGGCAGCUGAGGAAGUUGUUCAAGGAAAAACUCCAACUUAACCAUAAGAAGAUGGAAAAUAAUAACAUCAACACAAAAGUUGUUGGAGGUGGCGUGAAAGUGAGAACUGCUUUACAACUAGUGCCGGAAAACAGAAUGACCGUGCAUUAAAAGUCUAGAAAGAGAGAGCAUUGUGCAUGGUUCAAACUGUGGUUUGCCUCACGUUAUUGAUUUUGUGUUUGUUUUAUUCUUUCCAUGAUGUAUUUUGAGAGGAGGGAAAAAUGAGGUAAAUGAUUAAUUUGUCUGAAUUUUUGUUCAUCAGUUCAAUAAUAAAAAUGCUAGUAGUUUGUGUUUUAAAAAAAACAAUACACUUACUGCAGCACCAAGAUACAGGUUGUAGCCAAAUUUCAGGAAAAAAAUAUAUAUUCAGAUUUUUGCAUAUCGAGAAUUUGGUGAAACGCACCUUGAGUUUAUUUACUCAACUAAUCCACGAGAAUUUGUGAUAUGAACACUCUUGGCAGAGGUCCAUUGACUCCAUCACCAUCAUCAGCAGCAUUAGAAAUGGAGGGAGGUGAAAACCAAAAUGCUUUCAACUUUUUGGCUGGGAAUGAUAAUUCUUCUUUUUUACCUAAGCGGCUGGCUUGGCUCCCUCUUUUUUUUUCUCGCUCCCUCUCUAAAGGUUGCCAUGCUGGGUGAAGAACUUUAAGUACCUACUAGGUGGGGGUCGGGUUUUGCUUAGGCAAGAAAAGCAGAGAGGAUCCCCACGAAAAAUCUGAAACCGGGGGGAUCUCGGCGCGCAUUUUACUUGAUCUAAGCGGCUGGCUUGGCUCCCUCUGUUUUAUCUCUCUCCCUCUCUACCGGCUGCCAUGCUUGGUGAAGAAAAAUCUAAGGACCUACUAGGCGGGAUCAGGUUUUGCUCAGGCAAGAAAAGCGGAGAGGAUCCCCACGAAAACUCUGAAACUGGGGGAUCUCGGCGCGCAUUUUACUUGACCUAAGCGGCUGGCUUGGCUCCCUCUUUUUUUUCUCUCUCCCUCUCUACCGGCUGCCAUGCUGGGUGAAGAACUCUAAGCACCUACUAGGCGGGAUCGGGUAUUGCUUAGGCAAGAAAAGCGGAGAGGAUCCCCACGAAACUCUGAAACCGAGGGAUCUCAGCGCACAUUUUACUUGACUUAAGCGGCUGGCUUGGCUCCCUCUUUUUUUUCUCGCUCCCUCUCACAGACUGCCAUGCUGGGUGAAGAACUCUAAGUACCUACUAGGCGGGGGUCGGGUUUUGCUUAGGCAGGAAAAGCGGAGAGGAUCCCCACGAAAACUCUGAAACCGGGGGAUCUCGGCGCGCAUUUUACUUGAUCUAAGCGGUUGGCUUGGCUCCCUCUUUUUUUCUCUCUCCCUCUCUACCGGCUGCCAUGCUUGGUGAAGAAAUCUAAGGACCUACUAGGCGGGAUCGGGUUUUGCUUAGGCAAGAAAAGCGGAGAGGAUCCCCACGAAAACUCUGAAACCGGGGGAUCUCGGCGCGCAUUUUACUUGACCUAAGCGGCUGGCUUGGCUCCCUCUUUUUUUCUCUCUCCCUCUCUACCGGCUGCCAUGCUGGGUGAAAAACUCUAAGGACCUACUAGGCAGGGUCGGGUUUUUCUUAGGCAAGAAAAGCGGAGAGGAUCCCCACGAAAACUCUGAAACCGGGGGAUCUCGGCGCACAUUUUACUUGACCUAAGCGGUUGGCUUGGUUCCCUUUUUUUUUUCUCUCUCCCUCUCUACCGGCUGCCAUGCUGGGGAACUCUAGUGACCCACUAGGCGGGGGUCGGGUUUUGCAACCCUUAGCAGCUUGGUCGUAUUGUUUUGUUUUUAUCGACUGUUCUGUUGGGUGAAGAACUCUAAGAACUUGCCGACUUUACUUUCUACCUGACCUAAAAUCAUAUUUUGCUUUCAAACAAUCUUAUACAAAUGUGUAUGGCCAAAAGAGGGAUUUAAAAUUAAUAUAAAAAAGGCAUUAGAAUAUGGCAAAAAAGGGAUUAAAUUGAGAUAAAAAAGAGAACCGCACAUAUUAUUAUGUACACAAUUCACAAUAUUCAGAAAAUGAACCAAGUGUUCUACUCAUUUCUAAGCUAUCAACAUAUGCAUUUUCAACAUGUGUAACAUAUUCAAAUAACAAAUACAAUCACAAAUCCGAGCUCCGUUCUCAUGCGUUAGGCAUACAUGCUUUUUUAUGCUAAAAAGCGAAGUAGACAUGGUACUUAUUCUAAGCAUAGAGCAUUACAAAAGUUUCUAAAUUUUGACAUUUUUAGCAAAAUUUGCAAAAUGAAAAUUUCCCAAAGGACAUGGAAUGUGCAAGGCUACAACCCCACCCCCCACUUAAAAAUAUGCAUUGUCCUCAAAGCAUUUUAAGCAAGAUUCUACGGAUGGAAAAAAAGAAAAGAAAAAGGAGAACAGAAGACCUCCCCUUGUAACCUAGUUUCUUCAUGGAAGCUUGCUUGCAAAGAUCCCAAGUUUGGUUAUAUUUCAUUUUCCUUUAUUCCUACAAAAGAAAACAAGAAUUUCCAUCGAAUUUUAUUAAAAAGGUUAAACUAAAAUUUUAGAAAAAUGUGCAGAAUUGUUUAAGCUCGGUUGCAUUUUCUAAGCAUCACUUGAAUUAUUAAAACGACCUAACAAAUAUUCAAUACAAGUUCGUAAUUCAUAACCUACCAAAAAGUUCAAAAAGAUUGUUGUAGGUGUUCCACCAAACCUUUUGUAAAUUACAUACAUCAAUAAACUUACUUCUUAUAAGGGGGGAAGAAACUAUGUUUUAGGGACAGAUGGCUCUAAAGCACACAAACACUCUCCAUCUCACUCUCUAUCUGCCCUGUAUCUAAUUUAAUCCAGCAUUCAUUUGGGGCAUUGUAGGUUCAUAUUAAAAAAUAGUCAUUCAUGUCGUGAUGCAAAGGCCCUUUUUAUGUAUCUAGAACUAAAAUCACGAAAAUCAUCGUGGACAUGCAGCACAACAAACUGAAUAUCCAUGGGAAGCCUUUGCUAACAAAAUGGUUGACAAUAAUUACUCAGACAAGAGAGAAUGACUAUAAUUAAUUAACAGAAGUACAAAUCAAUAUAGGUGCACAACCACCAAGCCCCCAACAAAAGGAACAAUAAACUUCAAUAACAAAAGAAAGGUAGUAUCAGGACUAUCCUUACCUUGUUAUCGAAGAAGAUACCUUGGCUCUGGAAAGCCCGAUGCUCUGCCUUACAACAUUCAAUUACCUCAGUACUGUAGUGUUUCUUCAAAGUUUGGGAAUCUACCUAAAACAUAAAAAUAUAUAUUACAACUUGAAAACCUCCAUGUCAGAAACUUUACUUUAAUUAUCAAACCAGAUGCUAUGCAAGAAUUAGUUAGCAGAAACACAACAUAAAUAGUAAUGAUAUUCUUUGGGGUGGGGAUAAAAGCAUCUUUCAUCUUAGAAAUAAGCUUAGCAGUUAGCACUAACCUUUAUAUAAGAAGUUAACACCAGUUUGAUUACUUCAUAAACUUCAGCUACGAAAUCUGGUAAAGAGAAAGACCUAAUUCAUAAUGUUAAAGAGGAAAAGACCAAGUCAGAUUCCUUUAUUCAAACAGGUUAGUAUCACAUCUCCAAAGGAAAAAACUUACGGACCUCUACGACGAAUUUCCUUGAAUGAUGUAGCGCCACCUUGUUCUUGAAACACAGUUUCAUUUAUGCUGUGAAAAAUAAGAUUGAAAAAUAAAACUUUCGGCUACAAUUAGCCACAUAAACAUAAAGUUGUGACAGGAAAACAAAAGCUAACAGAUAAUUAACUAUACACUUUGUAGGCAAAAUACCAAAUAGUGUGCGGUUUAUCAUUUCCAACCAAAUAAUUCAAUAACAAAUAAGGUCAAAUGGCCAAAUAAUAUGUCCUUUCACAUAAAUAUUUACUCCUGAAUUUUUUGAAGGAUAAUGUUAUCGCUUCUCUCCCACGUUUCACAAAAAUUCUUUUACAUAUUAUAUUUUUGUUACAUAUUCCUAUUGAAGAAUCUCAUUUGAGCAUUUUGUGGUCAAUUUGACUUGAAAGGAACGGCAGAACUUUCAAUAAGAAAGAAGCAAGAUGCCCAGUUUUUUUGAACUGCUGUUUUUCUCUUCUUUUUUUUUCUUUAACUUGCUAUAAAUUGGAGAUGUUUUCCAUAACUACUUUGGCUUAUGUAAUUUACCUUCUCCCUAAAUGCAACCAUAAAUCAAACAAACUAGAUGAAUAAAUUUACACCACAGAAAUCCAUCCUAUGAAGACUAGAGCAGAGAAAGAUGGGAUAAGGAUAAAGCAUAGGAAGAGCAAAUACCCGAUGGGAAGUAAACUGAUAAAAAAUACUUUGUGUUGAGAGUAAUAUAUCCCGAACCAAUUUUCUGCCAGCCAUUAAGAUUUACCCACUGCAACUCUGCACACAAAUAUUUUCUUAUAAACAAUAAUUAACACAAUCUAAUUGGUAUCUUAUGGAUAUAAAAGACAGCAUGGAUCCAUAUUGGAAGGAUUUCAAAUUAGUCUACGAACAAAGAUUUUGGAAGGAUUUCAAAUUAGUCUACGAACAAAGAAUUUGGAAGGAUUUGUGAUCAACUAAGGAGCUCUCGACUUUCUCCGCUGGAAUUUACCUUCUUGGGUAAUUCGACCAGAGACUGGAAGUAGUUGUGCUCUUCGUCCAUAGUAGUCAUCCAACCAGCAAGGGAAAGACCACGACGCGCAGUGGAAUAGGAAAAAGAGCGUUGAGCACAACUUUCGUGUCACCAGCAAUCGUUUUUCCAUUAUUGGUAGACCGAAAAGGCUUUGUCAAGCAGGCAGGCAUGAUUGUCACUCGAUCAACAAUUGAGAAAUCCGGCGCUGUUAGGGCGAUUUUGAGGAAGACGAAGAAGAUAAGAGAAGGGGAGAGGACGAGAAAGUAGAGAGAGAGAGAGCCGUUAGAGAAGAAGUAGGGGAUGAAAUUUGAAACGUGAGUGAGAGAGAAGGGGAGAUGAGGGAUUAAAAUAUAUUUGAAAUAUUUGUGAUAAAACCCAUUUAAAACCCAAAACAAUUUCUUUAUAACUAAAACAAAUAUUUUGUUUUUAAAAUUUAGACUAAACAAAUCAAACUUUACGAGAUAAAAUUUUCAGUAACGAUAAAGCAAAAAAUAUAUAUUUUGUUUUUCAAAUAAUUAUAAUCCAAAAUUUUCAAGAAAUGUGAAAUUUCAUUUAAUAAGAUAAAAAAAUUGUGAACAUUAGUUUCCAACUUUGGCAAUGGAUGAAAGUAUUAGAAAUUGAAAAUAAUUGUUAGACAUGCAUUUUAGCCGUCACCACAAACCAAUCCAAUUUUUCAUUCAAAAAUGUUGAAUUUAUAAUUAAUGGUUCUCGAAACAUUCAUACAAUUUUUUUUUUAAAUUUAACUUACUCAAUUUGAGUUUUCUUACGAUGUUCAUGUCGAUAUUAUACGAAAAAUUGUCUUAAAUGAUAAAAUUGCUGAAGAUAUUCACAAAUAUAACAAAGUUACCGUCUGUUAGUUAGUGAUAGAACAUGUACUAGUGGUCUAUCAAUUAUCUUCUAUGGUUUUAGUUUAGUGGUUAUUUAUCAAGCUCUUAAUAAAUUAAAUAGUGAUUUAACAAAUAUAAUGUAAAAGAAUAUUCCAAGAAUAACCUUGGAGUAUCACUUGAAUUUUCAAAACGACCUAACAAUGCUAAACUAUAAGCUCAUAACUCAUAACCUAUCAAAAAAAAGUACAGAUAAAGCAAAAAAACUAUUUAAAUCUUGAAAAAUGAAAUAUGAGAAAAAAAAUGAAACGAGAAGAAAUAAAUUUUAAAGUAUAUGUAAAUUUUAGAUAUUAAGUAAAAAAGAGAAUAUGUAAGUUGAUUUUUAAUCGGUAAGAAUAUGGAUGUCUAGAAACAAAUUUUUAAUUUUUUAAAAGUUGAUUGAUAAUUAUUUGAUUUCUUUAAAUUCAACAACAACAUAAAAUUCGAUAAGAGAAGGUUGUCACAUGCUUGAGUAUGUGUUGAAUCAAAUGUGGACUCUCGGGCAAGGGUGUAUCUUGGCCAUAUAAUUUCGGGCAAGGGUGUAGAGGUUGAUUCCGAGAAAAUUAGAUCUAUCAAAGAAUGGCCCGUGCCCACUAAUGUCCGUGAAGUUCAUGGAUUUCUUGGGUUGACAGGAUAUUAUCGAAGAUUUGUAAUGAAUUAUGGAAGUAUGGCUGCUCCUUUGACUCAAUUAUUGAAGAAAGGAGCAUAUGAAUGGACUGUUGCAGCUGCUGAAGCUUUUGAGAAUUUAAAGAUGGCUAUGAUGACUCUCCCAAUCUUAGCACUGCCAGAUUUUUCCUUACCAUUUGAAAUAGAGACCGAUGCUUCUGGAUACAGGGUAGGUGCUGUCUUAAUUCAAAAUCAUCGGCCAAUUUCUUAUUUUGAGCCAGACAUUAGCUAUGAGGGAUCGUGCUAAACCAGUUUAUGAACGGGAAUUAAUGGCUGUAGUUUUGGCUGUGCAACGCUGUAGACCUUAUCUUUUGGGCAAGAGGUUUGUAGUGAAAACUGAUCAACGAUCAUUGAAACUUUUAUUGGAACAAAGGGUUAUCCAACCUCAACAUCAGAGGUGGAUUGCUAAGCUUCUUGGCUACAAUUUUGAUGUCGUGUAUAAACCGGGACUAGAAAACAAAGCAGCAGAUGCCUUGUCUCGUGUCCCUCCUACUGCCCAACUUAAUCAACUUACUGUUGAGAUCAGUUAAAUUGGCAGUCCCCAACACUGAAGUUGACCCUAAAUUAGUCCCAGAAAUUAAUGGGAUGGAUCUGAAUGUCUUGUUCAAUGAUGAAGAUAUUCUCCCUAUUAAAAUUCCCCUGGAUUUGCCUAAAGAUUUAGUGUCUAUAGUCGGUGAUUGUGGAAUCAUUCUGGCUUAAAUUAGAUGUGCAACUGCCAUUUCCCUCUCCCAGUCAUUAUUAAGGUUGUCUCCUGGAACACUAAGGGUUUGAACGACUCCUCUAAACGUGCAGCACUUCAAAAAUUCAUCAACAAUUGUAGUCAUGAUUCAAGAAUCUAAGAAGGACACCUUGAACUCGGCUUUUAUAAAAUCAUUGUGGAGUUCUAAGGAUAUUGGCUGGGAUUAUGUGGCAUCUGUUGGAUCUUCUGGGGGAAUUCUUACCAUGUGGGACAGCAGUAAAAUAUCUGUAACAGAGGUCAUUAAAAGACACUUCUCUUUGUCAAUCAAAUGCCUCACUUUGUGCAAAAAGGUUUGCUGGAUCACAAAUGUCUAUGGCCCUUGUGGUUGCAGAGAAAGGAAAUUGGUUUGGCCCGAAUUGUCUUCCUUGGCUGAUUAUUGUUCGGUGGCCUUGUGCAUAGGUGGGGAUUUUAAUAUCACUCGUUGGGCCCGGGAAAGAUUUCCUUUUGGCAGAAGUACUAGAGGAAUGUCAUUAUUCAAUAACAUUACUAUCAUGUUUGUCAACUAUCAAACUAACUCUUUUAAGUUAUUUAGUGUGACACUACAAAGUUAUGAACACCAUAAUCUUAAUUAAAACCUUUUAAUAAACAAAUGCCAAGUUACUACUCAACAAUGGCAAGGAAUUCAAAAAACAUGACAGCUAUCCUAAUUGGUUGAAAAUGAGAAAAAGAAAGUUAGCCAGACAACCUGUUUGGACUACAAAGCCAGCAGAUACGAUUCCUCAAAUUUGACCAUUCACUCUCCAUACUCUACAAGUCUUCAAGCACAUGAUGCUGCCUUCUUUCAGAUGAGCAACAUCAUUCCGAUCUUAACAGUCAGAAGAGCAAGUCAAAUCAAUCCUAGCAUAUUCACAAAUCACAACUAAAAAGUAUAAACAUUACAAAAUAAAACAUGCAGCGAUAUCAACAAGCAUUCUGAUAAAUAAUUAGCCAAUUAAUUGACAUUACAAAAUAAAUAAAGAAAAAAAUCAUUGGAAAGAUCACUGCUUAAAUGAAAUUUGAAAUAUCUCCCAAUAGUUUUGAUCGGCUACCCGAGUUGUGAGAGUGAUCGGUUGAUAUUGCGUGCUUCCUUCAAGCGCUCCCCAGCUGCACCUGUUAGCUUCUGCCUCCGGAACCAGGUAAAUCAAUAAGAUUUAUUCUACUUGUUUUAAAGCUACUUAAACCAUCUGUCAGUCUCUGCACAAUAAAGUACUAGUCAGAAAUGUACCUUGUCUCAUACUGAGUUACUUUUUCACAUGAUUUUUGCUAGCAGGAUAAAUUAGUUUAAGCUCUAGAAGGAACCAACUUAUCCCCUUAAGGGAAACCAAAACAAAUAAUUAAGAAUAAUGAGGAUAUGAAGUGGUCCUCGAGAGUAACCAGUUACAAACCUAAUGAAAAAGCAAGAUACAAUUGUUAUAUUUCUGAAGUUCAGUUUUUCUUUAAGCCAACUUGAGACAAGAAGUAACCAACUGAUGUGUAAUGNNNNNNNNNNNNNNNNNNNNNNNNNNNNNNNNNNNNNNNNNNNNNNNNNNNNNNNNNNNNNNNNNNNNNNNNNNNNNNNNNNNNNNNNNNNNNNNNNNNNNNNNNNNNNNNNNNNNNNNNNNNNNNNNNNNNNNNNNNNNNNNNNNNNNNNNNNNNNNNNNNNNNNNNNNNNNNNNNNNNNNNNNNNNNNNNNNNNNNNNNNNNNNNNNNNNNNNNNNNNNNNNNNNNNNNNNNNNNNNNNNNNNNNNNNNNNNNNNNNNNNNNNNNNNNNNNNNNNNNNNNNNNNNNNNNNNNNNNNNNNNNNNNNNNNNNNNNNNNNNNNNNNNNNNNNNNNNNNNNNNNNNNNNNNNNNNNNNNNNNNNNNNNNNNNNNNNNNNNNNNNNNNNNNNNNNNNNNNNNNNNNNNNNNNNNNNNNNNNNNNNNNNNNNNNNNNNNNNNNNNNNNNNNNNNNNNNNNNNNNNNNNNNNNNNNNNNNNNNNNNNNNNNNNNNNNNNNNNNNNCGAAUUCCGGACCUCAACAUCCUGCUGCUCAUGGUGUUUCACGAUCAGUAUUGGAAAUGAACGGAGAAGUGGUGGAACGUGCGGAACCCCAUAUUGGAUUACUCCAGUGCGGCACGAAGCCGCUGACGCCGAGUCGGCUCCUAUGCCGCUAGCUAUGCCCUGCUUGGUCCCUCGACACGGUGGAGGUUCCGUAGCGCGUCAUGAGCACCGGGCUAAGGGGCGGUUUUUCUACUCAAGCGAACCGCCCUACCUUACUACAACAUAGGGACAGAAGGGAGAAGGUUGUGAAGGUGGCCUCGUUAUCCACACCUCUGGUCGGAUGAAUGGAGGACCUCCAAGAAAAAAGCCUAGGGUUUGAAUGAGCGUUGGCGGGUCCUGGAGUGCCUGUCAAGGGCUCCCGCGCAUACCCCGGGGUGAUCAUCACCACCUGCACCUCACAUCUCGGCACAGUGGAACGUGUAACCCGCCUGCUGUCUCAUUCAACUACAUUUGUUCGUUCCUAUAAUCCAUAGCCUAAGAUCAGGCAGCAGCGAGGGGCAACCUGCCCAUACAGCCAGCGGGGAGGAUGGCACUACUGGCAAAGACCGUCUGGCGAAAACGCCGCAGGCGCGAAGCGUGGUAGGCCUGCGCCGGGGGGGAGCAUAGCAUAGGCGGGAAAGGGAGCCCGGACGGUGGAAGAGCCAGGGGAGGCCGGGUCAUUUGACGGAAAUGGAAGGCUUUUCCCCUAUUUUCAAAGGCCUCAUUCAAGGUUAUGUCUGGUCGAAAGAUCUUUAUGGAAGUGCAUCAAUUCUUGGAAAAAGAGUGAAUGUCUAAUCUUUCUUUGGGUCCUCCGUUUUAGAGUCCUACGGAUAAAUCCUCCGGACCAGUUCUUCCCGCUAUUUAUGGAUGUUCAUUGAUCCUUAAUAGAAAGCCGAGCCUUUAAUUCUUUGCACCCGUCCUCCGUCCUUAGUCGUUCUUUAUAUCCAUAUUAGCUUAGCUUUCUGCGCCUGAGGACGUCCGAAGGACUCUAAAAAGGAGCGUUCUAAUGGAAUUCAUAUUCUGCAAUAUUCUUUGCGCCUAAUCUCAUUCAUUCAAUAUUCUUUUCACCUUCGGUAAACUUUAGCGGAAUCCUUGAGUCCUCCGGACGGACCGGACCACUAUUUCUCAAAUUCUUUGAUCCUCUUGACUUGUCUUUCCUAUAAAAGAUAAGAAAGUCCAUUCAAUGAAUAGAUCUCUUUGAAAGGGUACGAGAGAGAGCGCUGCCUACACGCGAAUUAGCUUCCGAGGUCAAGCAGUCUCAAUAUUGAACUACAGGAUUGAUUUGCGAAUUCAUGCUGGGCUGGGCCACCUCGAAUGGCGUGAGCCGCAUGCGGGGAGACCCGCACGUACGGUUUUUAGGGGGAUCUGGUCGAAAGACCGGCGCCCACCCGACUAGAGGGACUGAGAAAUUAAUAGAGUACAAAACUUAUCUUCAAGCUUUACCUUAUUCUGAUCGUUCAGAGGGCGAUCGCGGAGUCACUGAAUGAAGUCCUCCCUUUCUUUCGGAGGUGCUGACCCGCAGCGAGGCAGAGAUGACUAAGUUACAUAUUCCAUAUGGCGACGACAACAGCAUGUCGUAGAAGGAGAUAAGAGGUGGAGCCAACGACCCACUAAGACUAACGUAUCUACAACUACAUCCCGAGCGGCAGUCAAACGGAGGCGUGAAUGCAAGAUGCCAGCGGAAUGAUCGGUCGGACAGAGGCUAGGGCUGCUUUCUUCCCACCGCGUCCUUCCUUGUGUGUCGGAGAUAUAAAGCGAGUGCACCGGAAAAGAAGGGGAACUGGGUUGAUCUAUUCUAUGGCGAAGCAUCCGAAGCAUAACUGCACACUCACACGAUCUUUGCCGAGAGAUAGGAGCAUUCGGUGGAACCGGUGAACUACACUUGCUUCUGGAUAGAUGUGUGGGACAGAGGGCUCGUGGUACCUGCAGCCCACCCUUCCUCCUCUGCUUUGAGAACCGUAUGAACGGAGAGUGGGCAGAAGGGAAAGAGGUCCUCAUACGGAGUCGCACACUGACUUUUUCUGUGCGGGAGACUGGAGAAUGGGUCGAGUAAACUCCCCCGGGGCCGCCGGCAAAAUCACAGACUCAGUGCUAUUUCUUUUUUCUUUAUUGAAUUUCAAAGGAGGUGCAAAGAAUAUUGCGAGGCAGAGGUAGUACUUCGAAUGGCGAAGAGAGGCGGCUCGGCAAAGAAGGAAUGGGAAAGAUUCUGACUUCUUUGUUGGCGAAACGAAGGGCUAAAUUGCGCCAUUCUCUGAGCCGGUCUGGAUUUCCAAUGCCUCGGGAAAGAGGUCGAUCUCGAUGACAAGACCUUUUUCUUCUUUAUUGGGUGCCUUCUUUUAGAAGUAGUCGGAAAGAGAAAGCCUAAAGAAGGAAUUGCAUGAAUGAUCGAGGAUUCAAGUUCCAUAAAUCAGUCCAAGGCUCAAAGAGGUUAAUAUGGAAGGUGAAAAGUGGUUUUCAAAGUCAGAGCUAUCCCUUAUUAUUGAGGGCUUUGACCACCUGGACACUCGCCUACUCAGUCGCAAGGAUCAAAGAAUUUGAUUGACAAAGAAUAUUGCGAUUUUACAGACUCAAGAGGAUCAUAGAAUUUGAGAAAUAGGCAGUCAUAAAGGCUCAGUUAAGCUUGAUAAAGGACUCCUUCGCCCAUCCAUAAACAUAAAUAAAUAGAGAGAGGCUCAAAGAAUUUGAGAAAGCCUACCAUAAAUCAGUUCGACUAUCCUGGGAAGUCGCGCUUUGCUUACCGGCUCAGGCUUCCAAAGGCGACCAGCUUGAAAUACCUUUUCUUACGUUACGCUGCCAUUGAUUUUUCCAAUCUCAUUGAAUAGCAUGGCCUGGGGUAACUUAAGUGGGAGAGCCGUGUUAUGGGUGACCUUAUUGCACGGUUCAGAGAGCACUUGUGUAUGUGAUGCAAGUGAACGUGUACGAAAAAGCUGUAGGAAAGUGAGUUCUUCGUUCCGUCGUCGACCCUAUCUAUGUUUCUACGAUGGCCCAAGAACACGCUCAUUCUUCAGCUGUAGAGAGACUUUUGAAUUGCGAGGUACCAUUACGAGCUCAAUAUAUACGAGUCUUAUUCCGUGAAAUCACUCGAAUUUCAAAUCAUUCACUUGCUUUAACUACUCAUGCUAUGGAUGUGGGAGCAUCAACUCCGUUCCUGUGGGCUUUUGAGGAGCGGGAGAAAUUAUUUGAAUUCUAUGAAAGAGUCUCGGGAGCCAGGAUGCAUGCCAGUUUCAUACGACCAGGUGGAGUGGCACAAGAUCUGCCUCUUGGCUUAUGUCGAGAUAUUGAUUCCUUCACACAACAAUUUGCUUCUCGUAUCGACGAAUUAGAAGAGAUGUCAAUCGGCAACCGUAUCUGGAAACAACGAUUAGUGGAUAUUGGUACUGUCACUGCACAGCAAGCAAAGGAUUGGGGAUUCAGUGGUGUAAUGUUAAGAGGUCGUGCGACAUGAAGACAUUGAUAGCAAUAUGGGGGAAGUUCCCAUCAGGCAACAAGGGUUCUGCCUGACCCUACUUAAGCAUGCAUAUUAUGUCAGUGAAGACUUGGUGUGAAGCCUUGGAGCUUACGUUAGAAGAGCAAAAGGCCCGGGGCUAGGGUAAGCUGAGGGGGGACAGCGUAAGUGAGCGAAUGUGUGUAAGCCCAGUCAAAGAUGACUGUUCUAGGCGGGCGGGCCACCCACCUGAGAAUGGUCUUGGUCCUACGGACCGUGAACGGAUUCGCCUCUGGCCUCUGGGUACGUCUCCACCGCAUAAGUUCACCGGGGUGGAGCACGGUCCGCCAAAAUCGGCAUAGGUUAGGUGCUAUUGAUGGAACAUGGUAAGCCUAUCUUUCUCCAUAUGGAAGUGCUGCGGGCACAUAGAGAUGUGGGUAGAGGAAGCCUCAAAAAGCGAAGGCCGAGCUGUAGGUCACGUGACCUGCACCGAGUUGGUGGCUGACUGGGCUUUUUCCUAGAUCAAAGCGGAGAAGCGAGCCUAUCCAAAAGUCGAUCCCAAAAACUUUAGGGUUCUUCUCGUGUAAUGGGCUUGCUUUGCGCAACUGCGCCCCACUUUAGGAAUUUGGUGUCCAUUUAAAGUCUAAUCUUUCACUCAAAUUUCAUUCAGCCUCAUCCAUUCAAUAUUCUUUUCACCUUCGGACUGUCCGAAGGACAGACGGGUCCUCCGGACCUGUGACGCCUUCGCACCUGGAAGUCGCUUCGCUUCGCGCCUCCUACAAUAUCCCUGUCUUAUGGAGCCGGAGGACGGACCAAAAAAUAGGCGAAGCGAGACAGAAAGAAAGCAUAGGAGGAAGAGCCAUAGGCGCAGCAGCUAGAAGAAAGCAUAGGAGGAAGAGCCAUAGGCGCAGCGCUUGUGAUUAGAAUCCCAGUCAAAAGAGAAAUCAGCCUUUUGCCUUGGGAAAGAGAGAACUAAUGAGAAUGAAACUGGAAGUCUGACUCACACUUGAGAAAUUCAUGUGUCUCGCAAAUGAGAGAGGAUGUAGUAGGUCCAUGAAUGAAUUGCCUUUUCUCCUAGGCUUUCCUUUCCAAUCCCUAUUUUUUUCUUUAUGAAUGAAAAAAGAAAGGCUGAAUGAAAUUUGAGUUUGCGCCUUCUGACUUUAUCAAGCUUAACACAUCUACAUUGAAUUAUAAGGCGCAAAGAAUAUUGCGAAGCGAAGAACAAAAAUCAGGCUCAAUGCAAGAAAGCAAAGAACUAAAAAGAAAGGUCCAGAUGCGUCACAGGUCCUCCGGACUGCGACUGAGGCGCAAUGAAAUAUGCGUUCAGGAUCAAUUCAAAGUUCAGCGGGAAGAACUGGUCCGAAGGACUAUCCAGAUUAACCCAAAGAAAGAUUGACCUAGAAAGAGAGGACCGUAGGAGGCUCAAAGAAUGAUCGGAGUAGGUGCAAAGGAUACUGCGAAGGCGCAAAGAGCUCAGAAUUUUCUCUUUUUAUCCACCCCAUAAAUCAAGUCCAAAAAAUAGGCGUCCUUCGGACUAGUUUUUUUAGCAUCAAAAUUCAAUUCUCCCAACAUCGUUCGUCUUCAUGUCUUUCUGGGAGUCGAGGGCUCUUCACUUUCAUUCAGGUCUUUCCUUAUUCCCUUUUUGAAUGCAUGAGACAUGAAAAGAAAGAAAGCCUCAAGCAGAACCACAUUCCUUUUGCGUGCGGAUGUAGCUAAGUGUCUGACCCUUGUUUGUGAUUCCCUGCUGUUGCGGCCUAUCCUAGAAUGCGCGUGAACCAACCCAAGAAAGAAGGAAAGGAUGCCUCUCGGGGCAUCUGAGAAUGAUUAGAGCUGUAUGAAGGGAAACUCUCACGUACAGUUUCUUUUUUUUGGGGGGGGAAGGAGCCCGACAGGGUCCCCCACUGACUUGGCCCGGGCCUAAGUGAAAGUGAAGUGGUGGGCCUACCCAUCCCAACCAGGGGUAUGCUGGGAUUUGCGAAGAGCAGCACCUUACGAUGUUCAUGACCAAUUGGAUCCUGACGUACCAGUAGGUACCAGAGGAGAUCGCUAUGAUCGUUACUGUAUCCGUAUCGAGGAGAUGCGACAAAGUGUUCGGAUCAUUGUGCAAUGUCCUAAUCAAAUGCCUAGUGGGAUGAUCAAAGCCGAUGAUCGUAAGCUAUGUCCUCCAUCACGAUCUCGAAUGAAACUAUCCAUGGAAUCGUGUGCCGUGUGAAACGUAGAUCAUCGCCGUUCUUAACCGAGACUCAGGUUAAGCUCCGUCUCGGAACCUUGUGGGGUUAGGAGUAAAGCAUCCCGAGGUUGACGCAUCUCGUUGGGCGUGGAGAAACGAACCAAAAUAGCUUUCUUCGGAGCCGUUUCUUCUCCCGUCCCCCCGCCCCGGCAUAGCGCUUCGCUUUCGGUGAUUCUUCCGAAUCAACUGACUUCUCCCUUCUUCAUUGAUCUGGGGGAAAAGGAACCGUCUACCUGUUGGGAAGCUAGACAUUCAGUAAGUGGCUUGAUGAGGAUAACUAAGCUGACACGCCGGAGUUGGCUGCUGGCACAACUGGGUGGUGCCUUACCGCACCGCAGGUUCACGCGCGGUAGCGUUCGUGGUGGUGCUUCAGGAUUCCAGUGUACUGCAUCCAAGAUCAGAACGAGCUUGCCGGCGGACCAUUGCCGUCCCAUUCUUGAGUGAGCUGGAGCGCAGCCAUCUUAUCCACUGAACUAGCGUUAAGCUAUUGCUUCGGGUCGAAGCACUAAAAGAAAAGGACCAGGAAAGGCGGCGGUAUAGGAACCACGGGACCCCCCCACUAGUCUAGUAAAGGGAAAAGAGAAGUGCGCUCCUCUCCUGUAAGUAAAGCAGCUUCGCACCUCUCAAGAAAUAAGAAGAGCAGCUAAAAGGAAGGAAAGAUCGAAUUCAGAGAUCAUUCAACUCUCUUUCAUACUCUUUCUCUUGUUCCGCUACGUGGGCUUCU
rnacentral:lncRNA from 1 species